GAAAAGUCUGGUGUUCAUGUGGAAUUUUCAGCUAGAAGUCUACAAAGCAGUGGAAUUAAUCAAUCAUCGUGGAGUGCACGGUGGUUGGACAAUGAGAUGAAAUUGAAAAAUUAUCACGGAACUUGAAGGAAGGUUCAUGGCAUCGAUUUAUUGUACAGAGUCACGCACAUUUGGUUCAAUAAUUGUUUUCAUCCCAUUAAAAUCUCUCCCUAAUCAAUCCAACUGUUUCUGUUAAUUAUGGCUUCUUCUUCUCGAAACAACAAGAAAUAUGAUGUUUUUGUUAGUUUCAGAGGAGAGGACACCGGUGACAACAUUACUAGUCAUCUCUAUUCAGCUGUCUCGACAAAAUAUCCAAACUUUCGUUGACGACCAACUUAGCAGAGGAGAUGAAAUUUCGGAGUCACUUGUGAAUGCAAUUGAAGCAUCAGCCAUUUCGGUUAUUCUUUUCUCUGAAGGGUAUGCAUCUUCCAGAUGGUGUCUCGAUAAACUUGUAAAGAUCCUCGAGGGCAAGAAGGAGUAUGCACAGAUUGUGAUUCCGGUUUUCUAUCGGGUUGAUCCAUCAGACGUGAGAAACCAAACGGGGUCUUUUGGGAUUUUAUUUUCGAAGCUUGAAGAAAGAUUAAAGGUGAAUACUGAAAAGCUGCAGAGUUGGAGAAAUGCUUUGAAGGAAGCAGCCACUUUGUCUAGCUUUCAUUCUCUUAACAUGAGGUGAAAAGUUACCUUUAAUUUCUCAUACUAAUAUUUGACAAUAAAUAAAAUUUACGCAGCACUCUUAGUUAAAUUUCCGGAUGCUAAACUACAAUUUAAAAAAUUUUUAAGCAUCAAAUUCUAGACUUCCUGACUUCCCCACUUUUGUGCUCAUAUAAAAUAAUUUUGACAGAAUUAAUAAUAAAAGCGCGAGAAUUUUACAAUAUAUAUAGCAAAAUUAGUGGUGCUCUGUAGUGUUUUAAGCAAUUUCAACCUCUCACUCAUAUACCACCAUUAAAAAAAAAAAAACUCACGCAUAUUCUUGUAACUUAAGAGUUAUCAAUUUAUUGUGAGAUUGUAGACUUAUAGUGGUAUAUAUUAAUUUUAAUAGGAAAAUUGACAAUCUACUUUAUUUCAUAUUUAAUGCAAAUUCCUCAUAUUAAUUAAUUUGAAGUUACCGCGGCUAAUUUUAUGUAUUUGCUAGGCGUGAGUCGGAACUUAUAAAUGAAGUUGUUAAUCAAGUUUUGAAGAGAUUGGAUGAAGUGUUUCGGCCGCGUGAUAACAAAAACCAGCUGGUUGGAGUGGAAUCAAAAGUUGAGGAAAUUGAAUCUCUACUAAGUGUUGGGUCGAAAUGAAGGACAACAUUUGUCCAUGAGGUUCCUAAAAUCGCAACUUUUGUGCAGUAAAAUUUAAACGGAUGGCGGAAGCUCUAGAAACCUCGGAUCGGAUUCAUUCAAAAACGAAAAUCAAGAGGAAAGAUUGAAGUUUAAUAACCUCACUUGUAGUUUCAAAAACGACUUCGUGAAGUAGGAGAAAAUGACUGAAAACAGCAAGCUACGAACACUGUCCAGAAAAUAGAGCUCUGCACGAACAGCUUCUGUUUUGCCACGAUCUGAGAUCCUUAAAGCACCCAAUUGUGAUGCCUCUAAUUAGUCCACACUUAGAAAUGUUCUAGGAGUUCAUUGGAUUUGGAAUCUCGAAAUUUCGUUUAGAAAUGAGAGAGAUAAUGAAGAAACAUGAAUGCUAGUUCAUGAUGAUUCAUUCCACCAAAUAAAGCCACCAUUAUCUCCAAUAAUGGCACCAAACAUUAUCAUGUGCUAGACCCACCCACUUAGCCAUUAUUUAUUGAAAGUGAUCUUAUCACUUCAAUAAAUUAUUUAAUCAAAUAAAUAAAUAGCUAAAUUAAUUAAUUUCGUAAUUAAUUAAUUAAUCCCAUUUUGAUCAAAUCAAAUGGUUGAAUGUGGGCUUCUUUUGUGACAUGUUCUAAUGCUUUCUCUUAAUUCAUAUUAGAUCCAAUAAAAGCCCAAAAUUCUAAACCCAAAAUUGGUCUAGAAGUCCAUAAUCAUAUAUGAACCGGAACAUGUCCAAAAUGGUCAUUUUACGUGCUCGAUAUUACAUAAUGUUUAAUUGAGGAUUUUCAAAAUUUAUUUUGUUCCUUAAACUAUUUAUGGAACAUCUAAAUUUCUAUCUUAAAUCAUAUUUAAGAUAUAUUUAUAUAUAUAUUCAUUCUUAAUGAAUUAUAAUAUAAAUAUUGAUUUUCCUAAAAUUAGGAAAUUUAACUUCUCAUUUUCUAGUAACUCCUUUUUCAUUUCUAUUUGGUGUGUGACCUUUUAGGUUCUUAGUUAUAAGGUAGUAGAACUAUUUUAAUGAUAACUCUUUAUUCAUUAAAUGAUGCUAAACUCUUUAGUCAUCAAUUAGAACUUUUCUAAUGACCUUAAGAUGCAUUGCUAAUACGCUUUACCAAUAUUAAUCUUAAGGUUUCUACAAGUCAUGAGUGACACCUAACAGUAUAUCACAACUAUCCAAAUAACAAGAAUUGUUGGAUCUAUAGAACCUAUUCCAUUGUAUCUCUAUGUCUUGGUCUCUUCAUCAUCCAUGUCCAGAGAAAAGCACGGCUUAUGGUUUAUUAUGUUAAGCAGUUAUGCUUUAUCUCAAAAUAAAUCUAAAUGAACUUGACAUGAAAAUAUAAUUUGAACUCCUUCAAAUAUAUUUCACCUUGGCCAAGGAUUUCUCAUGCCAAUUCAUAUUAUCUCAUAGGGACAUCCUUUUUGUAUAUUACAAAGUGAUGAAUUCCAUAUUGGCCAUACACUUGUCUUCAUACAUAGCCAACCAUGCAGCUAUUGCUAGAUCUCUUCCGUGAUUAGGAAUCAAUCAUUAUACUUUCACAUAUCAGAGAUGUCUAUGUAUAAGACAUCUGUUAUGCCUCAGGUCUAAAGACCAUUACUAAACAUAGUGUCUAUUACAAUGUAUAAUAAGCCAUUAACACUUAAAACCAUAUGGCUUACUAUAUUUGGUCAAGUUAAGUAAACUCAUUCUCUCAACAAGUACCUAUGUGUUUGACUUGACAUCUCAUGUCAAUGAUAUGAAACUCACCAUCCAUUUUAGUAUCACAUACCAUAAGGAGUCAUAACACAUACUAGUGUUUAUAGGAAUUUACAAUGUCCAAUCAUAAAUCCACCACUAGGAACUAUUUUAGAAGUAUAGUACAAAGGAUGCAUGUUUCAUUCUCGACAAACUCGAGAAUGUGCUCCUUAACUAUUUUACUUCUUGGACUAUAUUCAUUAAAUUAAUUUAUGAAUGUUGAUAACUUUGCCAUUUCAUAAAUAUCAAAAUGCUAUUCAAAUACAAUAAUACCCUAAACAAACAAUCACCAUUCGAUUGGCCUUUAGGGCAUAUUACUAACACGAAAGAUGUGUACGCUUUAGGGAUUUGGGGCAUUGGUGGUAUGGCAAAACAACAAUCGCUAGAGCUACUUUCGACAAAAUCGCUAGAUAUUUUGAUGGUUCUUGCUUCCUUGAAAAUGUUAGAGGAGAGUCACAAAGACCGGGAGGAUUAGCUUGCUUGCGACAAAAACUUCUUUCAAAUUUAUUGAAGGAUGAAAAUGCGAUUCCUGGUAUUGACCUCAAUUUUAGAAGGCUCAGCCACAUGAAGGUUCUGAUUGUUUUUGAUGAUGUGACAUGCUUGAGCCAAUUAGAAUCUAUAAUUGGUAGUCUUGAUUGGUUGAUGCCUGUGAGUCGAAUCCUAAUAACCACUAGAAAUAAACAAGUGCUUAGAAAUUGGGGGGGGGGGGGGGUGAGGAAAAUAUAUGAGAUGGAGGCAUGAGAAUAUCAUCACGCUCUUGAGCUUUUUAGUCGACAUGCCUUCAAACAAAACCAUCCUGAUGUUGGUUAUGAGGAACUUUCAAGUAAGGCAAUGAAAUAUGCUCAAGGUUAGCUCUUAAAGUUUUGGGCUGCUUUCUAUAUGAAAGGGAAAAAGAAGUCUGGGAAAGUGCAAUAAAUAAAUUGCAAAGAAUCCUCCAUCCAAGUAUUCUAUAGAGGUAUUAAAAAUAAGUUAUGAUGGUUUGGGCAAUAAAGAGAAAAAUAUUUUCCUUGAUGUUGCUUGUUUCUUUCAAGGUGAGGAUGUAAAUCUAGUAAUGAAGUUUCUUAAUGCAAGCAUUUACAAACUUGAUAUGGAUAUAUUUAUAUACUCUCGAAUUGAUGAAUCUAGAAUUAAUAGAAGAGUGACAAUGAUUAGAAAAAACAAUAGUGGUUAUAUAUGCCGUGACAACUUGUACAACCCUUGGUAAGCAUAGUUUAUUUUUGAAUUUGUCUUGUAUACGUACGUGAAAUCUAUGCCUAGUAUUACAUGUAUUAUUAUGUUUCUUUGUGCGUUUGCAAUUAAGAUUUUAAUUGCCUAGCAAUAACUAUAAACAUGAGUUAUUGAAAUUUGAUUCGAGCAAUGAUAAAGGGCUCCACUCCAAUCCCACCUCAAUUCCACACAAGAGUAAAAAAUGAUGAAUUAAUAACUAAGUUACCCCCAAUUGUGAAUUAAUAGCAAACAUGCCCCAAAAAUUUGUCUUGGUGGGGUUGAGGUGCAAUUCGUUGAUGGGAUAGAAAUAUCAUUUUUCAUUUGAUUUUAACUUUAUUGAUUUUUUAUUCAUAAUUAGGGGACAUAAAAAGUUGAGGGAAUCUGUUUGAAUAUAUCCAAAGUAAAAGAGAUCUGUUUAAAUUCCGAUACAUUCACAAAGAUGCGGAAAUUGAGAUUUUUAAAAUUCUACAGCUCAUCAUUCAAUGGAGAGAACAAAUGUAAGGUGUCUUAUUUGCAAGAUCUUAGAUUUGCUGAAGUGAAGUAUCUCCACUGGCAUGGAUAUCCAUUGAAGUUAUUGCAUUCAAGCAUUAGCGCAGAGAAGCUUGUGUCUCUUGAAAUGCCUAAUAGUAGCAUUGAACAACUUUGGGAUGGUGUGAAGGUAUGUAUAACCUAAUACAUUAUGUGUGCAGUAUAUUCAUAAUAACAUUUAAUUGUCAUACAUGGUAAUGAUUCGUCUUGGCCUCUUUUUUGACCAAGCAGCAUCGUGAUAAGUUAAACCAGAUAAUCCAUGCUGCCUGCAAGAAGCUAAUUGCUAAAACUCCAAACCCUACGUUGAUGCAACAUCUGAACAAGCUAGUUAUCUUGAAUCUAAAUGGUAGCAAAAUCCUGAAAAGUCUUCCAGCUGGAAUAUUUAAUUGGAAUUUCUUACCGAACUUGAUCUUUUGGGCUGCUCAAAAAUGAAGAGGCUUCGAAAGAUCUCAUCUGGUAACAUAAGCUGGCUAUUUUCAAGUGGAACAGCAAUUGAAGAAUUGCCCUCAUCAUUUGAGCUUCUACUUAGGCUGGAGUACUUGGACCUUUCAGACUGUAAAAGGCUUAAGAGUCUCCCAAGCAGCCUAUAUAAGUUGAAAUCUCUUGGAGUUUUGAAUCUCUGUGGUUGCUCAAAUCUUCAGAGAUUGCCCGAAUGUCAUGGCCAGUUAUCGUCGCCAAUAAUAUUGAAUCUAACAAAAACCAAUAUUGAGAGAAUACCAGAAAGCAUCAUCCAACUUUUUCUGUUGCGAUACCUCCUCUUAAUUUAUUGUGACGGGGGUCAAUCCUCACCAAAGAUUCCAUUCCUUGUACGAUGGUUAGAUGUCGAUCAUUCCCCAGCAUUGCAAUCCUUAACAGGUUUAUUCGCUAAGUUCUGAAUCUUAUAGGUAGUGUUCUUUUACUAGAGUAAUAAUUUUAAAUUGGAAGGUAAUUCUACUGCAGGAACUGUUGAAGAUGCCGUGAGAAUUCAGCAUAUGGGCCAUGCGGUAGCCGCCUGUUGGAAAGAAGCACGGGAAAAGGUGUGUCUUAACUCUUUCUCCUUACAAUUUAUACAGUUUUUUUUGGCUUUAUAAUUAUGAUUUUUUUGUACAGAGAGGUUUUCUCAUGGAUAAAGAUCACAUUGUACUACCUGGGAAUGAAAUUCCAAGGUGGUUUAAUUUUUUGUAGCAAAAGAAUAGGAUAUAGAGAUAGAUGUAGAAUUGUAGACGUCUAAAAUAAAAAGAAAAGGAAAGAUGAUUUAUAAAUGGGCUUCCCAGAAUCAGGAUAUUCGUCAAAGAUAUUAGCCCACUUACUUUAGAGCUUUAGGAUCUUUGAGGGACUAGAGAGAGAAAAGAGAAUUUUGGUAUUAUUUAAUUAAUUAAUUGACAAAAAAAAACCUGGGAUUUUGUAGGAUGGAUUUAAAGAUUGAUCAAAGCUCAUAAAAUGUUUGAUUUUGAUGAUGCUUUAAUUUGGGGUAGAGGAUAGAUAAUAUGUAUACAUAUAUAGAGUUGCCUAUAUAGAGAACAAAUAGAAUAACAUAUGGAUAACUAGCUGCAUAUGUAUAUUAAUAUAAUAUUAAUGGGUAAAAAGAAGCCUAAAAAAACAGAGGAGUUAUCAGUCGCAAUAGCUGAAGCUUCAUCAACAAGAGAAGAAGAUAAAACUCAAAGGCAGAAGCCACUGGUUCAGACUCCUAGAAAACUUAAUCUAAUGGCACCAAAUAUCAGCCAUGUUACUUUUAGUGUUCUUCAAAGAAAAAGUUAAAAUAGAAGGCAACAUUUAUACUGCAAACAAGGUAAGUGCGACUACUUGCACUAGAUAAAUCGAAGCUAGUUGUCACAAACCGCAAUCGUGGCACCCAAGAUAUGCGCUUGUAUGCUAGUGUCGAUGAUGGUUGUGCUGAUUGUUGGAGAUGUGCUUCAGGGGCAUGCGUGUGGGGAAUACAAUGGCCCUAGACUCUUUGGAGUUCAGCCAGGUCGACCCGGUUGAGUUUGGGGAGCUUGUCGCUAGUCGAGGACUUAACCUUGAAGAGGGGUCUAGGUGAAACCCUACACACACUGGUUGGGAAUUGAAGCCGUUCUCCUGACGAGCCCAAGGCAGGGUAAAACUAGUCGAUAUUGUGCCACUUCCACUAGGCUUACUCUCGUAGUAUGGGAUGCGGGAGUGCCGCAUGGGCUCGAAACCUUUUGUCCCGUGACAAAUGGUUUCAGAGCCGCGCUUGUCAUCUUUCGAAGCCCUCGUUACGAGCUCGCCAAGCGCUCCAAUGCCGCAUCACGCAGGUCCCCACCCUUUUUGGGCGCAAGGGUCGACAAACGGGACGAACAGGCGGGUUCUCACACCCCCAAGCAUUCGCACUAAGUUGGAUAGUGUCUGCACGCGGGUCCUCUCCCCGGAUCGAGGACGAGUAGGCAAGGAGUUCAUGGAUGAGAUUGGCAAGCCGAUUUUCACGUUUUCGCGCAGAAGUGCACAUUUGCGAGGCGUACUCUUCAUGCACAAGGACGUGCAUGGUCAUGGUGGUAGGAGAAUGUCACGAACCGUAAUCGUGGCACCCAAGAUAUGCGCUUGUACGCUAGUGUUGAUGAUGGUUGUGUUGAUUGUUGGAGAUGUGCUUCAGGGGCGUGCGUGUGGGGAAUACAAUGGCCCUAGACUCUUUGGAGUUCAGGCAGGCCGACCCGGUUGAGUUUGGGGAGCUUGUCGCUAGUCGAGGACUUAACCUUGAAGAGGGGUCUAGGUGAAACCCUACACACACUGGUUGGGAAUUGAAGCCAUUCUCCUGACGAGCCCAAGGCAGGGCGAAAUCAGUCGAUAUUGUGCCACUUCCACUAGGGUUACUCUCAUAGUAUGGGAUGCAGGAGUGCCGCACAGGCUCGAAACCUCUCGUCCCGUGACAUAGUGCCCAAAGAAAGUGCUAAAAAUGACAUUCAGAUGCAACUUAAUUACUCAUUACUGAUAAACAAACAUAGGCACAAAGACACCUAGUGUAGAUUGCAUUAUCAAUCUUAAUUUCUUUCCAUUAGGUUGGUGAAACUUCAUAUAUUUAUCUCCCAUGCGACCCAAUGACCCAUUACUGACAAUAUGGCUGUAUGGAUGAAAUUAAUAAGAGAAGCAACAACAAUUAGCUGCCAACAAUUAAGUAUGAGGUAUUUAUGAAUGAAAUCGCACCUUUAUUAGGCCCAAAGCAUGGCUGUCAGGUAACUCAAAUCAUGACUGCAGCCUCUGUUUCAGUGAGCUCUCCAUGGCUGUAGUCUGUGCUUUAGGAGAAGAUGAAUGAAAACACACAAAAUGUAAAAUUGACUCAAAUCAAUGAAACCAGAUGCAAUUUGAAAUAAAUAAAGAAAGAAAGAAAAAUAGAGAGAGUUAAAACCUUGCAGCAGGAGAGCUGAUAGCACGGCUGAGUGUUGUUUGGUGACGAUGAACGGCUGCGGUUGACUAGCUGUUAGCGACGACGACGGCAACGGCUGACGAGCUGUUAAGGUUUUGUUUGGAGGAAUAACGAUUAAUUCAAUCCAAAAAAUCGGUAUUAGAAUUUUUAAUUUACAAGUUUAAAAUAUUAGGUAAUAAUCUUUUUCUUUUGGGUAAAAGCCUAGUUAGUCCCUAUAUUUUAAGAUUAGUAUCCAUUUAGUCCCUAUAUUUUUAAAAAUGCCUCAAAACAUCCUUGUCAUUAAAGUAUUGAUACCCCUACCGUUACUUUUUUAUUUUUUUGGCUUCGUUUUACAAUAUUACCCUUUUAUAAUAAUUUUUUUUGGACAUUAAUAAAAAGAAAAUAAUUAAAUUACCAAUUUAACCCUAAAAAAAUAUAUUAAUUUUUAAUUGUAAAAAAUUAUAUUGUUACUUUUUAUUUCUUUUGGCUUACUUUUACAAUAUGACCCUUUUAUAAUAUUUUUUUUGUUUGGAUAUUAAUAAAAAAAUAAUUAAAUUACCAAUUUAACCCUAAAAAAAAAUAUAUAUUAAUUUUUAAUUGUCAAAAAUUAAAUUGUCAAAAAUUUUAUGCAAACUACCAAGUGUGCAAAUGGUGCUUGCAAAAAAAAUUAAUAUGAUUUUUUUAUUUUCUAGGGUGAAAUUGGUAAUUUAAUUAUUUUCUUUUUAUUAAUGUCCAAACAAAAAAAUUAUUAUAAAAGGGUAAUAUUGUAAAAAUAAGCCAAAAAGAAAUAAAAAAUAACAGUUGGUGUAUCAAUACUUUAACGGCAAGAAUGUUUCGAGGCAUUUUUAAAAAUACAGAGAUUAAACGGACACUAAUCUUAAAAUAUAGGGACUAAAUGAGCAUUUACCCUUUUCUUUUUAGUUUUUAUUUUUAGAUUGGGUUAAGAGGCCCAACAAAAUUCCCAAACCCAAACCCGAAAAUUUUUUGGAGCUUAAACCCACACCCAAAACAAACUCGAAUUUAUUUUCAAAUUUUUCUGAGGUCCAUGCCCGCCCCAAAUUAAUUGAGGCAUUAAUUGAGGCCCCACGCCGCGGGUACUGCUGCCAACUCUAGCAAAAGAUAUUCGAGCAGUUGGAGUAAGAAUUGCUAUAUACAAUAUAAAUACAAGAGUUGUUUGCCAUUAUACAAUAGGAAUAAUAUAUAAUGCGCAUCAACACUUAUUGAUAAGAAAGUAAAUUCCUCAGCACUUAAAUGUUUCAGCCAACCAAGAAAGCAACUUUUCAUCAUCCAACCCGGGUCUGUCGUCAUGGGGACAAUGUCCUACUCUUUCCAACACAAUUAACUUCACACUUUAGAGUUGAGAAGUCAUAGAUGGGAAGUGGGGUGACUUGAUCCUCAUAACCCCAAAAAACUAGUACAGGUAUAGAGAUUGAUGGCAUCAAUUGCACUUGGUGGGCCUGUCAUAAUCGAAAAAAUGCAUCAAGUGCCCCUUUAUCAUUGGCAAGUUCUCGUAUGAUCUGUAGUUUUUUUUUUUAAUUCAUGAAUUCUGUGUGGCCAUUUUUUUAAGAGGUGAAAAUGGCACAUGAGUGGAGAAUAUUAAUACCUCUACCAGUGCUUCAUCCACAGAUUUCUUAUUUGCAUAGAUGUUAAUAUGAACCUUUGAGACUUGUUAUCUCAAUUGUCAUAUAAGAAUUAAUUUGAUGUUGGGUUCCAGCAGUACCAACUUGCUUUUACUUAUCUUGGAUGCUAUGUGUAUUGCACAUGGAUCUGGUAUUUUGAUGAUAUGAUCUGUAAAUUGGAGAUUGGAUUUCAGGGUGGGAUAAUCGGCUUCUCUCUUUUAAGGGUAAGCUUGUACUUUUAUGGCAUGUGCUUCUUCCAUGCCGUUACAUAUCUUCCAAGUCCUCUGAUUGCCUAUGGUAGUCAUUAAUCAUCUCGAGCAAUAGUUCACCAUUUUCUUAUUAGGAGAUACAAAUUCAAGACGGCGCAUCUACUGGUGCAAAUUACCAUAUGUUUACUUCCUUGUGGAUGAGGGUGGUUUAGGAAUUCAUUUUCUUUUUCAAAUCUCCCUGAUGCAUUUGAGCUGAAAAUGUGGUAGAGAUUUCGGGAUCAGCAAUCUCUUUGGGCUUCACUCAUGAAGUCCAAGUAUUGCAAAACCUAACAUCCCAAAAUGGUUCAAUUUCACUAUUCUAUUUCCCCAUUCUGUCAACAUUUUUGCUCCAUUUGUUAUGUUGCUAAACCUCAUAUACACUGGCUAAUUAGAUCUAGUGAUAAUAAUUUCUUGUAUGAUUGUUGUUUGUGCUUUAUGUUUCUCUUUCUUUUUAACAUUGGUGCUGCUUCUAUGGUUCCUGUGUCAUUCUUUUGGCGAGGAGCAGUUUAGGAUAUGAGUAGGCUAUUGUCUAUUCUACUUACUUCAAUUGUUAAGUAGAUUUUGUUGAUAAUUAUUUUUGGUGUUAGACCGAAUAUUCUUCAUUGGACUCUAUCUAGGGAUGGGAAUUUUUCUAUAAAGACUAUUUGGGAGCUUGUUUGUAGGUCUCGAAUCUGGAAUGAGGUUUUUACUUAUAUUUGGCAACGACAUAUUCCUUAUAGGUUUUUUUUCUUUUGUUAUGGUGGUUGUUGUAUGGUUUCUUAGUUGCGAAUGAUGCCUUGGGCUUGCACUAUUAAGAUUGUCAAGUAGUUAUUUUGUGAAUUGCUCAUUAGUUGGGAAAAUCUGACAACGAUUUCACUCGAUGAUUGGUCUUUGAUACAUUCCUUUCUAUCUCCUCAUACGUUGCUUGUUCACUGGCAGCAUUGUGCCCAUUCUUCGAGACAUUUUCGAGUCCUUCUCUCAUGCUUCAUCAUGUGGCAUGUCUGAAAGCCUAGAAAUGCUCUUAGAUUCGAUUCCAUUUGUCAUUACUUUUCGAGUGGUUUUGGGCCUUAGACUCGCUAGCUCUAUUUUUGGUUUUAAGCUAUCCCAAUUGAGGGGUGUUUUGGAUACCCAUAUUAGAGAGGGUUUGUAGAUAUUUUGCCUCCUCGUAGACUGGUCGCUUGGUUUCCUAGUUGAGGCUACCGUCUGGCGUGAUGAAGUUAAAUGUGGAUGGUUACUCUAGGGGAACCUCUAGUAUGUCUGUUGUUGAAGGUGUUCUACAUGAUCAUUCGGGAGUAGUACUAGUUGCUUUUGGUUCUUUCUUAGGGCACCAAUCAAUACUGUUUGCUGAGCUGUUGGCUAUGCUUGAAGGAUUAGAUCUUGUGCUCAGCUUGGGUUUACUGUUCUAGAGAUGGAAUCUAACUUGCCACUAUGGUUUCUUUAGCUACUUCACAUGAUUCAGUGCAAUAAGAAUUUGCUUAUCUCCUGGUUUGGAUUCAUGCUUUAUCUUCUAGUCCUUUUAUUGCUAUCAAACAUGUCUUUUGGGAGGCCACUUCAACCACUGACUUCAUGGUUGAUUAAGCAUGUACUCAUAACACUCAUCAGCGAUUCUUCAGCUCUGGGGAUCUUAUAUCUAGUCUAUUUGGCAUUCUUCAUUUAGAUGCUCUCGAGUUCUUUUAUGUUCAACAUUGAUUUCCCUUUGUUGUUUCUUUUAUAGUUUAUUUUUUUUUUAAAAAAACUUUUUGGUUUAUGUCCCCCUCUUCAUAUUCUUUUCAUUAUCUAAUGUUUCUUUCAUUGUAGGUAGAGAUCUGGCCUAACCCCUCACCUUCAUGGUGGUUUAGAUAAAAAAAAAACAAUUUGACGGCAGGUUUGAAUAGCCAAACUAGAGGGGGGCGAGGAUUGCUAAGGAUCCUUUGGUAAUGAGAUUCACAAGAUUUACACAUAAAUCAACUGGAAUAAUAUUGAUUUGUCAUCCUCACAAAUGGUGGAAAUAAGAGAAUCCACUUUGUUUGGGGGAUGUGCUUUGACAAGGACCAGCAGUGGUGAGCAGACAUCUGGUAGUAGGGUCCCAUGAACACGUAUAUCUUGUAAGAGUCUGGUAGCAGGGGAGCAGGAGCAAGAAUAUUCCGCUCAUCUACGAAUACGUCAUCUGCGAGGCCGAUCUCCUGUUAGAGGCAUAAAGCCAUUCCUGCUAAGGGUUGAGUCGAGGAGACCCGGUCAACGACAGUUGGCGAGACGUGCUCUCCAAUCCGAGAAUCAAGGCAUGAAGACCACGCAACCACCCAUGAUUACAGAAAUAGAGCAUCCACUUUCGAGAGGUGGGAGGAUAACAAGCGUGAAUGGAGGGAGGGUAUGAAUUCAGGAGAAGCCUAUAAAAAGGUAGCCAACGAAGGUAAAAGGGUUAGAAUUUUUGACAUUGAAACUAAGAUAAAAAAAGAGCACUGGCUAAUCAGUACCAAAAGGAAACCAUAAGAUUAGUGGCCAACAUUCCCAAGAACGAAAAACCUUCAUUUCUGACUUAAGCGUCGGAGGGUUUACGCCGAAAAACAACCGGCGUGCUCUGACAUUUUCUAUGUACGCAGGAACCUUUGGAGAAGAAGUCAUACAAGGAGAAAUCCUGGUCGUGGUAGAGUUGGUUGAGCAGAGAUCCUGGUCGUGAUCGAGGGGUAACCAGAAUCUCGCAUCAACAUUUUGGCGCCAUCUGUGGGGAGCUAAUAAAAAAGCUUCUAUUGACAGAGAGAGGAAAAUCAAAGCAAGAGAAGAAACAAUAGAUGUAGGAGGAAGUAGUGCACAAGGAGAUUAUAUGAGGCUUAACGAAUCUGUGACGUUGAGGGAGAUAGCCAUUGAAGCACGGGAAAAAGCCAUGCAUGACCGAGUGGAACGGAUGGAAAAGCAGAUGGAGACCCUGACAACCAUCCUACAUGAACUGAGGAGUGAACGAAGGGGAACCCAUGAGGAAAGGGUGAGAGGUGGUGGAGUGGCACCAUGGCACGAUGGUAUGAUGAGAAGUCAGACCACCAGGAGAUUUGGUGGUGAGAGAAGUAACUUAUCUCUAUGGGGAGGAGUUCAUAGAGAAGAAGAGCAAUCACCAGGAAGACAGAUUUUUGAUGAGGAUGACGAGGUGGUGAAUGCAGAGGAAACAGAGCUCAGGCAACACUUACAUGAUGUAGAGCAAGAGCGGGAUCAAGUUGCAGCACGUGACCCUGGUCGUGCAGUGCAGCUGGAGGAGGAAGUGCGCAGACUAGCGCAGGUAAUUGAUGAUAUGCAAGGAAGGAGUAGAGCACCUAGUUGGAGGAUAAUGCUAGGCGGAGAAUCCCCGCUCUCAGCGGAGAUCAUGAGGGCAGUCAUUCCCAGAGAUUUUCAUCUCCCAGACCUCAGAUAUUCAAGGCGAACUGAUCCGUUGGUGCACAUAGAGUGCUUUAAUGACAUAACUGGGGUGUAGGGAUUAUCCCAAGCCCAAAGAUGCAGGGUAUUCCCACUGUCACUAGAGGGGCGAGCAUGCGAGUGGUACCGCAAACUCCCUCGAGGAAGCGUCAAAUCCUUCGAGCAGAUGUGCCAAGAAUUUACAGAACAGUUUCGUGGGGCAAUGACACCAGAAGACGACAUGAUGGAGUUGAAAAGUAUGAAGCAGGGGGAACAAGAAACCCUUCUGGAAUUCAUCAAGAGGUUUCAUCGUGAUGUCCUCGACUUAGGAGCCUUCAAUUAUCCUCAAGCAUUAAGGGGAUUGAAAGAAGGGGUGAAGAUAGGAAGGCUGUAGUACAACUUGAUGAGCCCAGUUAUUCAGACGUAUGCAGCCGCUUACGAGCAUGCUAAGAGGGACAUAGAGAUUGAGGAGGAAAAGGCAGCACGGAUCAAGACAGAUCAGUUAGAAGGGUUGGGAAGGAAAGAGAAGAGAGCAUUACCAGGAAAUGGGCCGAUUAAGAGGAGGGACCACCAUGCCUCACGUAGUGGUACAGGAGGUCGGGUAUCUGCUUACCAGCCCUAUCAAAGGCCGCCACAGUAUCAGCGCAGCAGGGCGCAACCUCUUCGCUCACCAGCUAGGGAGCCUUGGAGAAGGCAUGACUCGACAUAUGGUCAACCUCCUCCACACCCCCAUGGUAGUAGAUGGAGUAAACCAGGAGCGCUGCCACCUCCUCCAACUCAGAACGGCACAAACAGGGAAAGGGCAGUGCACAUGAUCGACCAGAACUAGGACUAUGGGCGGUACACUUCCUUGAAGAUGCCCUUGGACGAGGUAUACGAGGCCAUAAAAGAUCAGGGAUUACUGUACCUCCCUGCCCCAAUAACCAAGCUACCCGGUAUGAGGGAUAUGGGACGCUAUUGCAAGUUCCAUGGCACUCAUGGCCAUACCACAACAGAAUGCAGAGAUCUCAAGACCCAUGUAGAAGAUUUGGUGAGAAAUCGAUAUCUGGACGAGUUUAUAGAUGAGACUUUUCCGAUUAUGACCUCGACAUGUGAAGGGGAGCAGAGUAACAGAAACUUGAGCCACAAGCAACCUCUAGUAAGGGUGAUAGCUGGGGGUCCAACGUUGGCCGGGGAUUCCAACAGAUCGAGGAAGAAUUAUGCUAGAUAUGCCAUGACUAGUAAAGAGGUAUCCUUCAACACCCCAGCAGCCAAACGAGCAAGAGUCAGGCAAGUACCAAUCAUGUGGACAGAUGAGGAUGAAGAAGGGAUUCUAUACCCACACGAGGAUGCCUUAGUCAUCAAGGCCACUGUUGCUAGCAAGAAGUUUGACCGGAUACUGGUUGACACAGGGAGCUCAGUUGAUGUGUUGUUUAAGUCAACUCUGGAGGAGAUGAGAAUAGCAGACCUGAGGUUGGAGCACACUAAUACCUCCUUGAAGGGAUUUGGAGGAGGAAAGCUGGUCCCCUUAGGCAUGGUCGAGCUGCCUAUCAUGAUUGGAAGCUCCUCGACAGAAAGGACUAUGGUACUGGAUUUUAUGGUAGUCGAUGAAGAAGGUCCUUACUAGAUGAUCCUAGGUUGGCCAUUUCUGAGGAUGAGCAAAGCGGUGCUGUCCAACCAUUAUCUAGCUCUCAAGUACCGGGUGAAUGGGGUAAUUGGGGUGGUACGAGGAGACCAGAGAAUCCUACGAAGCUGUUACUCCUCAGCAGCAAGGGAAGCAAUGCAGAUAACAUCCCUUGAUACCCGAGUGGGAGCCAAGAAUGGCAGACAAGAACCUAUAAAGGAGCAGGAGACAGCAAGCCUGGGACCAAAGAAUCCAAGAAAAACGAUCCGAAUUGGGUCAAGGCUUAAAGAAGAGCAGAAGCAGGAGUUGGUGCAAUGCUUGCGGGCUCAUGCAAAUGUGUUUGCUUGGACACAUGAAGACAUGCCAGGGAUCGACCCUGAGGUCGCAUGCCAUAAGCUGGCAAUAAAGAAAGGUGCUCGGGCAGUAAGGCAGAAAAGGAGGUGCUUCAACCAGGAGAGGUAUGAGGCUAUAAACGGCGAGGUGGAAAAGCUCUUGAAAGCAGGGUUCAUUCGGGAAGUCAAUUAUCCCGAGUGGAUAUCGAAUGUGGUGUUCGUAAAAAAGGCUAAUGGCAAGUGGAGGAUGUGUGUGGACUUUACGGACCUCAACAAGGCGUGCCCAAAAGACAGCUUUCCUUUACCAAAGAUCGACCAGCUUGUAGACUCAACAGCUGGGCAUGGCCUGCUCAGCUUCAUGGAUGCAUUCUCAGGAUACAACCAAAUCCCCAUGUUCGAGCAGGAUGAGGAGAGCACGGCAUUUAUUACUAACCAGGGUUUGUUCUGUUACAGGGUAAUGUCAUUCGGUCUUAAAAAUGCUGGGGCCACGUACCAGAGGCUGGUGAAUAGGAUCUUUAAGCCGUUGAUUGGGAGAACAAUGGAGGUGUACGUGGAUGACAUGAUAACCAAGUCAAAAAUCCCGAAGGAACAUGUUGAGCACCUCGAGGAGACAUUCAGACUUUUGAGGAAGUACAAGAUGAAGCUCAACCCGAAAAAGUGUGCUUUUGGGGUCGAGUCAGGGAAAUUCCUUGGAUUCAUGGUGAGUCAUAGGAGGAUCGAAGCAAAUCCCGAGAAGAUCCAGGCGAUCGUGCAGAUGAGGUCUCCUCGUAACCUAAAGGAGAUGCAGAGCCUUACGGGGAGGUUGGCAGCAUUGAGCCGAUUCAUAUCCAAGGCUACAGAUAAGUGUCAGCCAUUCUUUUAAGUGAUAAGGAAAGGAAAGAAAACAGAAUGGACCCCAGAAUGCGAAGAAGCCUUCCAGGACUUGAAGCGAUACUUACAGCAGGCACCUCUGUUGUCCAUACCGAGGGAUGGGGACACGUUAUUUUUGUAUUUGGUGGUAUCAGAUCGUGUCGCAAGUUCUAUUCUGGUGAGAGAGGAAGAAGGGGUUCAGUAUCCGAUAUACUACACCAGUAAGGCCCUGCUUGAUGUUGAGACCAGAUACCCACCGUUGGAGAAAUAGGCACUUGCCCUUGUGGUUGCUGCUCGGAAGUUGAGGCCGUACUUUCAAGCAUUCCCCGUCUCGGUAAUAACAAACCAGCCGUUGCAUCAAACCCUGCACAAGCCGGAUGCUUCUGGUCGGCUCGUGAAGUGGGCUAUAGAGCUGAGCGAGUUCGACAUUGAUUACAAACCCCGAGCAGUGAUAAAGGCUCAAGCAAUGGCCGAUUUCGUAGCAGAAUUCGUAGAGCCUGAAGUAUGUUUGGACCAGCCAGAUAUUGCUACAGACAGCAGCGAAGCUCGAGUAUGGCAGAUGUCUGUAGAUGGGUCAUCAGGGGAGCAGGGAUCGGGAGCAGGGAUUGUCUUAGAAGGCCCAGAAGGGGAGGAGAUCUCUUAUGCUGGAAAGUUAGAAUUCACAGCCACAAAUAACCAGGCAGAAUACGAAGCCUUGAUAGCAGGCUUGGAAUUGGCUAAGGCAGUGAAAGUAGAUAGGGUGAAGAUCAGAACUGAUUCCCAGCUGGUCGCAAAUCAUGUCAGUGAAAGAUUUCAACUGAGAGAUGAGAAGAUGGAGCAGUACCUGAAGAAAGUCAGGCAGAUGAUGGGGAAGUUCGAAGCGGUUGAGGUGAUACAAAUCCCAAGGGAGCAGAAUAGUCGAGCAGAUAUUCUGGCCAGGAUGACAACUAUAGCAGACCCGAAAAUGCCUAAGUCGAUCCCUUUGGAAGUGAAAACCAACCCUAGCAUCGAGCAGAAUUUGGAGGUGAUGUAAAUAGAAUAAAAAGGCUCGUGGAUGGAUCCGAUAACUUCAUAUAUUAGAGACGGGGUGUUACCACCAGAUAAGCUACGAGCUCGGAAGAUCAGAGCCCAGGCCUCAAGGUACACAAUGAUUGAUGGGGUGUUAUAUUGGCGAAGAUAUACGCUCCCGUUCCUUCGGUGCUUGGAUGAGGAUGACGCGGACUACGUAUUGAGAGAAGUACACGAGGGAAUUUGCGGGAACCAUUCUGGUGGGAGGUCCCUUGCCCACAAGAUUCUAAGGCAGGGAUAUUUCUGGCCGACAAUGCACCAGGAUGCGCAGGAGAAGACCAGGAGCUGCGUAAGCUGCCAGAAUUUUGCAAGUUUCUCCAAUCAACCACCAGAGAAGCUCAUCUCUAUGGCCUCCCCUUGGCCAUUUGCUCAAUGGGGAAUUGAUCUGAUCAGGCCGUUGCCAAAGGGAUGAGGAGCAGCAAUACAUGCAAUAGUUGCAAUAGACUACUUCACGAAGUGGAUAAAGGUAGAAGCCCUCAGCAGGAUCACAGAGAAGAAGACAACAGACUUCGUAUAGAGAAACCUGGUCUGUCGGUACGUGAUCCCUUAUGUCUUGAUAACGGAUAAUGGCAGGCAGUUCGAUAAUCACAGCUUCAAGGAUUUUUGCCAGAAUCUCAGGAUAGAGUUGAAGUAUUGCUCGCCUGCUCACCCUCAGUCUAAUGGACAAGUAGAAGCAACCAACAAGACGAUCAAGAGGCUUUUGAAAACCAGGCUUAGAGCAAAAAAGGGUGCAUGAGUUGAUGAACUAUCAGGUGUUUUAUGGGCAUAAAGGACAACCCACAAAACAGCAACUGGAGAAACACCGUUCGCCUUGGCCUUCGGACAUGAAUCGGUCGUACCAGCCGAGAUAGGAACGACCACGCACCGGACAUAUCAUUUCAAUGAGCAAGAGAACAACGAGCAGAUGUGCCUGAAUCUGGAUUUACUAACAGAGAAGAGGGAGCAAGUAUCGAAGCGAUCAACCAUUUACCAGUAGAGGGUCGCUCGGUAUUAUAACCAGAAGGUGAAUGUACGGCAGUUCAGAGUCGGAGAUUGGGUGCUAAGGAGAGUGAAUCAGAACAUAACACCAGAGACUUGACUCAAGGAGUGCUUGGACCGAAUUGGGAGGGGCCAUACAGGGUCAAGCAGAUAGUAAGACCCGGAGCUUACAAGCUUGUUCGCACGGAUGGCCACGAGGUGAAACGCCCAUGGAACGCAGCACACCUCAGAAAAUAUUUCCAGUAAGACUUGUUCAUGUUUUUUCUAUUCGUGCUCGUUGUUAUUUAUUUUAUGUCAAAGCGAUUUCAUGUAAGCCGAAUUCAGCAAUAAAUGGAUCAAUGAGGAAUUUCAGUCAACUGAACUGUUAUAAAAAGUUUUUAAGGCAUGCAAAUGCUCACCAAGUCUCAAAGCCUGUUUUAUGUCGAGACCAGAAGCCAAACAUACCCGGGUCUGCUCGACCAAGAGAAGACGAGCAGACUCCCAAGCAUUUAAAAAGUUCUAAGGCAUGCAAAGGCUCACCAAGUCUCAAAGCCUGUUUUAUGGCGAGACCAGAAGCCAAGCAUGCCCGGGUCUGCUCGAAAGAAGGCAAGCAGACUCCUAAGCAUUUAAAAAGUUAUAAGGUAUGCAAAGGCUCACCAAGUCUCAAAGCCUGUUUUAUGGCGAGACUAGAAGCCAAGCAUGCCCGGGUCUGCUUGACUAAGAGAAGGCGAGCAGACUCCCAAGCAUUAAAAAGUUCUAAGGCAUGCAAAGGCUCACCAAGUCUCAAAGCCUGUUUUAUGGCGAGACCGAAAGCCAAGCGUGCCAGGAUCUGCUCGGCCAAGCGAAGGCGAGCAGAAUCCCAAGCAUUGAAAAAGUUCUAAGGCAUGCAAAGGCUCACCAAGUCUCAAAGCCUGUUUUAUGGCGAGACCAGAAGCCAAGCGUGCUAGGAUCUGCUCGACCAAGCGAAGGCGAGCAGAAUCCCAAGCAUUGAAAAAGUUUCUAAGGCAUGCAAAGGCUCACCAAAUCUCAAAGCCUGUUUUAUGGCGAGACCAGAAGCCAAACAUGGCAGGAUCUACUUAGCCAAGAGAAGGCGAGCAGAGUAAAAAAAAAAAAAAUUUACAACUACUAUACCAGAAGGCAAGUAAGAACAUUCUUAUUAAUAUGCCAAUAGUUUGUAAAGCUAUUCAUCCUAACAUACAAUGUCCAAAAACAAGAAAAAGGUAACUACAACACAAAACAUGUUUAAGAAGACGGUGGGUCAGUAAGACGAACAGCCUCAGUUGGCUGGUCCACCUCAGGGGCAGGGGGGUAUCACCAGUUGCGUCCGGAGGGGUACUCGCCUCACCAACAUCAGCAAGGAUUGCAUGAGGAGGAGAGUUUUCCUCCUCAAGCACAAUUGGCUCCACCUCUUCGACAUCCUCUUUUGCUACCUCCUCGUCCAUGUGUUGAGCAACACCAGCUGCAAGGUCAUCCAUCUUCAGAUUAGAGUGCUGCUUCCCAAGGACGGCUAUGAUGCAACGAUAGGAAUGUCGAAGUCCCUGGUCGUAUUGGUUGUCAGCUUCCUUCUCCAAGUUCUCGACCUGAACCCGGUGGGAAUCGCGGAGAGAUUCGAGCUGAGCCUCGUACAUAACCUUCUGCCUUUGCAGAUCCUCCUUAACCUUAGUCAGCUCUUCCUCGAGAGUAAUGGCCUUUGCUUGAGCAAGAGAUUCUCGCUCUAUCAGCUUCAGAUUCUUGAGAUUCAAGUCUUCUGCUUUCUUCUCGGUAGCGUCAGCUCUGGUCAUCACCGAUUGAAUGUCCUCCUUCAUCUUCCGGUCGUAACGGCCAACCUUGGCCUUAUAGUAAGUGGCCAUGCAGUUGAGAUGAAAAGCGCUAUACUGCAUGGCCCCCACCAGCUCACCCAGGGUGCAGCCGUCAAAGUCCUCCAAGUCCUUCUUGCUCACGAGUUUAGAAAGCUCAUUCAUAUAGGGGCCCAAAUGUUCUGCUCGAUUGUCAGAUAAACGAGAUCUCAGCCCGACGGGAGGAGAAGAGGAAGCAGGAUCAGUGGCUGCUCCGCUAGUUUCUCUGGCUUUGAUAAGAGGAGGUGGUAGAGUCUUCAAGGGGGGAACCUGCUGCACAACGUUCACCCGCUUCGUAGCGGGAGCAUUUUUAUUCUGGUCCCGCUUAGUAGCUUGAGGUCGAGGACGUUUCCGAGUCAAAGCCCCAAUCACAGCAUCCUCCAUCUUAUGGCCGGUGGACACCAAACCAGAUUCGACCAGGUUAUAAGUUGUUAGCAGCUCUCGGUUCGAGCAGGAAUUGGCCAGUACAGCCUCAACCCACUUAAGCUGGUCGGGUUUGAGUGGGAAGUGAACACCCCAAGAACCUGCAAUACGAACAGACAGUCGGUUAGAGACAAACCAGUAAAGUGAGAACAACUAUGGAGACAAGACAUCUAAAGCAAGCAGGCAACUUGGGACCACGAAACGGGGUGGGACGCGAUAAUCCUUCCCUUCAAUUUGUGCAACUUGACCCUAGGGACCCCCAGUAAAAAAGAAUUUUUUUUUCCAAUUCCCACCACCACCAGUUGGAAGAUCGGUUAUGGGUUUCCUGGUCUUAGUAGUUGAUUGAAAGUAAUACCAACCGGCAUCUUUGGGGCUGCUUUUCAGCUGGUACAGGUGCUUUACCUCAUCAACUGUGGGCUCGCUUUGGCAACAUCUGUCCCACAAUAUAAACAGACCAGAGAGUACUUUCCACCCGUUGGGGUUCAGCUGACCAGGAGCUAAAUUUAGCCCGUUGAGCAUUCGGACAAAGUAGGGUUGCAGGGGACACCUCAGCCCAUACUUAAAACUUUCCAGAAACAGGGUAACGUAUCCCUUAGGAGGCCGGGUAGGAGCAUCCUUCUUUCCUGGGAUCCUAAGAGGUAUUUCAUCAGGAAUAUUACACCUAACCCGGAGGUCAGUGAGCUCGUCAAAUGUGGUCGUGCACGUGAUGAAAUCAAUGGCGUAAUUCUGUGAUAGGGCUCUACCUUCUACUGUACUCCGCCCUUCUGGUCGCGAUGUUCCUGGUGGGGACACCUUACCAGAAUCACCUCCUCGAUCCUUACUCAAGGUGUUUUCUGAGCCAGAAGAUCCCUCCUCACCGCUAUUUCCACUCGAGGAGGUUGUUUAGGGGGACAUCCUCCUAACACUAGUCCCAACACUAGACCUAAUGGGUUCUAUGGGGAUCCCGGGGUCAAAGGCAGGAUCGGUGAGCAGACUAGGCAGGAAGUCUAACUCAUCGUCAUCAACCUCAAUGACUUUCUCUUUACCUUUUGACAUUUCCUAAGCUAUAACCAGAGCAAUAUCACCAAAUACUACCCAAGCAAAAUAGAGAGAAAUGAAAUUAUCUACAACUAUCUGAGACCGAGGAAAUAGAAGUAAUACCUGAAGUAGUGGCUCAUUCGGAGAGAGAUAGGGAUGAAAGCUUUUAUGCCGGAACUCCUUCACUGGAGAGACAGAGACAGAGAUGGAGUAAAUGACGAAUUUCUCUUUUGAAGGGUUUUGGGUUUUCCUAAUAAAGAACAAACUCUUGGGCUGCCAGCAUUUAACGGUCGGUUUGAAAUUCAAAUAGAGGGGUAGAUUUCUGCCACAUCACCUCGUUAGCAAUUAAAUGCAACACGACUCUUGGUAGCCUUUUCCUGUCCCGCGCGAGCAAGAACUGUCAAGUUUCUACUGUCGGCUCACUACGUUACCCAACACCAGAAACUGGGGGACCGGUGUUUGGGGGAUGUGCUUCGACCAGGACCAGCAGUGGUGAGCAGACAUCUGGUAGCAAGGUCCCACGAACAUGUAUAUCUUGUAAGAGUCUGGUAGCAGGGGAGCAGGAGCAAGAAUAUUCCGCUCGUCUACGAAUACGUCAUCUGCGAGGCCGAUCUCCUGUUAGAGGCAUAAAGCCAUUCCUGCUAAGGGUUGAGUCGAGGAGACCCGGUCAACGACAGUUGGCGAGACAUGCUCUCCAAUCCGAGAAUCAAGGCACGAAGGCCACGCAACCACCCAUGAUUACAGAAAUAGAGCAUCCACUUUCGAGAGGUGGGUGGAUAACAAGCGUGAAUGGAGGGAGGGUCUGAAUUCAGGAGAAGCCUAUAAAAAGGUAGCUAACGAAGGUAAAAGGGUUAGAAUUUUUGACAUUGAAACUGAGAUAAAAAAAGAGCACUGGCUAAUCAGUACCAAAAGGAAGCCAUAAGAUUAGUGGCCAACAUUCCCAGGAACGAAAAACCUUCAUUUCUGACUUAAGCAUCGGAGGGUUUACGCCGGAAAACAACCGGCGUGCUCUGACCUUUUUCUGUGUACGCAGGAACCUUUAGAGAAAAAGUCAUACGAGGAGAAAUCCUGGUCGUGGUAGAGUUGGUUGAGCAGAGAUCCUGGUCGUGAUCGAGGGGUAACCAGAAUCUCGCAUCAACAGACUCUAUGCUUAAAGUUCUUGGGAUUGAAAAAUUGCAACAAGCUAAAAAUGUGUCAUAAAGAUUUUUUCUUCAAAAAUGUUAUAAGAUUCUUUUACAGUUUUACCCUUUUCACUUAUUCCUCUUUCAAUGUGAAAAAAAAUGCAAAUUAGUUUAAACUUUAGAGAAUUUCAGAUGAAAUCAUUUCCGCAUUCAAUUAGACUGUAUCUGCUUGUUUGUCCAUUAUUAUAAUUUUAAUUUAGUAUCUAAUUGUAAUUAUCCAAGCAGGGCUUGAAGGGGUAAAUAGAAGGGGUGCUAAUAGUCCCACUAUUUCCGUAAUUAUUAUUGUCCUCGAAUAUUUCUCCAACAUUUUAUUUCAUAUUUGACUUCUGCUACUAAUAUUAUAACAAAAGACGCUUUUUGAAUUACAUCAGUUUCUAGUUGCAUUUUAUUGAUAAAUUAGCCGAAUGCGGAUUUUUUAUUUCAUAUUUGACUUUUGCUACUAAUAACAUUGUUUGAUUCAACAUUUUAUUUCAUAUUUGACUUCUGCUACUAUUACUAUAAUUCAAAAGACACUUUUUGAAUUACAUCAUAUUUUUUAUUCAAAACAAACAAAGGGAUUAUAUUUUACAAUUUAGGAAAUAACUAUAUUUAAUAGAGAUAAUUUUGGGAUAUAGCAUUUAUUUUCUAUUGAGACAUUUUCAUAUAUUAGAUAAAAGUUACAAACGUUUACUUAAAAAAAAAAGAAAAAUUAGAGUUCACACGUUUAACAAAUAACCAAUAGGAAUAUGAAUAAGAAUUAUUUAAAAAAAUGAUAAAUAAGGAUAAUUUUAAAAUCAAAUGCAAUUAAUGGAGAAAUGAUGACUGAUAAGAAAAAUUGGGGGGCAAAAAUUAAAAUAUCAACCUACUACUCAUGAUUGAUAGUCAUGACCCACUCAAUUUGAGAAUUAAAAGCACAAAAGCCAUGUGUUGAAAACUAUGGUAUGCAUGGGGAAAUUUCAGGUAUAAGUCUAAAAAGCACUGAAAUUAUCGUGCAGUGCACGGUGCUUGGAUAAUGAGAUGAAAUUGAAAAAUUAUCACGAAACUUCAAGGAAGAGUGCCAAUAGUCUUACUCAUAACGCCGUGUCUAACUCAUAACAUAGAGUAGGAGUUCGACGAAAGUAAUGGAAGAGUGCCAAUAGUCUUAACUCAGAACGCCGUGCCUAUAAUUUCAACUGAAAAAAUCCGUCGAGUCCAAAAAUUAGGUGGGCAUUUCAGUAAGCCUUGAAUAUUCCAUGAAUCAUUGUCCAGGAAGCUUGGAAAAUGAGAUAUCAGGUCAAUAUAUGCUGCAGAGUCACGCUCAUUUUGGCUUAGUAAUUGUUUUCAUCUGAUCACAAUCUCUCUCUAAUCAAUUCAACUGCUUCUGUUGAUUAUGGCUUCUUUUUCUUGAAACAACAAGAAGUAUGAUGUUUCUGUUAGUUUCAGAGGAGAAGACACCCGCGACAACUUUACUAGCCAUCUCUAUUUAGCCCUGUCUCGAAAAAAUAUCCAAACUUUCAUUGAUGACCAACUUAACAGAGGAUAUGAAAUUUCAGAGUCACUUGUGAAAGCGAUUAAAGCAUCAGCCAUUUCAGUUAUCAUUUUCUCUGAAGACUACGCUUCUUCCAGAUGGUGUCUUGAUGAACUUGCGGAGAUCCUCGAGUGCAAGAAACUUUCAUUUGUGUUACCGUUUUUCUAUCGCGUUGAUCCAUCAGACGUGAGAAACCAAACAGGGAGUUUUGGGGAUUUUUCAAAGCUUGAAGAAAGAUUUGAGCAAAAUUCGGAGAAGCCGCAGACAUGGAGGAAGGGAUUGAGAGAAGCGGCUGGUUUGUCUGGAUUUCAUUAUCGUAGCAUCAGGUGAAAAGUUACUGUUAAUUUCUCAUGCUAAUAUUUAGCACUGUAAAUAAAAUUCAUGCAGCACUCUUAUUUAAAUUUCCGGAUGCUAAACUACAAUUUUAAAUUUUUUUAGGUAUCAAAUUCUAGGCUUCUUGACUUCCCCACUUUUGAACCCCGAUAAUUAUGAAAGAAUUUUGACAGAAUUAAUAAUAAAAGCCCGAUAAUUUUACAAUAUAUUUAACAAAAUUAAUGGUGGUCUAUCGUUUUUUAAGCAAUUUCAACCUCACAUACCUCCAUCAGAAAAAACAGAAAAAAGCCACACAUAUUCCUAUAAUUUAAAAGUUAUUAAUUUAUAGGGAGAUUGUAGUGGUAUAUAUUAAUUUCAAUUGGAAAACUAGCAAUCUCCCUUAUUUCAUAUUUGAUGCAAAUCCCUCAUAUUUGAAGUUACUGCUGCUAAUUUUAUGUAUUUGGCAGGCCUGAAUCAGAACUUAUAAACGAAGUUGUUAAUCACAUUUUGAAGAGACUGCUGGAAGAACUGUUUCGGCCGCGUGAUAACAAAAGCCAGCUGGUUGGAGUAGAAUCAAGAGUUGAGGAAAUUGAAUCUCUACUAAGUGUUGAGUCGAAAGAUGUUUACGCUUUAGGGAUUUGGGGCAUUGGUGGUAUAGGCAAAACAACAAUCGCUAGAGCUACUUUUGACAAAAUCUCUAGAUAUUUUGAAGGUUCUUGCUUCCUUGAAAAUGUUAGAGGAGAGUCACAAAGAACGGGAGGAUUAGCUUGCUUGCGACAAAAACUUCUUUCAAAUUUAUUGAGGAUGAAAAUGCGAUUCCUGGUAUUGACCUCAAUUUUAGAAGGCUCAGCCGCAUGAAGGUUCUGAUUGUUUUUGAUGAUGUGACUUGCUUCAGCCAAUUAGAAUCUAUAAUUGGAAGUCUUGAUUGGUUGAUGCCUGUGAGUCGAAUCAUAAUAACCACCAGAAAUAAACAAGUGCUUAGAAUUGGGGAGUGAGGAAAAUAUAUGAGAUGGAGGCAUUAGAAUAUCAUCACGCUCUUGAGCGUUUUAGUCGACAUGCCUUCAAACAAAACCAUCCUGAUGUUGGUUAUGAGGAACUUUCAAGUAAGGCAAUGAAAUAUGCUCAAGGUGUUCCUUUAGCUCUUAAAGUUUUGGGGUGCUUUCUAUAUGAAAGGGAAAAAGAAGUCUGGGAAAGUGCAAUAAAUAAAUUGCAACGAAUCCUCCAUCCAAGUAUUCUAGAGGUAUUAAAAAUAAGUUAUGAUGGUUUGGACAAUAAAGAGAAAAAUAUUUUUCUUGAUGUUGCUUGUUUCUUUCAAGGUGAGGAUGUAAAUCUAGUAAUGAAAUUCCUUAAUGCAAGUGGCUUCUACCCAAAACUAGGAAGAAGUGUUCUCGUUGAUAAGUCUCUUAUUGUCAAAUCAAAUAACAACAAGAUAACUAUGCAUGAUUUGCUACAAGAAUUGGGUAGGGAUAUUGUCAGUAAAGAAUCAAAUAAUCCUGGAAACUGCAGUCUGUUGUGGCAUCACGAGGAUAUCUAGGAAGUUCUUACAUAUAAUAUGGUAAGCAAUUUGCUGUGGAUAAUAACUUUGGAAUAUUCUAGCAUUUACAAACUUGAUAUGGAUAUAUUUAUAUACUCUCGAAUUGAUGAAUCUAGAAUUAAUAGAAGAGUGACAAUGAUUAGAAAAAAAAAUAGUUGUUAUAAAUGCCGUGACAACUUAUAUAAUUCUUUGUAAGGAUAGUUUAUAAUGUCAAUUUUUAUUGUAUCCCACAUGCGUAAAUUUCAUGUUUAGUAUUACUUGUAUUAUUGUGUUCCUUUGAUUCGAGCAAUGAUAAAAAAAAUCCACUCCAAUCCCACCUCAAUUCCACACAAGAGUGAAAAAAAAGGUUGAAUUAAUAACUAAGUUACCCCUUGUUGUGAAUCAAUGCCAAACAUGCCCCAAAAAUUUGUCUUGGUGGGGUUGAGGUGCAAUUCAUUGGUGGGAUAUAAAUAUCAUUUUUCAUUUUUUUUAAUUGAUUAUUAGGGGACUGAAAAAGUUGAGGGCAUCUGUUUGAAUAUGUCCAAAGUGAAAGAGAUCCACCUAUAUCUCAAUACAUUCACAAAGAUGCGGAAAUUGAGAUUUUGAAAAUUCUAUAGCUCAUCAUUCAAUGGAGAGAACAAAUGUAAGGGGUCUUAUUUGCAAGACCCUAGAUUUACUGAAGUGAAGUAUCUCCACUGGCAUGGAUAUCCAUUGAAGUCAUUGCCUUCAAACAUUAGUGCAAAGAAGCUUGUGUUUCUUGAAAUGCCUAAUAGCAGCAUUGAACAACUUUGGGAUGGUAUGAAGGUAUGUGAAACUUAAUAGUUUAUGAGUGCAAUCUUUCAACUUUGGGAUGGUAUGAAGGAUUUCUAAAGCGCCUUGCUUACGUAGAAUCAGAUCACUUACUUUUGGGGUGCUAUUUUUUCAGUGAGGAGGAUUUCAAUGGUUUUUGGAAAUAUAUGUAAGGUGCCUUAUUUGCAAGACCCUAGAUUUACUGAAGUGAAGUAUCUCCACUGGCAUGGAUAUCCAUUGAAGUCAUUGCCUUCAAACAUUAGUGCAGAGAAGCUUGUGUUUCUUGAAAUACCUAAUAGCAGCAUUGAACAACUUUGGGAUGGUAUGAAGGUUUGUGUAACUUAAUAGUUUAUGUGUGCAAUCUUUCAACUUUGGGAUGGUAUGAAGGAUUUUCUGAAGCGCCUUGCUUACUUUUGGGGUGCUAUUUUUUCAAUAAGGAGGAUUUCAUUGGUUUUUGGAAAUAUAAUUGCGUUCCUGAGGCAGUCCGCUUCUUUUUUUUUUUGGUCUUGACCACGAGAUAUUUGUAUAUUGAUUUGUCAUUUUCACUCAACUCAUUUGUGUUGUGAAUCCAUUCGCUUAAACAUGUAUGCAUUUGUAAGGAAAACUGACUUGUAAGGAAACUAAUAUUAGUUUAUGAAGUGAAUAUUGCGCCGAAAUAUAUGGAAAAUACAAACACAUUGUAAUCAAUUAAUUUUGCGCGAGAGAGGCAGAUAGUUAAUUGAGGCAACAAGUGAGGACGCCACUCAUGCAAAACAACAUCAUCAAAAGCAGAGCUAAACCAAGAGCGAAACCUAUGGAUGGCCGAUUUGAUGAUGACGCUUCUUCAUCAUUCCCCAUUAUUUUACUUCUCGCUACGUACGUAGUACUCUAUGCUACCUUUCUUGCUUCCUUCAAGUGUGCAUUUAAUUGAACACAAUCGUAUUAGUAGUAAUUUAUAUUUACAAAACUGACUUGUAAGGAAAGGAUUGAAGAUGCCUGUGAACUUACGUUUCUAUUUAGAUUAUUGUAUCUUUUUCAUGUAUAAAAUUGGAUCUUAUCAUUCUCAUAUCAUUAACAUAAGUGGAGAAUGUUAAUACCUCUACCAGUGUUUCAUCCACAGAUUUCUUAUUUGCAUAGAUGGAUAGUAAAAUGUUCCUCAAUGUUCCCCUGCAGCACCAAUAUAUACACAUCAUAGAGUUUUUUAGGAUAAUGAACGAAGGACUGAAUAGAGAGAAGAGAAAAUACCUUUGUUUCACAUCCUCAAAGAUUGCAUCUGCAAUUGGCCUUUGCUUCAACAAAGGAUCAAUCAAACAAAGCAAUGGAAACAAUAGCUUGACUCUCCAAUCAUCAACAAUGCCUUGUAGUUUAUGCCGCCAGCAUAAUUCAACAGAACAAGCCCUCUAACAAGUAUUUGUAUGUAUGUAUGAUCAUUCAUUCUCAAUCAACCACCAAACUGAUGUCAACAAAGCCAUGAGGAUUGUCUCACAAGUCUUUCAUUUUCCCUCUCUUUUGGCCGGAGACCAGUAAACCAUUUGAAUAUGGAUGUGCAAACCAGUAAAUAAAUCAUGAAGUUACACACUAGUCUGCUUUCGCACUCAUUCGGAACUAUAAUUGAUACUUACUGCAGGUAUGGUGUAUAAAUUAUUCUAAAGUGAAGGCUGGAUCAAUAAGAAAUUCAAAAUGUUUCAUCACAUUUUGGGCUUGAUGAUGCCAAAGAAAGACCAUACCAAUUAUCACGAACGGUAAAAUGUGAACAAGAACAAGCAUACAUUCAAGAAAGCAGAGAAGCAUCAAUAAAAUAAAGCAUUCUUCUCACUAUUCUAUAUUGUUGGAAAAUGGACCAAAAUAAAAAAGAAACCAUAUAUGGAACGUCACAACAAGAAUAUUUGUGCAUUUGGAGAUCAUAGGAUAUUGGGAAGACAUCGGCAGAAAAGUACACCUUUUUUUUUUUUUUGGGGGGGGGGGGGGAAAGGAACAGAGAAGUGCAAAUCAAAAAGGAGAAAAAAAUGAAAACAGAGAGAUGAAAAGGAAUGCAAUCUAAUUAAUCAUCCAAGGAGGCUACUAUGCUACAUUUAGCCAUUGGUUGAAUAGGCAGCUUGUCUUCUAGUACAACUUUAAAUUUACCAAGAUUGAGAAUUUUCCUUCUGAAGAAAAGUAAUUUCUAUAGCAGCUAUUACCAUCUUCAUCCCAACAGUAAGCAGCUCCAUACUAAGGAAAGAGUGAAAUAGGUGUGCUUUACUUAUAGAAGCCCGUUCCUGUCCAGAGUGAUUAGUAAGUUGUUUCACCAUGACCCCCAUUAUGGUGACUGGAAAAAGAAAAAAAGAAAUAUUUGCCCAACACAGAAGUAGCACCCAAAAAGUCCUACUUAAGUGGCUUCAUACCCUGCACAAAUUGGAAAGUUUUUUAAAAUUUUCAUGUUCCAAAUGAAGAUUGUCCAUUAAAAAUUUACACACGUAAUGUAUGUAAAGCAAUUAAAACAGAAAAACAAGGAUAACCCAGAAACAAUCCAACCAUCAAUAACAUAAAACUUUUGUAAUUCUGGUAAAGUGAAUGAGAAGCAGAACAUACAUUUCACGUAAUAAUGAAGAUACAUCUUUUAAUCAGUUUUUGCUCUUGCUUUAUUCUUGUACUUCCUUCCAAUAACAAUUCAUAAUGCAGAUACAUAUUUUAAAAAAUUAUAUCAUACAUUUCUCUUAUCAAUGAAGCAGGUUGCUAUUGAACAUUAUUCAUAAACAAAGAGCCAAAUAUGCUUUAAAGCUACUUGCAAAUAUGCCAUCAGGCAUUGAGACAGAGUGACAGACACUCGACAACAAAAACAGAGUUAUCAGCACUUAACAACACAAAAGUCAAAAAGCAAUUACUCUAAGUAAUUCUUCUUCUUCUUCGAAGAAUUUGAACAACAAUUGUCAUUGGUUCUGUAAUUGCAAGACAAGAACAAGGGCUGAUAAUUCCCACGAUGCUUGUAAGACGGAAAGUUUAUGUUUUUCCUUCCGAGCUGGGAAAUCCGAAGCAGGAAAGUUUACAACGUCAUCAUCAAUUUCAAUUUCGUACCUGGUAAUCAAAGCAAAGCUUCGUACUAGUAACACACUCUUAUGGCAGGCCCAGCCCAAUCAGCCCAAUCCAGCCCAGUCGAGCAAGUGAGCAAUGUUAUUAUUUUAUUAUUUUUUAACUCUCGGUGGCUCUGUUAUAUUUGCAAAAUACUCUUCUUCUAAGGGUGUGUUUCAUUGUUCAUUGGAGGAUUAAAAGUGGGGAUUGGACUUUUUUUAAAAACAAUUUAUCCUAGUCUCAUGUUUGGUGUUGUUAAGACUAUAAGGAUUUAGUUAUUUUGGACCCACAAGCUAAUCUCAAUUUUGUAAAAAAAAAUAUCUCAAAAGGGGCCAUGGGAUUAGUUAGUAUUGGAUUAUAUUGAUAACUCAAUUAAAUAUAAUAAUUUAUAAAUCUUAAAAUUAUCGUAAUAUCUGAUGACUAUAAUAAAAAAUAUUGAUUUUAAUAAUGUAAAUAUUAAAUUAUACUAAAAAUCAUUAUUAAUUUUCAUAUUAAAUUAAAAUUCUAUUUUAAUUUAUUUAAUUAUUAAAUAUUUUUAUAAUUUCAAAUUUACAUAUUAAAUUAAUAUUCAAAAAUAUAAUUUUUUUAAUAAAAUAGUAGAUUAUAGAAUAAAAAUAAUAAAAAUAUCAUAAAUAUAUUUAACAAAAUAAAAAUAUUUCUAUUUCAUUAAUAUCAUUGAGGUUGAUUUGUAUAAUUAAUAAAUCAAAAUUUUAGUUUAUAAUAAUAAUAACUUGUAAAUUGUAAUAUUAUAAUAUAAGUCAUGAUUAUUUAUAGUCCAAUCUAAUAUUGCACUAAACACAACAUAAUAUUAUAUAUAAUCUAAUAUUAUCCAAUUUAAUCCGAUCCAAUCUAAUCUAAUCCAAUCUAGCAUACCAAAUGAGCUCUUAUAAGGGAGAGGGAUAUAUUUUAUGUUAGAAUCUUUUCAAAAUAAAUGGCACUUUAAAAAGGUGUCUGACUAUAAAGAUAUGUUUACUUAAACAAUGUUAUAUAUAAUAAAAACAUAUCCUUUUUAUUUAAAGAUGCAUCCAUUCACAGUUUUAUACUUCAAUUUCAAAUGAUGAUAGUUUAUUUUAGACUAGUGAUGAUCUAGUUCAAAUUUUGAUUUAAUAACCAUGAAUGAAAGAGUAUUAUGAAAGAUAACAAUCGAAAUAAAAGAGCACGUGAUUAUCUAUAAAUAGAAGUCACGACCAUUUUGUGAUCCAUCUAAUCUUCCCACGGUACUCUUUUUUCACUAGGAAAGCGACAUUUAUAAUAUGCCUCUGUCGAUUCUUUUUGUUUUAUUCUUCUUCUCCUCCUUCUCAUUCUUCCCCAUAUUUCAAUUAAAAUAAGAAUGAAGCUAUUGGCACCCCUUCAUUAUUCUUAUAAAACCCUAUUUCAAAAAAAGGAAAUUACAGUUAAAGACAAAAAAAGAAACAAACACAUAGGAUUUUUUUCCCCCAACAAAUUACUUACAUUCAUAAUCAAUCUUUUUUUUUUAAUUUCCUACCUAUUAUUUCUUAUCUAACUAAAAUAAGUUAUAUAAAUUUAGAAUAAUCUAUUUUUCUUUUCCUAUUUCUUAUUGAUUAAAUAUUUUUGUACUUAAGAUUACUUUCAAACUACAAUCUAAAAUAUGUGUUAUUUGAGCUAAUGAUUAGCAUUCAAAAUUUAUCACCUAAAAAACUUUUUAGUUUGUAUGUAGGAUAACAAUAAGAUUGUAAAAGAAAUAAAAAAAAAACAGCUAAUAAAAAAAGAUUAAAUGAAAAACUAAAAGAGUGUCUUUAAAAAUAAAAGGAGAUUUUUGUGAAAUAAAAUAAAUGUAACCGAAAAAGUAGUUUCAUGAGGAGGCUAGAAGAAUGCCAAUAGUCUAGCUCUUAAAAUAAAGGUUUAUCAAUUAUUGCUCCUUUUUUCCACAAUUAUUAUUCCCCACGAAUAUUUCUCCAACAUUUUAUUUCAUAUCUUUACUUCUACUAUACUCUAACAAAAGAUGCCUUUUUGGACUACACCAGUCUUCACCUGCAUUUUAUUAAUAAAUUAAAUAAAGGCCCCAUCCACUGUUCAAUUUCUCUAUUUUUUUAAUAAUUAACCACUUUCUUUUAGCUCUCUAAAAAUUUAUUAAGGAAUUUGUUGUGUAAAUAUAAAAAAAUAUAUUUUACACUUCGAAAUUUAAAAUGACCUUUUAGCAUAAAAAUUUAAAACAAAUACCUCUAACUAAAGAAGAAAUUUUAGAAUACAUCAAAAGUAUUCAAUAAGUGAAUCAUGCUACGACAUAUGUGCACUUAUUUUAAAAAACCAUCAUACAAAUGGUGAUUAUAUUGAAUCUAAAUAUGUACAUAUCAUAUAUGACACAACCCACCUCGACCCUUCUGCUAUAUCUGAAUUGAAUUAUGCAAUCUUAAAUCUAAAACUUGUUACAUAAACUUAAUUCAUGAGAAUAUAACACUCGCCUUUGCCUUUGUUAUAAAUAUCUAAUAACAUAUGUGCCUCAUUGAAAAAUAUAUUCAAAAUUUGCAUAGUUCACAUCUUAUUGUACGUAAUAUACAUAUAAACAUAAACGUGCUCAAAAUGUAAGUCAUGCAGUAAUGCGUGUUAUGGCCCAACCUCAACUGAUCAGAAACUGAACUGCACAAAAUCCUACAGAAACCUUAGAGAAAUGGGGUAAAUAGGAAAAUAGUAAGCUUGUGGCUCAAUGAAUAGACAUAAUUACAUAUAAAAAUAAAUUAGUGCUUUAGUGCUUGUACAUAAUUGUAUGACAUAACUUCACACUGAAUUCAUUACAAAAGCAAACAUAAAGUCAUAUAUACAUACAUGACAAAAUUGCACUAAAUAAUAUCCUGGGAAAAUAACUCUCAAUACUCACUAGGAUCAUCAUCGUACGAAUAAAGUGGGGAAAAAACCUCUCAAUGCUCAGCGGAACUAACUGCAUCACAAGAGCUGAGUGAUCUAACUCUCAAUACGCAUGUGUAGGGUCUAUGGGGAAGGGUACACAUAUGGUGCUUGGCAAUCAAAUCUCAUGACUCAAUCAAUCAUAUAAUGUACGUACAUAUAAUCAUAACAUUAUACUAAAUCAUAUAAUCAAACAUAAAUGCUUUGUAGAAUACAUAAUAGUAGUAAUAAUAAUCCACUCACAGAUCCUAUUUCACUUUGGGGUUUGUUAGGGAUCUUGUGGAUUCCUUAAUUUUUGGAUUUCUCCUAAAAUACAGGGUUUAAAAAUUAACUUUUAGAACUGAUAAAAAAAACAUAUAUGUAUGAUGUAAACUAAAUCAUAAUUGUUCAAAUUUCUUAUAUAUGUUAUUGGGGUUUGGUGGGGAUCUUGUGGAUUCCUUAAUUUUUGGAUUUCUCCUAAAAUACAGGGUUCAAAAAUUAACUUUUAGAAUUGAUGAAGUAGGAGCAGAACCCAGCCUCCGGAGGCGUAGAGUCGAGGAAAUCCCUCCGCCGGCAGACCAACCUAAUGGGGUGCAUCCCCACAGAAGUACUGGUCGGGUUCCAGGAGAACGCGCGGAUGAAGGAAGGGACCAACCUCGCCCCAGACGGGUACUGGAAAUUGAUGGCCGAGGGGGCAAUGUUGAUGAAGGAGAGCUCAGAAAGCGGUUGCAGAAUGCCGAGCAGGAGCGAGAUCAGAUAGUUGCGCGUGAUCCUGACCGUGCUGUAGAAUUGGAAAGAGAUGUGCGCAGAUUAGCGCAGGUGAUGGAGGAGAUAUAGGGCAAGAGGAAGCCCCCGAGCUGGAGGAUAAUGUUAGAUGAAGAAUAUCCGUUAUCAACCGAGAUCAUGGGUACAGUAAUCCCAAGAGAUUUUCGUUUCCUCGACCUCAAAUACUCCGGGCGAAGUGACCCGCUGGUGCACAUUGAGCGUUUCAACGACAUGACGGGUGUGCAGGGGCUGACACCAGCUCAGAGGUGCAGGGUGUUCCCAUUGACACUAGAGGGACGAGCCCGAGAAUGGUACCACAAGCUGCCCUGAGGAAGUAUAAAAGGGUACGAGCAGAUGUGCCAGGAGUUGGCUGAAUAGUUCCGAGGAGCAGUGGCCCCAGAGGACGACAUGAUGGAAUUGAUGGGGAUGAAACAGGAGGAGCAUAAAUCCCUUCGAAAUUUUGUAAAAUGAUAUCACUGAGUCGUGCUGGAUCUAGGAGCUUUUAAUCACUCGCAGGCGUUGAGGGGAUUAAAAGAAGGUGUAAGAAUCGACCGAUUGUGGUAUAACUUAAGAAGCCCCCUAGUGCAGAAUUACUUGGCGGGGUAUGAACAGGCGAGGCGAGAUAUAGAAAUCGGCAAGGAUAAAAAGUGAACAGCUGGAAGAGCUGAGACGAAAGGAACGGAGAGCCUCGAACGGGAGCGGGUCGAGAAAGCGAGCUGGGGAAUCUUCAGUAAUGGGUGGAAUAUUAGCUCUGUCCCGCCCUUACCCCAUGGCUCCGAGAUCACAACAGUUCCAACACAACCGGGCUCAACCUCCGAGCCCCCCGUACCCAGAGCGGCAGCGAGAAUUCAGGCAGAUGGCUACCCACCCUUAUCACAAUACUCCCAGAGUGUUAAAUGCAACUAAUUCCAAGUCUGGACGACCAGAGCAGCUACCGACCAUACCAGCCCGAGGUGACAUCCAUGAUAGCCGAGCAGUUCAAUUGGUUGACCAGAGCGUGGCAUAUAGACAGUACACUCCAUUAAAAAUCUCCAUAGAGGAACUGUAUGAGAGGAUCGAGGGACGAGGCCUGCUGUACCCUCCAGCCCCUAUAACAAAACCUGCUCACCGACGGGAUAAGAGCAAAUUCUGUAAAUUCCACAACACUCAUGGUCACACUAUCAGCCAAUGUCAUGACCUAAAGAUUCAGGUGGAGGAUUUAGUGAGGAACCGAUACUUGGAUGAGUAUGUAGAUGGAGUGUCCCCUGUCAUUGAAUCACAAGACACACGGGAUGAAGGAGUUGAGAGGGAUCUGGAACGUGAACAGCCGGCUAUCCGUGUUAUAGCAGGAGGGCCAACAUUGGCUGGGGAUUCGAACAGGGCACGGAAGAACUAUGGGAGAUACGCCAUGACCAGCAAAGAAGUGCUUUUCAAUUUGCCAGCAGCCAAGAAGGCAAAAGUGCGGCAAAUUCCCAUUAUGUGGACAGAUGACGACGAAGAGGGUAUUUUAUAUCCUUAUGAGGAUGCAUUGGUGAUUAAGGCAAUGGUGGCUGGUACAGAAUUGCGACGAAUACUGGUGGAUACGGGCAGCUCGGUUGACAUCCUGUUUAAGUCGGCCCUAGAUAAUAUGGGAAUUGUAAACUUGAAGUUGGAACGGACAAAUACAUCCUUAAAGGGAUUUGGAGGGGGACGGUUAACUCCCAUGGGGAUCAUCGAACUCCUGAUUACUGUGGGGACAAAGCCGUUUGAAAGAAUGAUGAUGUUGGACUUUGUCGUGGUAGAGGAAAAAAGCCCUUACCAGAUGAUACUGGGGAGACCGUUCAUGAGGAUAAGCCAAUGUGUAAUGUCCACGCAUUAUCUGGCGCUGAAGUACAGAGUAAAUGGAGUUGUUGGUGUAGUAAAAGGCAACCAGAGAAUGGCAAGGAGCUGCUAUGCUACAGCGGCCAAGGAAACGCUGCAGGUUACCUCUCUAGAUAAUCGAGGGGAUUCGAAAAAGGGUCGCCAGGAACCUGUCGAGAUGUUGGAGGGAGUUGUUGUAAGCAAGAGUAACCCGAGCAGAGUAGUUAAGGUCGGGUCAGAAUUGGGCGAAGCAAUAAAAGGCGAGUUGGUAAAGUGUCUACAGUCCCAUGCAGACAUAUUUGCCUGGUCUCAUAAGGAUAUACCAGGAAUUGAUCGAAGGGUAGCCUGCCACAAGUUGGCGAUCAGGAGAGGAGCAAGGCCAGUGAGGCAGAAAAUGAGGUGCUUCAACCAGGAAAGGUACGAGGCUAUAAAUGCUGAGGUGGAAAAGUUGCUGAAAGCAGGAUUUAUAAGGGAAGCCAAGUACCCGGAGUGGAUUUCCAAUGUAGUACUAGUAAAGAAGGUCAAUGGGAAGUGGAGAAUGUGUAUAGACUUCACGGACCUCAAUAAGGCAUGCCCGAAGGACAGCUUUCCCCUACCAAAAAUAGAUCAGUUGGUGGACUCAACAGCGGGUCAUAGUCUGCUCAGUUUCAUGGACGCUUUUUCCGGAUACAACCAGAUACCCAUGGACGAGCAGGAUGAGGAAAGCACCACCUUUAUAACUAACAUGGGUUUGUUUUGUUACAGGGUGAUGCCUUUUGGCCUGAAAAAUACAGGAGCUACCUAUCAAAGAUUAGUGAACAAGGUCUUCAAACCAUUGAUCGGUCACACUAUGGGGGUAUAUGUGGACGAUAUGAUCACAAAGUCAAAGGAACCGAGAGAUCAUGUGAAGCACUUGGAAGAGACCUUCGAAUUGCUGAGAAGGUAUGAAAUGAAGCUGAACCCGGAGAAAUGUGCAUUUGGGGUCAACUCGGGCAAAUUUUUGGGAUACCUGGUGAGCCACCGAGGGAUUGAGGCCAACCCGGAAAAGAUACGGGUGGUGAUAGAAAUGAGGUCCCCAUGAACAGUUAAGGAAGUGCAGAGCCUUACGGGGAAAUUGGCAGCAUUGAACCGAUUCAUUUCGCGAGCCACUGAUAAGUGCCACACUUUCUUCCAAAUCAUAAAGAAAUGGAGGAAGAUGGAAUGGACAUCGAAAUGCGAGGAGGCAUUUGGACAGCUAAAGGAAUACCUAGCCCGCGCCCCGUUACUAUCAACUCCGAGAGAGGGUGACCAGCUGCUUUGGUACUUGGCAAUCUCUAAAUGGGCUACCAGCUCGGUAUUAGUCAGGGAGGAAGAAGGAAGGCAACACCCGGUAUAUUAUACAAGCAAGGCCCUAGUGGAUGCAGAAACCAGGUAUCCACUGAUGGAGAAGUGGGCACUGGCUCUAAUAACGGCAGCACGCAAACUCCGACCAUAUUUCCAAGCCCACCAGAUUAUUGUGAUGACUGACCAGCCCCUUCGGCAAAUGCUUCAAAAACCAUAUGCAUCUGGUCAGUUAGUAAAAUGGUCCGUGGAGUUGAGCGAGUUUGACCUAUCUUAUAAGCCCCGAGGAGCAAUCAAAGCCCAAGCUCUGACCGAUUUUAUGAUUGACCGAGCUGAACCAGGGGAAGAGAUUCGGGAGGAACAAGCAAUCGAGCAGGAGAAACCAGAGGGGGUGUGGCUGGUGAUGGUCGAUGGGUCGCGUAGUGAACAAGGGUCCGGAGCAGGAGUGGUAAUACGGAGCCCAGAAGGGGUCGAGGUAUUCUAUGCAGUAAAAUUUGAGUUUCAGCUUACGAAUAACCAAGCUGAAUAUGAGGCCUUCAUUACUGGGCUCGGGCUUGCACGCGCGCUACGAGCUGAAAGAGUAGAAAUCCGAGCAGAUUCCCAGCUAGUUUGCAAUCAGCUCUGCGACCAAUUCCAAGUAAGGGAAGAGAAGUUGGGGCUUUACUUGAAGAAGGCGAAGCAAAUGGUCGGACUCUUCAAAGAGGUAGAGGUAAAGCAGAUAUCCCGGAAUGAGAAUUACCGAGCCGAUAUGUUGGUUAGGAUGGCUGCAACUGCAGAUGCAAAAUUACCUAAGUCAGAGGUGAGGAUGUCACCAAGUAUAGGGGGAGAAGUAGAGGUGAUGAGAAUAAGCACUGGAGAAUCCUGGAUGGACCCGAUUCGCGCAUAUAUCCGCGAUGGAGUAUUACCAGAGGACAAAAGUCAAGCCAGAAAAUUAAAAUACCGAGCAGCGAGGUACACGCUACUUGACGGAGUGCUGUAUCGCCGGUUCACCUUGCCCCUUUUAAGAUGUUUGGAUGACGAGGAGGCAGAUUAUGUACUGAGGGAGAUUCAUGAAGGGAUAUGUGGCAAUCACUCGGGAGCAAGAACUUUAGCCUUCAAGGCACUCCAGCAAGGAUACUUCUGGCCAACCAUGCACCAGGAUGCGAAAAGGAUGGCAAAGAACUGUAAAACCUGCCAAAGCUUCUCUGUGGUUCCUGCACAACCCCCAGAAAAGCUGACCACUAUGAUGUCCCCAUGGCCUUUUGCUCAAUGGGGAAUCGACCUGAUUGGCUCAUUACCAAAGGGCCGAGGAGCGGCAACACAUACUAUUGUAGCAAUAGAUUACUUCACUAAAUGGGUAGAAGUGGGAGUCCUCAGCCAAAUCACGGAGAGAAAGACAACGGAUUUUAUUUGGAAGAAUAUCAUCUACAGAUACGUAAUCCCCUAUACCAUCAUCACAGACAAUGGGAGGCAAUUCGACAACAACAACUUUAGAGAAUUUUGCCGGAACCUGGGGGUGGACCUGAAGUUCUGCACCCCCGCACACCCACAAGCAAAUGGACAAGUGGAAGCAGCCAACAAAGUAAUAAAGAAACUCCUGAAAACAAGACUGGGAGAGAAGAAGGGAGCUUGGGUCGACGAAUUACCAGGCGCACUGUGGGCUUACUGGACAACUCACAAAACCGCCACCGGGGAAACCCGUUUGCUUUAGCUUUUGGUCAUGAGGCGGUAGUCCCAACAGAAAUUGGAGUAGGAAAGCAUCGGACAGAACAUUUCAAUAAGGAGCAAAAUGAUGAGCAGAUCUGCUUGAGCCUGGACCUAUUGGAGGAGAAAAGGGAAGGGGCCUCGCAGAAAGUGGCCCAGUGUCAGCAGAGGGUCACGCGUUAUUACAACAAGAAAGAACUCGUGAGGCAGUUCCGAGCAGGGGAUUGGGUGAUUAGGAAGGUGAAUCAAAACACUAGGGAUCCUUACCAUGGCGUGCUCGACUCGAAAUGGGAAGGCUCGUACAGGGCGAUUCGAGCGACUGGACCAGGGGCUUACAAGCUAGCGUACCCAAACGGGCGAGACGUGAAGAGGUCGUGGAACGCCGAGCACUUAAAGAAGUAUUUCCAGUAAGCAAAGUGCUCUACUAAGUCUUCAUUUUGACAAGUUAUUUCUAUUAAAUGCAUGAUGAAGUGUUACACAUGCAUAUAUUCCGCAUUUUUGUAAUGCAUUCAACUUUCAAUAAAGACGAAUUCAGCAUGAAAUCCCUCUGUUGACAGUCCCAUUAAAUUUUUACUAAGGCAAAUAUGUGCCUACUCCUGCUCGGUCACCGAAGACCAGCAGGCAAUUGCAAGAAAUUUUACUAAGGCAAGUAAGUGUUUGUUCCUGCUCGGUCAACGAAAGACCAGCAGGCGAUUCCACGAAAUUCAACUAAGGCAAAUAAGUGCAUGCUCCUGCUCGGUCACCGAAGACCAGCAGGCAAUUGCAAGAAAUUUUACUAAGGCAAGUAAGUGCCUGUUUCUGCUCGGUCAACGAAAGACCAGCAGGCGAUUCCACGAAAUUCGACUAAGGCAAAUAAGUGCUUGCUCCUGCUUGGUCACCGAAGACCAGCAAGCAAUUGCAAGAAAUUUUACAAAGGCAAGCAAGUGCCUGUUUCUGCUCAGUCAACGAAAGACCAGCAGGCAAUUUUAUGAAAAUUCUACUAAGGCAAGUUAGUGCCUGCUUCUGCUCGGUCAAUAAAAGACCAGCAGCCAAUUUUACGAAAAUUCUACUGAGGUAAGUUAGUGCCUGCUCCUGUUCGGUCAACGAACGACCAGCAGGCAAUUUUGCAAAAAUUUUACUAAGGCAAGCGUAUGCCUAUUCCUGCUCGGUCCACUAAAGAACCAGCAGGCAAAAUCAGAUAAAUUGUCAAGUUAAUUUGCAGAAACAAUCCAUGAGCAAAAACCAGACAAGAAACCCAAUAGAGAGCAUCUAAAAAUUUAUAAACGUUCAAAUGUUUACAAAACAAAUGAAAAUCUAGAGUCUAUACAAAAAUAGACCUAAAGAUUAGGAGGGUCAACGGCUCCAGCAGGUGAAGGAUCAGCAAUCUCGGGAGGUGGAAGAUCAGCAGUACCGAGAGGAGGAGGCACGGACCCUUGACCCACUUCAAAAGCACGUCCCCCAGCUUCCCCCUCCUGCACCCCAUCUAAAGGAGUCUCCACCUGAUCCUGCUCACCCUACUCCUUAUCUGUCUGGCCGACCUCUGCCAUAUACCGCUGCACUCCAACUUCCAGCUUGCUCAUGUCCAGCUCGGGAUAUUCUUCCUUAAGCACAGACAUGAUGCACUUAUAGGAGAAAGCAACCCCAAAGUCAUACUCGGCAUCCAGCCGAUCGUCCACAUCAGCAGAUUUGCCUUUCUCCUCAGCCAGCUGCUCGCUCAGAGAUUUGAUUUCUCCCUCAAGGGCGGUCCUCAAAGUAUCUCUCUCACUUUGAGUAGCCUGAAGAUCAGACUUCAGGUCACCCAACUCACCCUCAAGUUUGGAGGUGGUGGACUCAGCAACAGCAACUUUCUCCUCCAGAUCCGUGCUCUACUUGUUCAGCUCAGCCAGCUUCUCCUUCAAGCGAUCAGCAGAUUCAGCUUUCUUCUUCAACUCCUGAUUGUUGGCUUGAAGCCUCCUCUCAAGGCGCGUGGACCCAUUCUUGUAACACGAAACCAAGGUGGCCAGCCUGAAGGAGACUCUUUGAACAGAACCAGCUAGCUCGAAGAGGUCCAUACUCUCGAUGUCCUUCACCAUCUUGGGCCCCACCAAUUUUCUGUAAUCCUUCUAAUACGGGCUCAGGUAGUCACCUUGAUCCCGCGAUGGAAGAGGAGAGGAUCGGUCCCCAGACUGGAUGCUGACCUUAGGACUCUUAUCGGAAGUUUUCUCCCCACCACUCUUACGAGGUAGAAGAGGGGGCAGAGCAGGAACAGGAGCCUUGGAAAGACCGACGCUGGUUUUCUUUGGAGGAGGGGGAGGGUUGCUGGAGCUGCUUGAAGCCCGACCACGCUUUCUGCUCAUCGCGCUGAGGAUUUUGUUAUCCAUUCCAGCAGCUAUGUCCACUAGACCCGAACCGACCAGGUUUGUUGGUGACAGGAGGUCUUGGCAGGUAGACGCGUUCACCAGAGCAGUUUCCACCUGAAGCAAAGGUCGGUCUUCAAGCCCCUCGAUCAAACCCCACGACUUUGAAAUAACAAAAAAGGUUAAAGAACCCAAAUAAGUGACAAUUUGAUUAAGAACAUAGGCAAAAAUGAACGACCUGGGGUGACAAAAUGUGUUGGAAGGUAAAUAUCCCCACCAAGCGACCGAACUGCUGGACACCAGUUUCCUCUAGCAAAGAAGAAUUUGUUCUUCUAAUUUUUACAUGAAGAAGGAAACCCAGUGAUCGGUUUCCUCUUUGCAGAACUUGACAUAAAGUAGUACCAGCCCGCUUCCCUCGGGCUACUCCACAGCUGGUACAGAUGCUUCACUUCAACAAGGGAAGACUCCUCCAACCCGCACCUCUCCCACAACACAAACAUUGCCGAGAGAACCCUCCACCCAUUUGGGUGUAGCUGACCUGGGGCUAGGUGCAUACCGCCCAGUAUCUUGGCAAAAUAACGUUGAAGGGGCAGCCGAGCUCCUAGUCUGAAACUCUCCAAGUGCAUCGUCACAUACCCUUUCGGAGGCUGACUAGGAACAUCACCUUUUUCAGGAACUACAAGGAGAACCUCAUUGGGAAUGUUAUAGAGGUUCGUAAGCUUAAAUAGAUCGGUGGGGGUGGUGGCACAAUCUAUGAAAUCAAUAGGGUAAGAAUCCGCCUCCACCCUAUGGCCAAGAUUUCUUUUCUUAGCAGGUCCGCUCGGCUCGGAACUGCUCCCCUCACCAUCACCCACUUCUCCAGGGACCCCAACCCCACCAGAACCGUGGUUCUCACCCGAGCCAGAAGCAGGUCCCCCUCUAUUUCCUACAAGUUCUAAUUCAGGGGAAGGUGAAAUGGUCAGGGGACGUGGGUACUCAAGGGUAUCCCUACCAUGGGAAAGACCUACACUACUAGAGGGAUGUAAAAAAUCAGUGGGUAUGGACAAUUUAAGGUUUGAAUCCCCUGUUUCUUCGUCACUCUCAUUGGUAAUUAACUUCCUUUUCUGAUUUGACAUAUCGAAAUCCCAAAAGAAAACAAAGCAAACUCGAGUAUAUGGAUACAAAAGGGGCAACACAGAACCCAACCAACAACAACCAGAGAAGAAGUUAAAAGUUAUACUUGGAAUAAACUGGCACUUAGAGCGCUGCCGUGACAGAGAGAACACCCAGCAAGUGGAUACUCCGGACGCAUGAAGUGUGAGCAAAGUUUGAAGAGGGGGUUGAUUAACGACGGAGAAACGAAUAACAAAACGAUGACAAUUUCAAUCUAGGGAUUUGAAGCGAAAAGGGGGAAAUGGAAGCAUUUAAGUGAGGGGGGUGCCAGCUCACUCACCGGAUAUCGAGGAAUGGAUAGCCCGUCGUUUCAAAUUUCAAAUACGAAGAGUCUGGAGAUGCCACGUCACUAACCGUUAUAAGAGGCCAGGUUAGAUGUGAGCCCAGAUAUGCAAUGGACAAGCUCAUGAAGGCCCAUGCUCAGGUCGGAGUCCCCCUAGAGGAAAAACGGAACCUCAGGUCCAUCCCAGUAAAAAGAAGACCAGAUGAGAAGUUCCCCGGGCCGGUAAUAUUCUAUUAUCAGUUUCUACUCUCAACUCGUUUCACUCGCAAGACCAGAAACUGGGGGACUAAUGUUAGGUAAAUAAGAGCACCAGCUCGGUCAUGCCAUAGUCCCCACCCCGGGGUGGAUCACCUCAGCCGAACGGUAUAAGCAGAACACUGGAAAUAAGCCUUCUACAAAUAUGAGCCAACCAGAGAUGAGUACCAGCCACAGAAGUACACCGACCAGAAGCAUAUACCGAGCCGAUACCCAUCCCCCAAAGAACGGAAACACGAUUUCACAGAAUCACGAUAGUUGCGCAUUUCCCAGAACCGUCGAGGGAGACGCGAGAUCUCACGAUUGCCCACAAUGUAGCAGUUAAAGUCCCAUGAAGGGCUGCCACUACCUGAAAAAAGAGGGAUGAAGGGUAAACGGAAAUGUGGGGUAGCAGCUAUAAAAGAGGAAGAAAUCAAUGAAGAAAGGGGGACAGAAAAACUGAGAGAAGGGAAAACUCUGCCAAAUUGUAUCCAGACCCUUUUCAAUACCAAUAGUGAGCCAAUUCUAAGCAAUUAUUUGAAUCUUAAUUGCACCGUUUUCCCGUAAACACCUUGUGCUAACUUAGGCAUCGGAGGGUUUACGCCGGCAAAACCACCGGCGUCUCUGAUCCAUUUUUGUGAACGCAGGCUUAGUGAGAAAAAGAAGGAGAAGUCUAACUUCAGUAACUAGAGCGAUCGUUGAAGUAAGGAGAAAUUGACAUCCUCAUUGUUGAUAACACAAACGUUGGUGUAAAGAUCUGGUCAGGCAGAGGACGAGCAGAUUUCAGCAUCAACAUAAUUUAUAGGGAGAUUGUAAAUUUCCUUACUCAAAUCAAUAUAUACCACUUAUUCUGACUAUUUUUACAAUAUUUAAUAACUCUCCUGGUACCAUCACUUUGCAAUAUUAUCCUUCUGAAAAACAAUAAGUAGUAUAUAUUAAUUUCAAUUGGAAAACUAGCAAUCUCCCUUAUUUCAUAUUUCAUGCAAAUUCCUCCUAUUUGAAGUUACUGCUGCUAAUUUUAUGUAUUUGGUAGGCCUGAAUCGGAACUUAUAAACGAAGUUGUUAAUCAUAUUUUAAAGAGACUGCUGGAUCAAGUUUUUCGGCGGAAUGAUAACAAAAACCAGCUGGUUGGAGUAGAAUCAAGAGUUGAGGAAAUUGAAUAUCUACUAGGUGUUCAGUCGAAAGAUGUUUACGCUUUAAGGAUUUGGGGCAUUGGUGGUAUAGGCAAAACAACAAUCGCUAGAGCUACUUUCGACAAAAUCUCUAGCGAUUUUGAAGGUUCUUGCUUCCUUGAAAAUGUUAGAGAAGAGUCACAAAAACCGGGAGGAUUAGGUUGCUUGCGACAAAAACUUCUUUCAAAUUUAUUGAAAGAUAAAAAUGUGAGUCUUGAUAUUGGUCUCAAUUUUAGAAGGCUCAGCCGCAUGAAGGUUCUGAUUGUUUUUGAUGAUGUGACUUGCUUCAGCCAAUUAGAAUCUAUAAUUGGAAGUCUUGAUUGGUUGACGCCUGUGAGUCGAAUCAUAAUAACCACCAGAAAUAAACAAGUGCUUAGAAAUUGGGGGGUGAGUAAAAUAUAUGAGAUCGAGGCAUUAGAAUAUCAUCACGCUCUUGAGCUUUUCAUUCGACAUGCCUUCAAACAAAACCAUCCUUACGUUGGUUACGAGCAAUUUUCAAGGAAGGCAAUGAAAUAUGCUCAAGGUGUUCCUUUAGCUCUUAAAGUUUUGGGUUGCUUUCUAUAUGAAAGAGAAAAGGAAGUCUGGGAAAGUGCAAUAAAUAAAUUGCAAAGAAUCCUCCAUCCAAGUAUCCUAGAGGUAUUAAAAAUAAGUUACGAUAGUUUGGAUGAUAAGGAGAAAAAUAUUUUCCUUGAUGUUGCUUGUUUCUUUCAAGGCGAGGAUGUAAAUCUAGUAAUGAAAUUCCAUAAUGCAAGCGGUUUCUACCCAGAAAUAGGAAUAAGUGUUCUUGUUGAUAAAUCUCUCAUUGCUAUUGGUUCAUACAACCAGAUAAGAAUGCAUGAUUUACUACAAGAGUUGGGUAGGGAAAUUGUUCGACAAGAAUCAAUUAAUCCUGGAAACCGCAGUAGGUUGUGGCAUCAUGAGGAUAUCUAUGAAGUUCUUACAUAUAACACGGUAAGCAGUUUGUUGUGGAUAAUUAUUUUGAAAUAUUCUAGCAUUUACAAACUUGAUAUGAAUAUAUUUAUAUAUGCUCGAACUGAUGAGUGUUAGAAUUAAUAGAAGAGCGACAAUGAUUAGAAAAAACCAUAUCCGUUAGAUGACGUAGCAAUAAAUUAUAAAUGCCAUGACAACUUGCAUAAUCGUCUGCAAGCAUAAUUGAUAUGCCAAUUUGUAUAGUACACAGACGGAAUUUUUAUAUUAAGUAUUACUUGUGUUAUUAUGUUUCUUUGUGCAUUUGCAAUUAAAAGUUUAACUGCCUAGCAAUAACUAAAAACAUGAAUUAUUGAUUUGAGAAAUGAUGAAGAGUCCACUCCAAUCCCACAUAAACUCGACUAAAUAAUAAAUAAAAAGUUGAAUUAUUAACUAAGCUACCUCUAAUUGUGAAUUAGUGAGAAACUUGCCCCAAAAAUUUGACUUGGUGGGGUUGAAGUGCGAUUCAUUGGUGGAAUACACAUAUCUUUCAUUUGAUUUUAACUUUAUUGCUUUUUCAUUUAUUUUUAGGGGACAGAAAAAAUUGAGGGCAUGUGUUUGGAUAUGUCAAAAGUAAAAGAGCUCCAUCCAAAUUCCAAUACUUUCACAAAGAUGCCUAAAUUGAGAUUUUUAAAGUUCUAUAGUUCAUUAUUCAAUGGAGAGAACAAAUGUAAGAUGUCUUAUUUGCAAGACCCUGGAUUUGCUGAAGUGAAAUAUCUUCACUGGCAUGGAUAUCCGUUGAAGUCAUUACCCUCAAACCUCAGUGCAGAGAAGCUUAUGUUACUUGAAGUGCCUGAUAGUGACAUUGAACGACUUGGGAUUGUGUGAAGGUAUGCAUAUCUUAUUAUAUAUGUGCAAUCUUUCAAUAACAACCUUAAAUUAUUAUACGUGGUAACGAUUUUGUCUUGGCCUCAUUUUUGACCGAGCAGCAUUAUAGUAAGUUAAACCAGAUAAUCCAUGCUGCCUGCCAUAAGCUAAUUGCCAAAAUUCCAAAUCCCACGUUGAUGCCACGUCUGAACAAGCUAGUUACGUUGAAUCUAAGAGGUAGCAAAAGCCUGAAAAGUCUUCCAUCUGGAAUAUUUAACUUGGAAUUUCUUACCAAACUUGAUCUAUCGGGCUGCUCAAAACUGAAAAGGCUUCCAGAGAUCUCAUCAGGUAAUAUAAGCUGGUUAUUUUUAAGGGGGAUUGCAAUUGAAGAACUACCCUCAUCAAUUGAGCGUCUACUUAGGCUCGGAUACUUAGACCUUUCAGAUUGUAAAAGGCUUAAGAGUCUCCCAAGCAGCCUCUAUAGAUUGAAAUCUCUUGGAGUUCUUAGUCUCUGUGGUUGCUCAAAUCUUCAGAGAUUGCCCGAAUGUCUUGGCCAAUUAUCCUCGCCAAUAACAUUUAAUCUAGCGAAAACCAAUAUUGAGAGAAUACCAGAAAGCAUUAUCCAACUUUUCGUGUCGGGAUACCUCCUCUUAAGUUAUGGUGAGAGGUUCGAAUUCGUACAAAAGCCUCCAUUCCUUGAACGAGGUUGCUUGGCACUGCAACCAUUUAUAGGUUUGUUCUCUAAGUUAUGAAUCUUACAGGCAAUAUUUUUUGACCGGAGAAAUAAUUUUAAAUUGGAAGGUAAUUCUACUGCAGGAAUUGUUGAAGAUACCCUGAGAAUUCAGCAUACGAACCAUACGCCAGCUGUACGUUGGCAAGAAAUAUGGCAAGAAGUAUGGCUAAAUGUGUGUCUUUAACUCUCUCGACUUACAAUUUCUACAAUCUUUGGUUUUUUUUUUGGGUUUAAAAUUAUGUUUUUUUGGUACAUAGAGGUUUUUCCAUGGGCAAAGGUCAUAUAGUACUACCUGGGAAUGAAAUUCCAAAGUGGUUUGAGUUUCAAAGUGUGGGAUCUUUUAUAGCCUUGGAGAUGCCCCCAGAUUUCUUCAAUAAUAGCAGAGUGCAGGGCAUUGCAUUUAGUGCUAUUUUAGCAUUUUCAGACCGUCAUGUAGAUUGUGGCACAUGGUUUUCAUUUUCUUUUGAGCUCAAAGUGAAAACCACCAAAGAUUGUGGUACGCAUGACACACGAUUAUUUCAGAGCAGAGUUAAUUAUGUAGAAUCAGAUUACUUACAUUUGGGGUACUAUCAGUUCUGUGAAGAGGAUUUUAAUGGUUUUUGGAAAUGCAAUUGCAUUCCUGAGGCAGUCCACUUUAAUGUUUUUCCACCUUUGGAGUGCCAGUGCUGCGGGGUGAAAAAAUGUGGGAUCCAUUUACUUAACACCCCAAAUCCUACGUCAAUGGAAGACCCAAGCACAUGUUUCAACUGUCACGAAGAAGACUGAGAUAGGUGUCAUUUUCACUCAACUCACCUGAGUUGUGAAUCCAUUUGCUUAAACAUGUAUGCACUUUUUCAAGUAUCUCUACCAAUUCCAUAGUUGGAAUGGUGCAUUUGAUUCCAUAGUUGAUGUGGUAUCGUCUUUGGUUAGAAUUUAUAUUUACAAAAAUGACUUGUAAGGAAAGGAUUGAAGAUGCCUGUGAACUUAUAUUUCGAUUUAGAUUAUUGUAUCUUUUUCAUGUAUAAAAUUGGAUCCUAUCAUUCACAUAUCAUUGACAAGAGCAAUAUGGAUUACUAAAUCAUUAUUCUUUAUUAUUGUGCUGAAUUUGAUUUUUUAUUGAAUAAUUUGAUAUAUUUCUUGAAUCAAUUUGGAGCUUCUACAACUUGUCAGAGAUCAGUUUCUCCAACAUUCCCUUCGGCGCCAAAAGAUAACCAAGCGGUUGAAUAAGAAUUGAUAUAUACAACAUAAAUACAAGAGUUGUUUUGUCUUUUUACAAUAGGAAUAAUAUAUAAUGCUCGUUAAAACUUGCUGAUGAGAAAGUAAAUUCCUCAGAAAUUAAAUGUUUCAGCCAACCAAGGAAGCAGCUUUUCAUGGACCAACUCAGGCCUGUCGUCAUGGGGGCAAUGUCCUACUCCAUCCAAUACAAUUAGCUUCACAUUUGAGAGUUUAGAAGGCAGAGAUGAGAAGUAUUUACCAACAGGUCCAUCGAGGGGUGUGAAUGGAUCCUUAUCACCCCAUAAAACUAGUACAGGUAUAGAGAUUGAUGGCAUCAAUUGAACUGGGUUCGGCCCUGGUGGGCCUGUUACAAUCGAAACAAAUGCAUCAAGUGCCCCUUCCUCAUUGGCGGGCUCUCGUAUGAUCUGCAGUUUUGAGGUCGAUUCAUUAAUUAUGAGAAGCCAUUUUUGUAACAGGUUAAAAUGGCAUAUAAGUGGAGAAUAUUAAUACCUCAACCAGUGUUUCAUCCACAGAUUCCUUAUUUGCAUAAAUGGACAGUAAAAUAUUCCUCAGUGUUUCCCUACAGCACCAAGAUAUGCACAUCAUAGAGUUUUUUUUUUUUUUAUUUUGACUCUAGUGUCUUGGGAUAAUGAACAAUGGACUGAAUAGAGAGAAGAGAAAAUACCUUUGUUUCACACGCUCAAAUAUAGCAGAAGCAAUUGGCCUUUGCUUCAACAAAAAAUCAAUGAACCAAAGCAAUGGUAACAAUAGCUUGAUUCUCCAAUCAUCAACAAUUGCCUUGUUGUUCAUGCCACCAGCACAAUUCAACAGAACAAGCCCUUGAACAAGGGUUUGACUAGAUUCUUAUGGUAGAAAAUAUAGCAGGUUUGUCGUAAACCAUAGAUACCAAAAAGGAUAAUUAGGGGCAAGUGUUUCUUUGCAAGCAAGUUGAAGAAUAUCUGAUGUCCAAGGGGAAGUUAAAAUAAAUAUACCUGAGGCAGCAAUAACACAAGCUAGGCUUCCAACAGAGUUACCUAUAAGCACAGUUGGCUUCUUAACAACUUCAUCCAAGAAAUCCAAUAGUAGCUGUAUCAGUGAAUCUCACUCAAGUUAGCAAGGAAAAUAACUAAAGGUCAAGCGAUUGAUGACAAAAGAUCCAACUUCUGGCUAGGGAACAUUGCAUACCUGAGCCCAUCCCUCCAUGGUAUAUGAAUAACCAGCUGGCUUAUCUGAAGCACCAAAUCCAAGAAGGUCAAUUGCAUAAACCGUGUAGCUCUUUGCCAGGGUGCCAAUAUUCCUGAAAUUACCUCAGAGAUGACAAGAAAAAUAUCAAUUCCUCACAUUAUUUAAUAGGAUAAAGGAAUGGUGCACAAGCAAAUUUUCAUUCCCCUUUUCAACGGAGCAGUAAAAUGAAUACUUUUUCACUAGAUUAAGAAUCGGAAAAUGGAAGAAGCCUAUAUCCAUAAAAGGGUAAUACGAAAUGGAACCCUGAAACUCAGAUCACCGGUUUGUCAUCAUCUAGGUGCAAGGAAUAGAACUAGGUGUUAAUGCCAAUGCACCAGGAAAUAACGAAUAGAUUUACCUUCAUUAUUCUUUUGCUUCAUUCAUCUUAAUUAAUUAUUAGAAGUAUAACACAUAUAAAUGCAUCCCUGAACUUCAUAAUACAUAACAGAGUCAGAGGUAUUACAUACAUAGGGGCAUGACAUGCUCCAUACCAAAAAACAAAUAAAGUCGAAAAUGCCCAGAACGUAAUUUGAAUUGAACUCACAAUAAAGGAGCUACGUUUUGUGCACCCAAUAAUUAACCCGCUACACAAUUCACAACAAGAAAGAGCAAUCUUAUCUCGCUAACCUGCGCCAGUGAGGAAUGGAGGCACCAAAGCCAUGGACAAGGAGUAGAGGAGGAGAAUUGGGAUGUGAAUUUGGAGUUGAAGAAACCAAGUAAUUGAUGGAGUACUGACCCUUCCAUUUCCACAUUUUGCAACUCUCCCUUAUCUCAUUAACCUCCAAUUCCAGUGCAGCAGAAGCAGAAUCCCCUCCACUGCUACUGUUAGUAUAACUGAUGGUAACAUUUUGUCUCUUCUUCUUCUCCUUAUUCCUCUGCUGGAACUGCAACUGAAACUGCCAACUCUUAUUGCUCAAUAGGGGCAAGCGUAGGCCUUUUACAUCUCCAUUUCCAUUUCCAAUCCUGAGUGUUGUUAUUGGAAUAAUGAAAGAGGGAGUCCGAGCCCUUACCAUCCACACGCUCAUUCUUUUCUUGCUUUUUCAAUUGAAUAUUUUCUGUGGCCUGGCUUGGUUUUUUGCAAUGAAUUCACAAUAUUUUUUUAAAAAAUACAAAUUAAUAAAAAUUUUGUAUAGUUAAUUAGUUAAAUCCUUCUAUUAAUUUUUUUCUUGGGUUUUUUGACCAUCUUUAAUCAUAAAACUUUAAUACAAGUUUUAUUUUAGUAUUUUAUUAUUAUGAUAUAUAGCGACUAAAUUACCAUAAUAAACAUGAGUUAUUGUAUCUAAUAAUUUAUGUAUCUAGCUUAUAAUCUAAUAUUUUUAAAUAAAAUUUAAUUGUUAUUUUCUUUACUUUUAUGGGUAAAUUACAUAAAAUUGACAUCCCAAUAAUUUACACGAGUAUCAUGCCCUAAAGAUACUAUUUUAGCUUAAUUAAAGAUUAAAACUCAUACUAAUAAAAUAGUAUUAGAAACAAUGAGUUUGGUACAAAAUUAGAAAAAUAUUAAAGUUAAAGUAAAUUCCUAAUAGUAAAUUCCUAAUAUUUUCUUCAUUAUGAGAGCUUUUCGCAGACUACAGAUGCUUUUGCUUUAACGACGACGGAUGUUUUUGCCGCUACUUCGACGUUCGAUAUAAUUAAGAAGCCCACCUCAUGCUUGGCGUAACUCCUUUGCAUCUGUACAAAAUUCACUCAGACGAUCAAUAAACCAAGUCCAUUGGUUUGUUGUUUGGUAGAAAUCCUCCACUUGGUUUUCAUCCAGAUAAUCAUCUAACCGAUACCAUACAUUGUUGAGCUUCACUUGAUUUUGACACAAUUCAUACAGAUGAUCAAUAAACCGAGUGCAGAGGUUUCCAUUCAGAUUAUAAUCAAUAAUAGACCGAGUCCAUCGGUUUGUUGCAUGGUCGCACUUCACCACUUCGUGCCUAUAAACUGGAUGGAAACCACAACACUUCACCUCCAAUCCUGGGCCCGAAUCAGACUGAAAUGACUACACAAAAUCCGGAGAUUUAAAAUUCCAUUUGCGCGAAUAGCCUUCUUUAGGAGACAAAUAAAAAAGCCAAAGAUGGUCUGACCCAGCUUGACCAAACUUUUCCUUAAAAUGAAUAAAACUACUCAUAUAAGAAGCAUUCUUAUGGCAGCUCAACUGAUGUGUGGGGAAUGAGCGCAACCUUUUGAUACCACACGAACCUUUACGGACAUUAAAAACACAGCACAUAGCAUAUCCCACCACCUCAUUUUCACGCAAAAAUAAAGGCAUUGUGACUGCCAUUGCAGAAUCUUCUUUCUGAUACCUGAAACACUUUGAAAUUUCACUUCCUGGAACAACAAUGCUUAAAUGCGGUAUUGGUUUUGACACUUCCUGCAACUUAAAAAAGCACAAAAACAUAAGAAAUAAAGGUCCAUGUCAAUACAUAAUUUUUAGGCAUGAUCUUUGGCACAUCUGGGAGACAGAAUGAGAGACUGACCUCAAGGUUCUCUCUUAGCACUGACAAUGUCGACCCGUUGUUGUCGAGCAAUUUCAUGCAGUCCAUACAAUUAAUUACUACGUAAAUUGACUUGCAUAAUUUCAAUGCAUGUGAUAAUGUUCCCAAAGAAGCACAACCAUUUACCUGAACUUGCUCUAUAUUGGACGGAAGUUGUGGCAGAGAUUGAAGCCUCUGGCAUUCCUCCAAUUCUAUAAUCCAAAGCUUAGAAAGAAGGUUAAUGCUUGCUGGUAGCGAGAAAAACCUGUUUUUACUUAAAUACAACUCUUUUAAUGAGCAUAUGUUGCCAAUAUCACUUGGGAUUGCUCCUUCCCCUAGAUUACAGUCACUGAUAUCCAAUUUCGUUAAAGAGCACAAACCUAAAAGAGAAGGCAACCUCAAAGCUACAGUAUGUGAACUCCUCAUUUUCAUCGAAUUGAUGGGGAAAGGAAAAUACAAUGAUGAUGAUGAUUGUGGUAAUUUGCUUCCAACAAAAGACAGUGCUUGAUAAUUCUGCAUAGAAAAAAUGGACGAAACUGGGGUAAUUUUUGUGAGUUUCUUCACCAUUGAAGCUUAAGAACACAUCAUAUUUCCAAUAAGAGACUUCUUGGAUGCUCAUGAAAGCCAUUACAUUUGUUAGAUUUACGCGCCCAUGAUGGGCUGACUUUAUCCAACUUGAGAGAUAAGAUAUACUUACAGUUUAUCUAAGAUUUUUAUAAGAUAAACUUAGUGAUUUAUCCAAAUCCUAAUCACAUAAGUUGUGGCUUAUUCAAAUAAUUCUAAGAAGUUUAUUUGAAUUAAACUACAUUUAUUGUACUAUAUAAGCAUUACAUGGGUGUUUGCAAAUAUGUACGAUAAUAAUAAUAAGAAUUAGAAUAAUAUCAUAAAGAGAGUGUGAGAAAAGGGAAAAGACAGUGAGUUCUUACUACGUGAAUUGAGGGGAUUUUCCAACCAUGUGAUUGUCCUCUGACCAUCAGUGACAUAAGCUCGUUGCGAUCCGUUACGAUCUGUUCAUGAAGGCUCCAGUAAUCAGUUGUUUUUCAUUGCGAUUUGUUUGUGAAGGUUCUUGGAAAUCCGUUCUCGGAGAUUGGAAGGAAACUAUUAUUUGUUUCUCAGAUUCAUGACGAUUUGUUUUUGCAUCAACCAAAAAGAUAUGAAUUUAGUUGAUCAAAUAAAGUUGCAUCAUAGAUUAAGAAAAUGAACAUUGGUAUCAAAGCCUGUGUAGUUUAUAUCCUGAUCUUAAGUGCAUUAUGUAUGCUGAUAUGCCAUGGUUCAUCCAUUAAUGGUAUAUGAUGAAAUACGUACUGUCAAAACAUGAAAUCCAGACAACACUGUCGCCUGAGCAUGUUCUAGGAAAUUGUUCUACAUGGCUAUUUCUACAAACUUUGAAAGUGUAGCUAUUUUUUUCUCUAUUAAAUAUUGGAAAAUUCUUCACAUGAAAAUCAUUAUCGUUGAGAAUAAUGUGCUUCUUUAGUUAAUUAAAUAGCCUACAACACUGUCGUCUGAGCAUGUUCUAGGAAAUUGUUUAUGAAAUAGAAACAUAAGUAUAGUGAACCUUAGUUACACACACACACACACAUAUAGUAGGCAUUCUCAUUUUUUUCAUGCGGACACACUCUUAGACCGUUUAAGAGAGUUAAUUUUUAACUCUCUUAAACCGCGGAUUAAGAGCGUGUCCGCAUUAACAAAAUUACAGGCGUCGGUGUGUGUAUCAUUAGGGGUAGCAAACCCAUUGCUUGUCCUGUACCUUAAUGACCAAAAUUUAUGGGAAUAAUAAUGAUAUUAAUAAAUAAUGAUAAUAAUAAUAAUAAUAUAAUAAAAAUGGAUUAAUAAUUGUUAUUAUUAUUAUUAUUAUCAUUAUUAUUAUUGUUAUUGCUGUUGUCACUACUAUAAUAAUGAUAAUGAUGAUGAUGAUAAUUUUAACAAUAACAAUAUUUAUUUAACAAUUACAAGAACAAGAACAAUAACAACUACAAUAAUAUACUUAUAUAAUAAUAUUUUAAUUGAAGACAAAAUUAGAAUUAUGAUAUUUGAGAAGGGUAAUUGCGAGUUCAAUGAAUGAGAACUUAAUCCCAACUCUCAUGAAUGUAUGAGCCCCACAUGUUUUAUUCUUAUUCCCUCUUACAUUUUUAAUUAGUAAACACUAUCGACCAUUCUCAUUCCAAAUUUUGAUUUCUGAAUCCCACAAGUAAAGUAGCUGUUAGGAAUAUAAUUUUGAUUUCUGAAUCCCACAAGUAAAGUAGUUGUUAUGAAUAUAAUUACAGCAAAUUGGUGGAAGCUUAUUACUAACAACUAAUUGUAUAUGAUAUAUGAAUGGAGCCUCUCUACUGUUUAUAAUCUUGAUGAUGAUUUUGCCGGAUCAAAGAGGCAUGUAGCCACGAGGUCAAAACAAAGCGUUACCGGCCAUAUUACAGGGGAAUCCAGUGGAAGUAUUGACUGCUGUGAUUAUGAUGAUGAACCACAAGCUAAAAGAUUUAAAGAACUCGAAUCAAAAGGGAAAAACCUAACUAGUUGUUUUCUUAAUAUUUCUACACGUGUGGUUCUAUUUCCUUCUCUUUUUCCGGAAGUAACUCAACAUAUAUAUUGCUUUAAUUUAAAGUGGUAUGCGUUCAUUCAAAAUUCUUGUGCUGAUACGAAUUUGUAGCUGCAGUCUGCAGAUUUGCUAUGAACUUCAGCUGCUACGUUCUUGCUAUGCUUAAUUUCUUGGCUCUUCUGAAGAUAUUUACUUGUAUUGUUGAGUGGUUAUUUGGAGUUGAGUAAUUGAACAACGGGGAAACAUUUAUUUGAAGUUGAGUGAUUGAACAACAGGUAAUUUGAGAACAGUUUCCCAGGUUUGAGAAACUGUAGAUAUAUUGGAAAACCUGAGAAAUUUUGUUCCAUGAACCCCCUAAUAUUUAUGUGCUGCUUAUUUUCUUAUAGAUUCCAUAAUAUCAUGUUACAAGUCAAAAACUUGGACCCGACCUAGCUAAAACAAAAGGUGUUUGAUAUAAAUAUCAAUCUAUUUGACAAAAUGUCCCAACGAAUAAAUAUUUGGCGGGAAAGUUUGUAUUUGAAUUAUCAAGCACAAAAAGCCAUCAAAGGUCUGAGAAUGAAAGCUCUCGAAGUUUCCAGAAUUCAUGGACAAGAUUGAGAAACAAGCAUCAGGGGUCGACAUUGUUGAAUAAAACAAUAGUACACAACAAACCUUUAUCAUCUUUAUAAUCUUUCUACGGAAACUCUUAGCCCUUAGAUUAAUCUUUUCCAGAACAUAAAUUUUUUAGGCAUAAGUCAUAGAACAUUUGAGAGAAACAGAGUGAGAGGCUCACGUUAGUUAAGUGGAAAAGCCAAAUCGUUGUUAACAAUCAAUUUCAAGCACUGUGCACAGCUAUAUAAAUUAGAACAUUGACUGGCAUAAUUUAAAUGCAUCAGAUUGCAGAAGCUAUAUCAAAAAAUUCAAACAGAUUCAGCAAGCUAAUCUAAUUUCUUUAUUAUUCAUUCAUGGCAAUGCAAGUCAUCAACUACGACAUCUGAUUCAAUACAACAAUGGUCAGGGUACGAAAAUGAAAAAGCUGCAAGAUGUUAAGAAUACGAAACAGAGGAUUUGUUUCAAUCCUUUAAUUUUCAACUCAUGAGAAAUCACAAAACUCAAGGCUUCAAAUUCUAUUUUAUAUUUCUUAAACUUUGUUUAUUCCCAGAAACAAAAAAAAAAAAAAAAAAGAUUUUCUGAAAUUUUACUUUCUUUCAAUCUCUUUUUACUCUAGUUCAGUUCUAAUUCCACAUUUUCUCACGUUCCAAACAACAAAAAUGAAAUAAUCAAAACAAAAUUAAAUAAGAAACACUUGCAACAAUCAAAUGAACUGCUUGUUUCUUUAUCAACAGGGCGUAAGCAUUGGAUUAUCUUGAUCAAAAUCCAUGUUCACUGGGAUUUAUUAACAAACCUCAGAGAAAUUCAAGGUGCUAAUCUGAUAGAGCACAAAUGCUAAUUCAAUUCAUGGAAGGCACAUUUCAACAACUUCGAAGCAUUCUUUGCUUUUGAUCCAAGCAGAGCAUUUCUGGUAAUUUAACAUAAAAUAUUUUUGCAUGAGUAGAUAAAAUAAAUGAAUAGAAAGAAUGUAAAUGAAUUACCUAGUGCAAAGAACACAAAGAGAAACUGAAGAUGCAUGCUUUCCAAUAAAUUCAGAGAAUCAUUUGAGUUCUCUAAAUUUUUUAUUUUGAGGUUGUGGUUCCUCGUCAACACAGCCCCAAUCCCACUGUUCAGCCCCAAAUAUUUAAUAAGGCUUCAAUUUGACGUUGUGGCCACAGCCAUCUUUGUUAUUGUUGAGAAUUCAGGUUGUGAAGAACCAGCAUUUGAUCCCAAGGCCCUGCUGGCAUGCCACCUGAGCAACCAUUUCCAAAGAGCAGCUGAUGAGGAAGGUGAGGUGUAUCCUAUGAGCUGGCAAAACUGUUAUGGUGAGGAAUAUCAACAUGUGAACUCUGCAAGCUGGAAAUUUCUAGAAUGUUUUCAAUGAUUGGCUGUGCAGCUGUCACUCUUUGUCUUAUUCAUUUUCAGCUGCACCUUGAGCCAGCAACCGUUGUUUUUAGUUUAUGUAUAAAUAUUUGAAACAAUUGUAUUUCAUUUUCAAGCUUCCUUUAAUAAAAACAAAGGUAUGUUUGUUUCUCUGCUGCUUGCAUAUUCAAGCAAUUCAUCAAGAAUUUAAGUUGGUAUCAGAGCAACUUUAAGCUAUGGAAAGCAGCAGAAAUUCACAAACAAACAUGAAUCAAACACUGGAAAAUCCAGACGACCAAAACUUGAAUCAACCAGAAAAUGUUGAUGACCAGAAUCCAAACAACAACACCAGAAAUAUGACCCUAGUGAAUGCAUCUCCUACCCAACACAUCACCAGCAACACAUAUGUGUUCACCAAUCCUAUCAAGCUAACACAGAACAAUUUUAUGCUCUGGAAAUCACAAGUGAUUUCCAGCAUAAGAGCAAAUGAGCUCGAAGGCUUCAUAAAUGGGAGCCAUAUUUGUCCCCCCAGAUGCUUCACUAAUCCUGGACCUAAUCAAACUACCAUCACCACCACAAAUCCAGAAUACCAAAUCUGGAAGAAACAAGACCACAUUCUUCUGAGCUGGUUGCUCUCAUCACUCAGUGAAGGAGUGCUUGGCACUGUGGUGGAUUGUUCUACUUCAUGUGAAGUAUGGACAACCCUUGCCAAUCAAUAUGGUGCAAGAACAAGAGCUAGAGUUCUAUACCUGAGAACACAGAUUCAAACCACCAAAAAGGGGUCCCUUACAAUUCAUGACUAUUAUUCCAGAAUGAAAACUAUCCUAAACACUCUUAGAGCAGCUGGAAAUAACAUGACUGAUGAGGACUUCAUUAUGUGUGUCUUAGCUGGAGUAGGACCUGAAUAUGAUUCUGUAGUCACUAAUAUUAACUCCAUGCCAGAAACUCCUUCAUUAUCAGAAGUGUAUGGAAUGCUCCUCAGCCAAGAAACUAGAACUGAACAGAACCUCAGCACAGGGUCACUUGAGGCCAACUUCACACAAAUGAGAAAUGGUAGAAGGAACUGGGGGUAUGGUGAAAGAUUUGGUAAUCAACAGCAACCUGGAAUAGUCUUUAGAACCCCUGGUAGUAGCUCUGGAAAUGGUGGAAGUGGUGGUCCUGGUCAGACAAACCAAAAUGCUCAAGACAAAGGGAAAGGCAAGGCUGUUGCUGAAAAUGAGGGCUCUGAGUCAAAGGGUCCAUGCCAGAUUUGCUUCAAAAUGGGUCACACAGCUGCUGAAUGCUGGCAUAGGUUCAAGAAAAAUUAUGUGCCACAACCAAAUAGGAGAAGAGGGGCAUACAUGGCUUCAGCAGAAGGACAGAGCAGCAAUGCCUGGUACCUUGACAGUGGUGCAACAAACCAUGUAACCAAUGCCAUUGGGAACAUGAACUUGAACUCAGAAUACCAAGGUAAUGACAAGCUCACUGUUGGUAAUGGUAAUAAACUUCACAUCUCUCACAUUGGUUACUCUAUGUUACCUACUUACAACCCACACAAGCACAUCAAACUAAACCAUAUUCUCUGUGUACCUGAUAUUGCAAAGAACCUUAUUAGUGUUUCCAAAUUGCUUCUUGAUAAUGAUAUUAAUGUUGAAUUUCAUAAAUCUGUUUGCUUCAUCAAGGACAAGAGCCAAGGGAAAAUUCUGGUGAAAGGAGUGGCUAGAGAUGGACUAUACGAGCUACUAUGCAUGCCUACUCAUUUGAGUGGCAACAAGGUCACAUAUGCUGCUGAGUUAUCUUCCUUUUCAGAGUCUGAGUCAAUAAGCUACAUUAGCAAUCCUAUGUCAAUGAUGUGUUUCAAUUUCAGUGUUGGUAGUAAUGAGUCUGUCAGUACCAGUAUAGCUGAGUCUAGUGAGGCUGAUAAAGCAAGUAGUAGGAACCUUAGAACCAAUGAUAUGGAUCUUUGGCACUAUAGGCUGGGGCAUCCAAAUUUGUCAGUCCUAAGAAACACUCUACUUUCAUGUAAUCAGCUCAAUAUCAAUAAAAACAUUUUUCCUUCAUUUUGCAAUGCCUGUCAGUAUGGAAAGCAAGCUAAACAAAGCUUCAAAAGCAUAGAAACCAAAACCAGCACAACCUUAGAAUUGGUUCACAGUGACCUCUGGGGACCAGCACCUAUCCCAUCAACCCAUGGACAUAAAUAUUACAUAUCCUUUGUGGAUGAUAGAACUAGAUACACAUGGCUGUUUCCUAUAACAGCAAAAUCACAGGCCCUUGACACAUUCAUUGUGUUCAAAAAUCAAAUAGAAAAUCAGUUAAAUCUGAAAAUCAAAGCCUUACAGACAGACAUGGGUGGAGAGUUUAAAACAUUUGAACCAUAUCUAAAAGGAGAAGGAAUAGCUCUAAGACAUUCAUGCCCAUAUUUACAUGAACAAAAUGGAAAGGUGGAAAGAAAACACAGACAUAUUGUGGAAACUGGUCUAGCAUUGUUAGCUCAAGCAAAAAUGCCUUUAAAGUAUUGGCAAGAAGCCUUCAGCCAUGCCACAUAUCUCAUAAACAGACUGACCUCACCUACACUCGAAAACAAAACUCCUUUUGAGCUACUAUAUCUCACCAAACCAGAUUACUCACAAAUCAAAGUUUUUGGUUGUGAAUGCUAUCCAUACUUGAGACCCUACAACAAGCAUAAGUUUGACUUCCAUACAUCCAAAUGCAUAUUGCUGGGUAUUAGUAUCAGUCAUAAAGGCUAUGUUUGCAUGCAUCAUUCAGGAAGAGUCUACAUUUCAGCUAGUGUCAAGUUUAAUGAAAGCUCAUUCCCUUUUCAAAAUGACUCAAAUUUCUGCAAGUACAGGCUCACUGACCAAAAUGUGUCCCCCACAGUCCUUGAAAAGUUUCAAGUUGUGUCUUUUUCCACAAGUGUCCCCUCUGAGUCAGCACAGCAAAAAUCAGCUCAUAGUCAAUCUCAGGCCACUGCUGGAAACUCAGAACAGCUCUCAAAUCCUGUUCAAGAUGAAGCAUGUGAGAAUUUGAACCUCAACAAUAUGUCAGCCAACCAAUCCCCUGCUCAACUCCCAUCAAACUCCACAGAAGAAAACUGCAACCUGCCAGCAAUAACAGAACCAAACACUCAAGCCUCCAACACUCAAAAGGAAUUACCUUUACAUCCUAUGAUCACAAGAUCAAAGGCAGGAAUCUUUAAACCAAAAGUCUACCAAACAUCUACUCAACCUGAAACCUCUUUACCCCAAGACUCAAUUGUGGCAUUGAAGGACCCUAAGUGGAGAAGAGCCAUGGAAGAUGAAUACAAUGCCUUAAUCAAAAACCAAACUUGGACCUUAAUACCACAUGACCAGAACUACAAACUUAUUGGAAACAAGUGGGUGUACAAAGUGAAGGAGAAUCCAGAUGGUACCAUAAAUAGAUACAAAGCCAGACUUGUCGUGAAAGGCUUUCUACAGACACCAGGACUUGAUUUUAAUGAGACUUUCAGCCCUGUGGUCAAAGCUGCAACCAUUAGAAUCAUUCUGACUUUGGCUGUGAAUAAUGAUUGGAUGUUAAGGCAAGUUGAUAUAAAUAAUGCUUUUCUGAAUGGGGAGUUGACAGAAACAGUGUACAUGCCACAACCUGAAGGGUUUGAAGACAAAAGAAAGCCAAAUCACAUUUGCAAACUCAAGAAGGCUCUUUAUGGCUUGAGACAGGCACCUAGAGCUUGGUUUGACAAGUUAAAGAGUGCUCUGUACUCUUGGGGGUUCAACAAUUCAAAGUGUGAUACCUCACUGUUUUUUAGAAAGAACAAUGCUGAGAUGGUCAUUAUACUUGUGUAUGUAGAUGACAUAAUUGUCACUGGAAGUGAUAACAAAGGAAUUGAGGGUGUGAUAGGAAAGCUAAGUGAAGCUUUUGCAUUGAAAGAUCUAGGAAAUCUGAGCUACUUCCUUGGGAUACAGGUCAUAAGAAAUCAGAAUUCUAUUCUGCUUUCUCAAGCUAAAUAUGUCCAAGACCUAUUAACUAAAACUGAGAUGGAGAGCUGCAAAGGAAUAGAGUCUCCAUUCAGCACAUCAGAAAAGCUGAAGAAAGGAGAAGGUGCCAAGCUCGAUAACCCUUCAUUCUACAGAAGUGUUAUUGGAAGCCUGCAGUAUGCUGUUCUAACGAGACCAGAACUUGCCUACUCUGUCAACAAGCUGAGCCAAUACAUGUCUGACCCAAGACAGCCUCACUGGAUAGCCUGCAAACGAGUGUUGAGAUAUCUAAAGAACACUGGUAACAUGUGUUUACAAUUCAAAAAAUCAGAACAUCUUGAUUUAGUAGCCUACACAGAUGCUGACUGGGCAAGUGAUCCAGAUGACAGAAGAUCAAUAAGUGGGUAUUGUGUGUUCCUAGGAGAUAAUUUGGUAGCUUGGAGCUCAAGGAAACAAGGAAUGGUGGCAAGAUCUACAGCAGAGUCAGAGUACAGAGCCAUGGCUCUAUGCACCACUGAAAUCACUUGGAUUAACUCUCUGUUUGAUGAGCUGAAGAUUGAAAUGCAGAGAACUCCAAUGAUUCUGAGUGAUAGCACAAGUGCAGCAGCAAUAGCCACAAAUCCUGUGUAUCACUCAAAAACAAAACACUUUGAAAUAGAUUUACACUUCAUUAGAGAUAAAGUUACUCAAGGAGAGCUGGAUAUAAACUUUGUGGCCAGCAGAGACCAAAUUGCAGAUGUCUUGACCAAACCACUGCCUUACUACAAGUUCAGUCAAUUUCGAAGCAAACUCAAUGUCUUUGACAAGACCUUAAGUUUGAGAGAGGGUGUUGAGAAUUCAGGUUGUGAAGAACCAGCAUUUGAUCCCAAGGCCCUGCUGGCAUGCCACCUGAGCAACCAUUUCCAAAGAGCAGCUGAUGAGGAAGGUGAGGUGUAUCCUAUGAGCUGGCAAAACUGUUAUGGUGAGGAAUAUCAACAUGUGAACUCUGCAAGCUGGAAAUUUCUAGAAUGUUUUCAAUGAUUGGCUGUGCAGCUGUCACUCUUUGUCUUAUUCAUUUUCAGCUGCACCUUGAGCCAGCAACCGUUGUUUUUAGUUUAUGUAUAAAUAUUUGAAACAAUUGUAUUUCAUUUUCAAGCUUCCUUUAAUAAAAACAAAGGUAUGUUUGUUUCUCUGCUGCUUGCAUAUUCAAGCAAUUCAUCAAGAAUUUAAGUGUUACAACAAAAUUGGGAUAAAAUUCAUUAAGAUUAUAAGUGGUGUAGCGAGUCCAUUGGUUUCUUGGUUGGUUGAAGAACUCCACAUUGUGCCUAUAAACGGGAUGGAAGCCACAUCUCUUCACCUCCAAUCCUUGACCCGACACAGGUCGAAAGAACAACUCAAUGAGAUUAUCUCAAAACCCCAAUUGCUAUAACAGCAAUUUUGAAGAGAUAAGUAGAGUAGCCAAAGAUGGUCUGUCUCAGCUUGACUACCUUCCUCUCUAAAAUCAAUAAAAUAACUGGUAGAAGAGCCACUAAAAUGGAAGCUCAACUGAUAUAUGGGAUAUGAACGCCUCAUUUGGAUACCAGGUGAAUGAUUAUGGACAUGAAAAACACAGCAGACAGCAUAUCCCAAUGCCUUAUUCUUACAAUACAAAUUUGAAGGCAUUAUGAAUUUUAUUGAAGAUCCAUCAUUCUGAUGCAUGAACCACUCUGGAAUUUCACUUCCUGGGACAACUAUAUCAAACUUUUGUUUUGGAUUUGACAUUACCUGCAACCAAAAAAAAAGGGGGGGGGGAGGGGAAAUGCCCAUAACAGUGCGUUAUUUUUAUGCAUAAUGUUUGGCACAAAUGAGAAAGGGAGUGCGAAACUGACCUCAAGAUACUCUUUUAGCAUUGAAAAUGCCAAACCAUUGCAACCAAGCAAUUUCAAGUCGUCUAUACAAUUAAUUGAAAUGUAUUCGGAGUUGCACAAUUUUAAUGCACCUGAUAAUGUUUCCAAUGAAGCACAACCAUUUACUCUGACUUCCUCUAUGCUGGGUGGAAGUUGUGGCAUAGAUUGAAGUCUUUUGCAGUCUUCCAACUCUAGUUUUUCAAGAUUAAAGAGACGGUUAAUGCUUGCUGGCAGCGUAAUAAAACUGUUUUUACUCAGAUACAACUCUUUUAAUGAGCAUAAGUUGCCAAUAUCAUUUGGGAUUGCUCCUUCCCCUAGAUUACUGUCACUGAGAUCCAAUUUCCUUAAAGAGCACAAACCUGACAGAGAAGGAAACCCCAAAGCCAUGGGAUCUGAACACCUUCGCAUCAAACUGAUUAGGAAGGGCAGAUACCAUGAUGAUGAUAGUGGUGGUCCUUUGCAUCCGCUUAAAUCUAGUACUUCCAAGCUUUCUACUUUCCCAAAGUUCCCUGGCAUACUUUUAAGUUUGGAGCAGCCAGAGAGAUACAAAUUUCUAAGAGACUUCAGACCAUCUAUAGUACUUGGAAGAGUCUCGAGGUUUUUACAAUCUCUCAAAUUCAACAAAACAAGGCCAGUAAGAUGUUCAAUUGACACAGGCAAUCCUCUUAUGGCCGUUCCUUCCAAAUGAAGCUCCAACAGAUGCUCCAUACUUGUCAUGAUCUCUGAGAACUCUGAAAAUUGAAAAGGCCAGAAAGAUUCAAAGUUGGAUGAUAUUUUGGAGCGCUUAUGUUUUGGUAGUUCUUUAAUAUCAGUUCCAUCCAAAAGAAGUUCUGACAGACACUUCCGACUCCCCACAAUCUCUGGAAAGUUCUUCAAUUUCCGGCAACCAGAAAGUACAAGUAUUUUUAGAGAUUCCAUACAAAUCUUGUCUGGAAGAGUUGUGAGACUUUUACAUUCUUUUAGAUUCAAUAAAAUAAUCUUCUUGUGAAGUAGCAAUGUUGGGUGAAUUUCACGCAAUCUUGUACAUCCUCCAAGAUCCAGCUCUUCUAAAUUUGGCAUGCCUGAGAAGUCUGGUGUUCUGAUCAGAUUUUUUGAAUCGCCAAGUCUCAUGAAUUUCAACUUGCUUAAAUGCUGUUCAAAAACAGAGAUUUCAACAACUUUCAAGGGAUGAAUGAUAACAAUAUGAACAAUUAUUCACAGAAAUGAAAAUUAAAAGAAUCUCACCUUGAUUCCACACCACAUUUGUUCGAUGCGACUAUAACGCAUGUUUAGUUCAACAAUUUUAUCAGGCUGAAAAUUUGAUGGCAAUGAUCUCAAAGGAUAUCCAUGCCAUUCAAGUAACCGUAACUCAUUAGAGAGAUAUUCAAGGCCUUCAGGAAGUUGCAAAUUACGGAUCAAAAGCAUUCUUAGGUUAAUCAUCUUCAAAAAUGAAUUGGAACUUGUGCUGAAAUGCAUUUCUGCUUCUUCGGUGAAGUUUUCAAGCUUUAUCACUUCAACUGUUUUAGUUCCCUGAAAGUUACAAGUAAAGAAUAAGUGAAAAAAAAAGAAUGUGAAGAGGUUAAAAAAAGUACAUGUUUUUGACUUAGUUGCUUACGGUGUUUCUUGUCAACAUGUGAUGUAUAUCUGCUUCCUUCCACAAUCUGCUACGUUUCCCAGGAUCUUCAGGGGAUUGUCUUUUAACAAUUUGUUGACCCAUUUCUUUCAACAAAUCAUGCAUCCAAAAUCUACUGUCGGUUGAAAUUUCUAUGAGAGAUUUAUCAAUAAGAACCCUUAUUCCAAUAACUGGGUCAAAAUCACAGUAAUCAAGAAUUUUUGUUACAUAAUCUCUAUUCUCCCCUUGAUAAAAACAUGCUAUAUCAAGGAAUAUUUUCUUCUCUGUUUCUCGAAGCCCAUCAAAACUUAUUUUAAGUAUGUCCAAAAUUUCAUUUUCUGAUUCCCUUUUCAGUCUCUUUAGUGCACUUUCCCAUUCUUUUGUAGUUUUACCAUACAGAAAAGAUCCCAAAACUUUGAGAGCCAAUGGAAGACCACCUGAAUACUUUGCAACCCAUUUAGACAGCUGCUCAUAUCCUGUACUAGGCUGGUGGCUUUUAAAGGCUUUUUUACAAAAAAGUUGAAGAGCUUUAUCGUCAUGUAAUUCCCUGAGCUUGUAUAUUUCAUCUACUCCAUGCAUCAUCAACAAAUGCUUAUCUCUCGACGUUAUCACAAUCCUGCUGCCAGGACCAAACCAUUCACGCUAUCCAGCUAGACAUUCUAAUUGCUUUAUAUCAACUACGUCAUCAAUAAUUAAAAGAACCUUUUUGUGCUGCAGCCUCCUUCCUAUAAUGUUGAUACCAUCAUAGACAUUCCAUAUGCCAUUAUUUGGAAGCUUUAGUAAUUGGGAAAGGAGUUGAUUUUGUAAAGAGGUCAGACCGCCUUCUUCUGAAAUUUCUCUAACAUUGGCAAGACAACUACUUGCUUCAAAGUUAUGAGAGGUCAAGUCAUAAACAACUCCUGCAAGAGUUGUCUUACCUAUACCUCCCAUACCGCAUAUUCCUAUCAUACAAACAACAUUACACUCUUUGUCCAUGAGAAGCCUCAGAUUCUUCAAGUGUGAAUCUAUUCCUACUAGAUGCUUAAGGAUCCCUGAUUUUAUAGGACUUUUGCUUGAUAUCACCUUAACAACCUCCAAAAUAAAUUCAGACUCAUUCCUGCAGAUUGAAAAAGAUCAAGAAAAGAUUGGUGUUGUUGAAUUGAAUUGCGUGUGGACAUAGUUUCAAAUCGAAUCAUUGAAUAGGAAAUUAUAAAUCUUUGACAAUAAGAAAGAUCACCUGUCCUUCAAUUCCCAGCCUGAUAUAUUAGCCACUUCUCUCAAAGCGUCUCUCCACUUCUGUACCUUUUCUAUAUUCUCACUAAAAACUUCUUCAUAUUGAGCAAAUGCUUCUUGAAAAGUUUCUGUCUGUUUCCUUACAACAGCCGGUUCCACGUCAUAGAAAAUUGGAUAAACCAUUUGUUGAUUAUUUGUGUUUUUGCACUCAAGAAUAUGAACAAGUUCAUCCAAGCACCAAGUCGAAAAAGCAUAGCUUCUGGAGAAAACAACAAUUGAAAUUUUGGAUUCUUCAAUUGCUUUAAAGAGUCCGGGUGAAAUGGAUUCUCCUCUCUCAAGUUCUUUGUCAUCCCUGAAUACAAUGAUUCCCUUUUCAUCCAAGGCAGAAUACAAAUGGUCUGUAAAAUUUUUGCGGGUGUCUUCUCCUCUGAAACUUAAGAAGACAUCAUAUUUCCAAUGAGGGAGAGGAUAAGGGACAUAAGAAGAAACUCCCUGGAUGCUCAUGAUGCAAGAAAUUAAUGCCACAGCAGCCUCACUCUGAGUUCCUAAGAGUUUAAUUUAGAAUUAGAUGCUAUAUCAAUGCUGUGAGAAAUCGGCAAACCCAAAAAGUCAUAUAAACAUAACAUUAAACUGCCGAAGUAGUCCAAAACCUGCACCGCCAACCUUUGUAUCGAUGAAACACAAACUACCAGCAGAGUUGCAACCAGUUUCUAUGCCUUGGCAACAAGAGAACCAAAUUUCCUCUAGAAUUGAUUUUUGAAAUUAUAUGAAAAAUUUAUACAAAAAUAUGUCAGUAAAAAAAAUCUAUUACAUAUUUAUGUCAGACAAGACAUGCAUGUAAAAGUUCAAAGAAUAAGCUGAAAUACAAGAAAUUUGCAAGUAUUUAACCACUGAUAGAUGAAUGUGUACAUUGUUUGAAUGAAAUCAAUUAGAAGAUUUUAUAUGUUCUAACUGAUUUUUGCUCUUUUAGUCCUUUUGUUUGCCAACAAAAGCUUUAUUUAAGUACCUGAGAAUUAAUUAGUAAUAAAAUGUUAUACCUAUGCCAAAAAUAAAAACCUCUUUAAAAAUAAUUCUAAAAACACUGCAUUAAACACAAAAUUCGAUAUGGAACUGGAACCAAAGAAAGCUAAACUAAGAAGCGGAAACCUACACUAGCUACCAGCAAGCUGCAACAAGUUUGAGCCUUGGAAACAAGAGAUCAAAAUUUCCUCUCAAAUUAAAUUAUGUGAAACAUUAAUUACACAAAUACAAGAGACAUGUAAAUAUAAAACUGUUAGAAAACUUACCGCUUAGAGCUUGUUGGAACCACUACUGAAAGAUGAUGAAUUUUAACUGGAAUUACAAAUUAAGUAUGUUUUAAUGAAAUCAAUGAGAGGAACUUUCAUGUGUUCUAAUUAAUGAUUUCAUCUUCUCUUUUGCUUGCCAACUGCAAGUCUAGUCAAGCAUGCCUUUAAUAAUAAUAAUAAUAAUUAGCACUUUAUUUAAUGUGUUUUAAAUAUGGUUGCUUUUUACGAAGAAGAUGAAGAAAAUUUGUUUGAGAACUUCAACCAAAACUAUUUUAAGACUUUGUUAUCGAUAUAGCGCAAUAAAUGUUAAAGUAUAGGCUUUAGAAGUUAGCCUAAAUUAAUUAAAGGCUCUAGAAGUCAACAUUUCCCUUUAACGUGAAAUAAGAAGGAAAUUUCCAUUUCUCUAUUAAAAUAUGGGUAAUUUAUCUUCAGCCCUCAAUUGUUUCGACAUUUAGCACCGGGCACCCACAUCUUUCGACCAUGUGCACUGCGCCCCCAUUUCCGUCAAAAAAUCAGUUAAUUCUAAUGGUUUAGGCUGCUAUUAACCUAACAGACCAUACUACCCCUCUUUUGAAUUGAAUUGAUAUAUAAGUACUAAAAUACCCCCUACAACUUAAAAAUUAACAUCAAGAAAUAAAGAUUUAUUAUAACAAUAUUUAUUUUUAUAAUAAAUAAAUAUAUAUUGUUGAUUUGCCUCCUGCAGAAAAGGGGGUUCCUACCCUUGCUGGAAAAUCAAAAAGUGAGUCCAAAGACAAGGAGAGGAAGCAUAAAAAUGCACAAAGACAAAGAUAAGGAGAAGGAUAGAGAGCAUAAGAAGCACAAGCACCGUCAUAAGGAUCGAAGUAAGGAUAAAGACAAAGACAAGGAUAAGAAGAAGGAUAAAAGCGGGCAUCAUGAUUCAAGUGCCGAUCCGUCAAAGAAACACCACGAAAAGGUUGGGAAACUACUUGGAUUUAGAUCUUACUAAUUACAAUAUUAAACAAAGGGGAAAUACAGAAAAAGUUGGGGCUUUCAAUUAGCCUUGUUACGGUACCAUUUCCAUCAGAGACAUGGAUGAGCAGAUUGUCAACAAGUCAAUUUCAAAACAAUAUUUAUUUUUAUAUUUUUUACAAUUAAAUUGAAACGAUUUUUUUUUAAUUUCAUUAUCAUAACAAAAUUGUAAAACCGGGAAACUUCAAAAUGAGAAACAGAGCAUGAUUCCAAAAGGAAAGAAGAAAAUCAAACACACAAUCAUCAUCAGAUUACAUAAAAAUUCCAAUAAUAAAGAAAACUAAUUUAAUUAUACAAAACACUUGCUGUAAAUUUCAUUGUAAAAGUCUAUUACAAAAACGAAUCCAAGAAUCAAAAAUCCUAAAUCUAAAGAUGUAACGCCACAAAUUCCCAUACAUAUUAAAUUAUGGAAAUUGGGCUUUCAUUGAGAAUUAUGGGUGGCCUAUAACCCUUAUUUAGAAAGGGGUACUAAUUAAAUAGAGGUUAUUUAUGAGAUCAUUUUGGAAAAGGGCUAUUUUUCCUUAUUGAAUAGGGUUUCUUAAGAUCCCCUAUAAAUACAUACUUUUCCCCCUUCCAUAACCCUAAGUUCACAACGUUUAUUAUUCUUCUCUGCUGCUCUUUACGCUCCUACCCAAAUCUUAGGAUUCAAACCUUUGUUUAGGAGAGACUCAAAGCGACGGGUAAGUUCACAACGUUUAUUCUGAACAGCAUGAGUAUCUCGAAUUUUUAAAGCUAUAUUUUCUGAACGAAUUUUCUUAUAAAAUUUAUAUUUCUGGAAACUAGACAUGUAGGGCUUCUUGAUUAAAUUUUAUUUCAUUAAAUUCAACUUCGUUUUCAAUUUUAUACGUAUUUUGGAAAUAGAAACCACUGCACUGGAAAUCCACGAUUCCAGUAUUGUGAUCAGAUUCACAAGACUAUUUGUACCAGCAAAUGAACUCAAAAAAUUCUGAAAGUUUAUAUGUAUGUUAAUAUAUGUGUCUAGGAUUCGCAGUUUUAAUUUCAUAAUUUUCUGAUUAGUAUUUUAUUUUAUAAAAAUCACGGAACCCGUUCUGUUUGGUUUAGAUUAUGUGAAAACAGUUUCGAAUUUGCUGAGAAGUAAAUAGUUUUUAAAAUGUUUUUGAUAUCGGAUUCUCUUGUAAAUUUUACAUGGGGUACUCAUGGAUGUCCAGAAUGGUUCCAUAGGAUUUUAUAUCAUUCUGAGACUUGGAUUAAGAGUUACAAUUCCGAGAAUCAGACCUGUACGGGUAUGAAUUAGAAAAUCAAAUUCUUAGAAUAAGUUAUUGAUUGUCAUAUCUUGUAUUUGUUUAAGGUUUUGAAGGUGUUUGAGGCUCUUAGAAGCUUAGAGGUGUGUUAAUCCAAGUUCAUUUGUCAAGGUAAGUAACUUCAUUCCUAGUAUACUGGAUAUGUAUAAGUAUUUUGAUAUUAUUGUUAUAAGUAUAAAUGUUUUUAUACUACUUAAAGGAUUAAUUGAUUUUGAUAAUAAAAUUAGUUUUAUGUAAAUGUUUUAAAGCUAAAUUCUUUUUAACAAAGUAUUUUAUAAAUGCUUUUGAAUAUGUAAGUUAUUUUGUUACAUGCCUACUUUUAUGAUUUUAUUUAUAAAAUGUUAUGCAAGCCUAAAUUAUUGAUAUGAACUUUUAUGAAACUGAUACGAAUGUUUUGUACCUAUGUUUGAUUUCAAUUAUUGAUGAUUGUAUGAGAUUCUUAAUGUUUUGGCUCAUUGUCCAUAGUUAUUCUGUUCUGAUUCUAAUUCUGAUCGUAAUAUACGAUAUAUCUGUCUGGACCAGUACUGGGUUUCUGUUCUGAAUGUGCACACGAUAUUCUGAUUAUGUUUCUGGCCGGGUCACCGGGACUAUAGGUGACACUAUGUGACAUGAGCUAACCUGUUUGUUUUCUGUAUACGUAUUACAUGAUUUGAUUCGUAAGUAAAUAUGCUUUUGAAUAUUCUGAAUUAUUAAGAAUUUAUCUUAUGUUAUUGUGAUAUAUCGUUUUAUGAAAAUUAUGGAUUAUGAUAUAUGCUUUAAACAAAAGAAGGCUUGCAAUAUUUUUGGUAUCGAUAGGCCUAGUGUGUUAGGAAUGGUUUUACUUACCGAGUUGACGGCUCACCCCUCGUCAUUACUUUUUGCAGAUUAAGUUUCUUUUGAGAGGUGCGCUUAGCUUUGGAGUUAGUAAUUUCCAGUUUCCGUUUGCUAUUGAAUAAGAGGAGGAAUAGACUUGUGUUUCUAUUUAGUUACUUUUAUUAUGAAUGUGUAAUUUGGAGUUUGAGACUUUUGUUAUUAUUUUUAUAUGUCCUCGAGAGAGAUUAUUUAGUAUUUGACGUUUGGAUUUAUGGAUUUAUUUGAAUAAGAAUUGGAGGAAUUUCAGUUUGAAACUUAUGAGUAAAGAUUACGAUUUGUGAGUAACCUCCUUCUUCACGUGCUCCGCACGUGUUAGAUUUGGGGUGUUACAAUUGUGGUAUCAGAGCGGCUCCGCGUGUCCUCUUGAGCGAUGGUGGGGCAAACCUCAGCGAGGACGCUGAGUCCCUAAGGGGGGGUGUAUGUAACACCCUAGGCGAAUCCCACAUCGGCAAAGCACGGGAGAGAUGCUGGGUUUAUAAGGGGUGAUCCACACCUUAAUUGGCAAGACGCGUUUUGGGGUGUAUGGGCGCCCCAAGAACAAAUCCGUGCGGGCCUUGUUAAGGCCCAAAGCGGACAAUAUCUUGCCAGGUCUGGGUUGGGCCAUGAAAUUGUGGUAUCAGAGCAAACUAGGUGAGGAUUCUGUAGACUUUCUUUUACGGUUUAAUUAGAUUGUCUAAUUAAAUCGAUUACAUUUGUUUUGUAGACAUGAAGAAGGACAAUAUGGGUAUGAAAAGUGUCAAGAAUAAGGGAUGGACAGAAAUUGAUAGGACCGAACAAUUUAUCUUAGGAGGAGUUCUUGUCAAAGAUCUUAGGAGACUUCAUAAGCAGCGAAUGGAUGAUAGACUAAGACGGACUAUAGAGGUCUACAUCGAUACUCCUCCAGGACCUGGAGCUUCAAGAAAGAAGCUCAAUGAGGCUAUACGUGGACUACGUGUUUAUGGCAAGGGAGCUAACAAGAAUAAGCUUGUAAUACGUCGCCUAUUUUGGACAGGACCUCGAUUUAAGCCUUACUAUAGCAAAGGAUGGGUAUCUCCAGGUCUAAAUAAACUACCUUAUAGAACUCCUAAGGAAAUCGAGACAGAUGGAGUCACGACUAAGGAAAGGAAAGUAAAGAUAGAUCCUUUUCCUAUCCGGUUGAGUACACCUAUGAACUUUGUGGCUGUAGGACAUGAAACUCUGUAGACUUUAUUGAGGUUAAUAGAGUGAUUAAAUAUUUUAAGGCAAGGAGUAAUCAUUUAUGACUAGUAAUUAUAUUUUGGUCUUUUUGGCUUUCUAUGUUGCUUGUGACUUUGUAAUAACUCUUGUUAUAAGUUCAAGAGAUGUCACGUAGGGGAGGUGCUAGGCAUGCCUUUAGCUCGAGAGGUGUUUUAGGUAUCGCUGACGACGCUGACCCAACCUUGCACGAGAUGGCUAACGAAGGAAAUCCUAUGAUGCGCGCAAUGCUUAGAUUGAUGGAACAACAAAGUAAGUUAAUUCAAGAUAUGGCUAGAGGCAGAGUUGGGGCACAAGAGAAUGUGCCAGUUGAAAGGCAAGGUGGCGCAAGAGAUCAUGGGGCUAUGGUGAACUUAGAACGAUUUAAGAAAUUGGGACCACCUACCUUUCAGGGGACUGCCGAUUCCAUGGUUGCAGAGGCAUGGCUAAAACAGAUGGAGAAGAUAUUUGUGGCUAUGGGUUGUAAUGAUGAUCAAAGGGUAAUAUUAGCCUCAUUUGUCCUUCAGGGUGAGGCAGACCACUGGUGGGAUGCCAAAUCUCGUCUCAUAAGGGCUGGCUUGCAAGAUGCACCCAUUACUUGGGAGUUAUUUUUGGAGGCUUUUCAUGAAAAGUAUUUUCCUGAACGAGUUCGACAUCAGAUGGAGGCUGAUUUCUUGAGGUUGACUCAAGGAACAAAGUCUGUUGCGGAGUAUGAGGAACAAUUUACUGCCCUCUCUCGUUUUGCUCAUACCUUGGUUGCUAAUGAAGGUAGUAAGUGUAGGAAGUUCCUGGAAGGGUUACGUCCUAACAUUAAAGCACGAUUGACCAUCCUUAAGAUUAACAAUUAUGCCGAUUUGGUGGACCUUACCAUGUUUCAAUAGAUUGUUUUGCUAAGGAAAUUAUUUUUCGCCUACCUGGUGAGGAAGAAUUUCAUUUUCAAGGGAAUCAUAAGAGUCAUAAAGCUUUGAUUUCUAUGGUUAAGGCAAUGAAAAUGCUAAAGAAGGGGUGUGAAGGAUUUUUAGCGUAUAUAGUUGCUGACCAUCCCGAUGGGGCGUGCCUUGAAGACAUACCUAUUGUAAGGGAGUUUAUUGAUGUAUUUCCUGACGAUCUUCCGGGACUACCCCCAGAUCGAGAGGUUGAGUUUACUAUAGAAUUAGUUCCUGGUACUACACCUAUAUCCAAGGCGCCAUAUCGGAUGGCACCCAUUGAAUUAAAAGAACUAAAGGUCCAGCUACAAGAAUUACUAGAUAAGGGUUUCAUUCGUCCUAGUGUGUCACCUUGGGGUGCUCCCGUUUUGUUCGUAAAGAAGAAAGAUGGUUCAAUGAGGUUGUGUAUAGACUACCGGCAGUUGAAUAUGGUUACCGUCAAGAAUAAAUACCCUCUUCCCCGAAUUGAUGACCUCUUUGAUCAAUUACGAGGUGCAGCGGUAUUCUCUAAAAUUGAUUUACGAUCUGGCUACCAUCAAUUGAAAAUAAAAAGUGAGGAUGUAUCGAAGACAGCUUUUCGAACUCGUUAUGGACACUAUGAGUUCUUAGUUAUGCCUUUUGGAUUAACUAAUGCUCCUGCAGCGUUCAUGGAUUUGAUGAAUAGGAUCUUCCAACCUUAUCUUGACCAGUUUGUCAUCGUCUUUAUUGAUGACAUAUUAAUUUACUCUAAGAGUAAGAAGGAGCAUGAGACGCACCUGAGGAUUGUAUUAGAAACAUUGCGGAAGAAGAAGUUGUAUGGAAAAUUUAAGAAAUGUGAGUUUUGGCUUGAUCAUGUGAUGUUUUUGGGACAUAUAGUGACGAAGGAUGGUAUUUCAGCAGAUCCAGCCAAAGUGGAGGUAAUUGUGAAUUGGGAAAGGCCUGCUAGUGUGACUGAAGUAAGGAGUUUCUUAGGAUUGGCAGGUUAUUAUAGGCGCUUUGUCAAAGGAUUUUCUAGCAUAGCAGCACCAUUGACUAAUUUGACUAAGAAGAAUGUGAAGUUCAAUUGGGAUGAGGCAUGUGAAAAGAGCUUUCAAGAGCUCAAGAGUCAUUUGGUGACUGCCCCUGUUUUAACUCUCCCUUCUGAAGGUGGAGGUUUUGUGAUUUACAGUGAUGCUUCCAGAAAAGGUUUGGGUUGCGUUUUAAUGCAACAUGGUAAGGUUAUAGCAUAUGCUUCUAGGCAGCUAAAGAAUCAUGAACAAAACUACCCAACACACGAUUUGGAAUUGGCUGCUAUAGUGUUUGCUCUAAAAAUCUGGAGACACUAUUUGUAUGGGGAGACUUGUGAGAUCUUCACCGAUCAUAAGAGUUUGAAGUACUUGUUUACUCAAAAGGAAUUGAAUUUGAGGCAAAGAAGAUGGUUGGAGUUGGUAAAGGAUUUUGAUUGUUCUAUUAAUUACCAUCCAGGUAAGGCAAAUGUGGUAGCGGAUGCCUUGAGUAGGAAAUCAUCUGGGUGCAUGGCUCAUCUUAUCACCAUGCAAUCUCAUUUGGUAAAAGACUUGAGGAGAUGUGGGAUUGAGGUAGUUACUCAUGGGCAAGCAGACGUGUUAGCACAUUUGACAGUCCAACCCACUCUAAUUGAUAGAGUUAAGGUAGCUCAGAAGAACGACAUAGAACUCAAUAAAAUCCGUGAAGAUGUGAGCAAAGGACAUAAGCCCGGAUUUAGACUUGAUAAUGGGGAUGGAUUAUGGUUGGGACAAAGGUUAUGCGUGCCAGCAGACGAAGAGUUGAAGGCGGAGAUCUUAAGAGAAGCUCAUGAAUCAUCUUACAGUAUGCAUCCUGGUAGUACUAAGAUGUAUCGUGAUCUAAAGCAAAGUUUUUGGUGGAGGAAUAUGAAGAGAGAUAUUGCUGCUUUUGUGUCUCGGUGUUUAGUCUGCCAACAAGUAAAGAUUGAGCAUCAAAGACCAGCAGGAACUUUACAAACGCUUCCUAUUCCUCAGUGGAAAUGGGAACACAUAACAAUGGAUUUCGUUUCUGGAUUACCUCGUUCUAGGAGGGGAUGUGAUUGCAUUUGGGUAAUUGUUGAUCGAUUGACGAAAUCAGCUCAUUUCUUGGCAAGGAAGAGUACAGACAAUGUAGGGCAACUAGCUAAGUUGUUCAUUAAGGAGAUAGUGAGGCUUCAUGGGGUUCCAGUGUCAAUAGUGUCUGAUAGAGAUCCACUGUUCACUUCAAGAUUUUGGGCUAGCUUACAUAAAGAGUUGGGGACGAAAUUGAGAUUUAGCACUGCUUUUCAUCCACAGACAGAUGGGCAAUCCGAAAGGACUAUUCAAACCCUUGAGGAUAUGCUUCGAGCUUGCGUCCUAGACUUGAGUGGUGGUUGGGAAGAGCACCUAAUGUUGAUCGAAUUUGCUUAUAACAAUAGCUUCCAUUCGAGUAUUGGCAUGGCACCAUUUGAGGCAUUAUAUGGAAGAAAGUGUAGGUCCCCAAUCUGCUGGGAUGAAGUUGGUGAAAGAAAACUUUUGGGUCCAGAAUUAAUACAGAUUACUGUUGAUAAAAUCAAGUUGAUUAGAGGACGUCUUCAAACAGCUCAGAGCAGACAAAAGAGUUAUGCAGAUCGUCGUAGACGUGAGUUGGAAUUCGAAAAACUAUCAACCGAUUCAGAUAAAUGAAGACAUGUCGUAUGAGGAACAGCCUAUUGAGAUUGUCGAUCGAGACGAACAAGUAUUAAGGAAUAGAGUUAUUCCCCUAGUGAAGGUACGAUGGAUGAAUCAUUCUAUUGAGGAAGCCACUUGGGAGAGAGAAGCAGAAAUGUUGGGUCUGUGUUAAGAAAGUACAUUGCAGACCCUUUACAUGUGCUAGACUAUCAACCGAUUCAGAUAAAUGAAGACAUGUCGUAUGAGGAACAGCCUAUUGAGAUUGUCGAUCGAGACGAACAAGUAUUAAGGAAUAGAGUUAUUCCCCUAGUGAAGGUACGAUGGAUGAAUCAUUCUAUUGAGGAAGCCACUUGGGAGAGAGAAGCAGAAAUGUUGGAGAAGUAUCCUCAACUCUUCCAUGCAUAAGGUAACCUUUUAAUUUCGAGGACGAAAUUUUUGUUAGGAGGGGAGAAAUUGUAACGCCACAAAUUCCCAUACAUAUUAAAUUAUGGAAAUUGGGCUUUCAUUGAGAAUUAUGGGUGGCCUAUAACCCUUAUUUAGAAAGGGGUACUAAUUAAAUAGAGGUUAUUUAUGAGAUCAUUUUGGAAAAGGGCUAUUUUUCCUUAUUGAAUAGGGUUUCUUAAGAUCCCCUAUAAAUACAUACUUUUCCCCCUUCCAUAACCCUAAGUUCACAACGUUUAUUAUUCUUCUCUGCUGCUCUUUACGCUCCUACCCAAAUCUUAGGAUUCAAACCUUUGUUUAGGAGAGACUCAAAGCGACGGGUAAGUUCACAACGUUUAUUCUGAACAGCAUGAGUAUCUCGAAUUUUUAAAGCUAUAUUUUCUGAACGAAUUUUCUUAUAAAAUUUAUAUUUCUGGAAACUAGACAUGUAGGGCUUCUUGAUUAAAUUUUAUUUCAUUAAAUUCAACUUCGUUUUCAAUUUUAUACGUAUUUUGGAAAUAGAAACCACUGCACUGGAAAUCCACGAUUCCAGUAUUGUGAUCAGAUUCAUAAUAUAUGUGUCUAGGAUUCCCAGUUUUAAUUUCAUAAUUUUCUGAUUAGUAUUUUAUUUUAUAAAAAUCACGGAACCCGUUCUGAUUUUCUGAUUAGUAUUUUAUUUUAUAAAAAUCACGGAACCCGUUCUGUUUGGUUUAGAUUAUGUGAAAACAGUUUCGAAUUUGCUGAGAAGUAAAUAGUUUUUAAAAUGUUUUUGAUAUCGGAUUCUCUUGUAAAUUUUACAUGGGGUACUCAUGGAUGUCCAGAAUGGUUCCAUAGGAUUUUAUAUCAUUCUGAGACUUGGAUUAAGAGUUACAAUUCCGAGAAUCAGACCUGUACGGGUAUGAAUUAGAAAAUCAAAUUCUUAGAAUAAGUUAUUGAUUGUCAUAUCUUGUAUUUGUUUAAGGUUUUGAAGGUGUUUGAGGCUCUUAGAAGCUUAGAGGUGUGUUAAUCCAAGUUCAUUUGUCGAGGUAAGUAACUUCAUUCCUAGUAUACUGGAUAUGUAUAAGUAUUUUGAUAUUAUUGUUAUAAGUAUAAAUGUUUUUAUAUUACUUAAAGGAUUAAUUGAUUUUGAUAAUAAAAUUAGUUUUAUGUAAAUGUUUUAAAGCUAAAUUCUUUUUAACAAAGUAUUUUAUAAAUGCUUUUGAAUAUGCAAGUUAUUUUGUUACAUGCCUACUUUUAUGAUUUUAUUUAUAAAAUGUUAUGCAAGCCUAUAUUAUUGAUAUGAACUUUUAUGAAACUGAUACGAAUGUUUUGUACCUAUGUUUGAUUUCAAUUAUUGAUGAUUGUAUGAGAUUCCUAAUGUUUUGGCUCAUUGUCCAUAGUUAUUCUGAUUCUGAUUCUGAUCGUAAUAUACGAUAUAUCUGUCUGGACCAGUACUGGGUUUCUGUUCUGAAUGUGCACACGAUAUUCUGAUUAUGUUUCUGGCCGGGUCACCGGGACUAUAGGUGACACUAUGUGACAUGAGCUAACCUGUUUGUUUUCUGUAUACGUAUUACAUGAUUUGAUUCGUAAGUAAAUAUGCUUUUGAAUAUUCUGAAUUAUUAAGAAUUUAUCUUAUGUUAUUGUGAUAUAUCGUUUUAUGAAAAUUAUGGAUUAUGAUAUAUGCUUUAAACAAAAGAAGGCUUGCAAUAUUUUUGGUAUCGAUAGGCCUAGUGUGUUAGGAAUGGUUUUACUUACCGAGUUGACGGCUCACCCCUCGUCAUUACUUUUUUGCAGAUUAAGUUUCUUUUGAGAGGUGCACUUAGCUUUGGAGUUAAUGAUUUCCAGUUUCCGUUUGCUAUUGAAUAAGAGGAGGAAUAGACUUGUGUUUCUAUUUAGUUACUUUUAUUAUGAACGUGUAAUUUGGAGUUUGAGACUUUUGUUAUUAUUUUUAUAUGUCCUCGAGAGAGAUUAUUUAGUAUUUGACGUUUGGAUUUAUGGAUUUAUUUGAAUAAGAAUUGGAGGAAUUUCAGUUUGAAACUUAUGAGUAAAGAUUAUGAUUUGUGAGUAACCUCCUUCUUCACGUGCUCCGCACGUGUUAGAUUUGGGGUGUUACAAAAGAUUUCAAACCCUAAAUCAAAUUAUAGAGGCGGCGGAGAUGGCGAUGGCUUCAAGUGGUUUGAGAGGGGCCUCCGUGUGCCAAAAAUAGGCCGCGGGCAAACCCACACCCAAAAAUAGCCGCCCGAAGGCCGGGGCGCCAAGUUCGUCCAGCGGAAAAAGGCCACAAAAACGGGUGGGCUAUAGCCUUGGGGGGUGGGGCUGGCCAACUUCGUCCGCCGGACUCGGGAAGGGAAGAAAAAAAGAAAAGAAAAACAAAACAUAGAAAAUAAAAAGCAACGAAGGAUAAAAGAGUUCGCUCUUACAAAAUUAUCAUUUUACCCUUUUUUCUAUUAAGUUAACAGUAGAUAGACAGAAAUGGGUACGUGAUGCACAUGGUCAAAAAAUGUGGGUACGCAGUGCUAAAUGUCGAAACAAUUGGGGGCUGACGAAAAAUUACCCUUAAAAUAUUAAGGGAAACAGUCAUCCACGCCCCAAAGGAUGUUUUAAAAAAAGUCACCCACAGCCCCAAAGGAUGUUUAAAUGAUCACAUAAAUUUCCUUAGGCCAUGUUUGGUUUGAAGAAAAGAGAGGAGAGGAAAAGAGUGGAAUGGAGAGUAAGAGAGAGAGUAGUGAAAUUAGAUUUUUUUUUUUUGUUUGGUUUGAUAUAAAAUUUGAUAAGGAAAUGAAUUGUAAUUUUUUUCUUUAGACAAAUUUAUCAUUUACCUUAAAUAUUAAAAAAUUUAUAUUAGUAAUAACAUAUAUAAUAAUAAUAAAAUGGUAGUCCGGUGGCCGGCGGCGGAGGUCCAUUUAUAAUAUUAAAUCAAUAAAAUAAAAUUAUAAAUAAUAAUUAUUAAUGGCAUUAAACAAGUUAAAAAGUUGAAGGGUAAUUUUGGAAACUUUAGUUUCUAACAUAAGAGGAAUUUAAAUUCUACACUACUUGGUGUGUAAUUCAAAUUCUACAUUAUGAUAGAUAUUAAAUUCUAAUGGAAAUUAAAUUCUUAUAUAUUUUGUCAAGCCAAACAAUGGAAAUAAAAAGAGAAUUUAAAUUACUUUUCUCUCCUCCAUUCUCUCCUCCCAACCAAACAUCACCUUAGUUUUAGAAAUGGAUAUACAAAUCCUCUUUUUAUUAUUAUACCUUUGAACGUAGUCAAAGAUUUUACAAUAAAUUUGAAUACAAUACUUAGACAAGAAUAAUAAAUAAAAUAGCACAUCAGUACAAAUAAAAUAUUGAAAUAAAUAUAAUUAAUAAAAUAACAUAUAUAUGUCAUGCAAAUUAUUUUUAAUAUUAAGUUAUUAUCAACAUAUCACGACAGAUUUUAUUAAUACUUAAAUCCAUUAAUCCAAAACUUAAUUUUAAAAAUUAUGCUAAUAUCGACAUUACAUAAAAAGUAAUAAAAAAAUCUAAAUAAAUAUAUGAUACAGAUUUUAUAAUUUUUUUAAUGUUAAUACAAUUAUUUUAAUAUAAGUAAUUUGUGAAAUAAAUUUUAUUAGCAUUAAGACAUAUGACAUAUUAAUAAUAUUAAAUUAAUUAUUUUAUUCAAUAUAAAUUAUAAUAUUUUAUAUGUUAGAUUAUUUUAAUAAUAUAUUUUGGGUUGUUAUAAUCAAAGAGUAUAAUCGUAAAAAAAAAGGGUCUAUGUGACCAUUUCUCAAACUAAAUAGAUCUCUAUAGCCAUUUAAGUAAAAUCUGAGGGUGUAGAUGACUUUUUUCUAAAAAACAAUAAAAGAAAAUAAAAUAGCACGAAAGUAAACUCUCAUUUCUUAAUAGCAAAAAACUUAAAAGUCUCCGUGAAGUUAUCAAAAUGGCUACGCGUAUGUAUAAGAAAUAAAAUAGACUCCAAAACAAACAAAAGUAAUCAUCAACAAUGGAAAUAUCCAUUCUGAUUAUAAUAUUUGUUCACUUUUUGUAGAAGUCACUUUUUUUUUUCCUCCCUCCGUUAGGAAGUGAACUUUUGUUGGGCUUUGACGGGGUUCCUAUGUUUUGGGCACAUAAGCCGUAAAAAGUAUCUUUGUUAUGAGGGACUCAAGCCCUAUUUAAUAUUGUGAUGGGCGGUUGUUGUUCAAAACAUAUAGUAUUUAAGUAUUUAAUAAAAUAAACUGUUGUGAUUUAGAAGUUAAGUUGAAUUUGUCCCGCUUAUAUAAUGAAAAACUUAUAAUAUUUUUAUUAUUUUUAUCAAAAUUUUAUUUCAAAAUCAAAUUUACCAGACACUGUCAUUUAUUCAUGUGCUCCUCCAUUCUGAAAAUUGCUGACAAGUUGUUGGUUGCAAUAAACAAUUGACAAUAAAAUACCAGGAGUUGGGUUUGGAUACAAGAUUUAUAUAUUUAACACUAUUCAUAUACAAAUAAAUGCAAACUUAAGAGAAGGGCUUAAAAUCUGCUUUCUAGCUAUGAAUAAUGAAAAAUAAAAUAAAAUAAAAAUAAAAAUAAAGAAUUGUUACCUGUCCUUCAGUUCCCAACCAGAAAUUGGCCACCUCUUUCAAAGCUUCUCUCCAAUUUUGCACUUUUUCUAUAUUCUCUCUAAAUGCUUCUUCAUGCUCAUGAUGCAAGUAAUUGAUUCUGCAGCCUUAUUUUUAAGUUCCUGAAAAUUAAUUUGGAAUUAAAUGUUAUAAGUAAAUGGUUCUUAAAUAAUCAUAAUCAGCAAAGUUGCAAUUACAAGAGAACAAAAUCUCCUCUUAAACUGAUUAACUGAAUUAUGAGAAACGUCACACUUAUUACAUAAGCAAACGCUUAAAUACAGGAGACAAGUUAAUAUAAAAUGUAAGAAAUUAACUUACAGAAGAUUAGAUGUUGCUAAGCAAGAAGAAGCGGCCACCUAAGAUGUGAUUAGCUGUUAUUCAACCUAACUUUUCCAUUUGUUGAAGUACUGGUGAAACAAGGGAUAGAAAAUCAGAGCCUGAGUUUACUUACAUAGAUCAGUUCUGAUAUUCAUCGUUGCUGCCCUUAUCAACAUUCUUGCUCCAUGAGUCUGAACCAUUACGUUGAUCAAUACUGAUAGGAAUGCACAUUGAUGAACUGACACAGUUUGCAUGUUACAAAGGAAAUUAGGAAUUUUGUAAAGCGCACAAGCAGAGAGUAUUAUCAAAGUGUUGCUUUUGCUAAAUCUGUUACUGGCUUAACUGCACUCUGUUCCACAGAGUUGAAACCAUUCUGUUUUUUCCGUGGUUCGUAAAAGCCGCUGGCAUCAGGUGGGAAUCGUCUCUUUUGUUUGUUCAAGACAUCAGGUGGGAUGCACGGUUCCUUUCCUUCUUGAGCAUUUUGUCGAACAACUUUUUGGGAUUGGGAAUCAUACCAUAAUUGAAAGCAAAAACAGUAAUCAGAAAACAACGAACACAGAUUUUCGAGGCUAAGCCAGAUGGCCUAGUUCCUGGUGCAGAACAGGCGAACGGAUUUCAUUAAUCAUCAGGAAUUCAAGAACAAGGUCAAAAUUAUGAUGAUCUGAUUACAUGCUGACAAAUUGCAGCUUCUAACGCUAUUUAAUAUAGCCUCGAAAACCUUCUGGGACCUCCCCCACUUGCCAACUUCGUUUCCCGCUAAAACCAACGGCUGUAACAACUAAUCAUUUGACCAGCCUCGGCGCACGUGUCCGGGGAGUGACAAGUUAAGUUUAUCUUUAACAUAUGUCACGCGCAAGACAAGUGCUCUACUAUAAUGUUCGUAACCGACAUUACAUGAUGAUCAUACAUUGAUAUUGAAGGAGAAACCGUUAUCUCGAUCACGUUUAAGACGACAUAACAGUAAGCAAUACAAUCAGAAACCGACAACGUCUUUCGCUAUAGAAGCUUAAAUUUGAGAUCAAUCUUUCACAUAUUGUUUCCGAGCAAGUUAGCGACUUGUCAAAGCUUGGUGGCAGGUUCUGUCGGAAGAAGAAUGUUUUUCGGCGGGAGUCUCAUCUCAGGUUGAGGGGUGGCUGGAGAGUCCCUAAUGGUAAAGUUGGUUACUUAUACAGUGGUCAUUUUGGACCAAAAACACUUUCAAUUUUUUUCCAUUGUAUGUAUAUGAGGUUUCUGCAAGCGUUUUCUCUUGCUUUAUUUACUCAAGCGCAGUUGAUCUCAUACUUGGAAAAAUAGAAUUUGUUGCUGUAAAACUCUGCAUGUAGAAAAGCAACAAUUUCACUUACCUAUUCCCACAGGGUCUCGAAUUGAUUUGAGCUUUGCUCGCUGUCUUAUCUUUAAAAAAUAUAAAAUAUAAUAAAAAAUAAGGCCAUUUCAGUAUAGAGUAUUCUGCCUAAAGCACACGUGUUUUGUUUUUGAAUCCAAAUUGCCAUGGAAGUAGGAUAAAGGUGAACUACGAAUACAAAACUAUAACAAAAUUUUUUUUAAAGUCUCGUUUAAUAUAUAGUGGUUCUGUCACUUUUAAGUUAUACGUUUUGUGACAUGAAAGUUUUAGCUAUUAAAUAAAAGCUGAUAGUAUUCAAUCAUUAUUAUUUUUGAACCUUCUAGGAAGAUUUGUAACAAUUUCAUCUUUUAUGGUGCGUUUACUUUAUGAAAUGGGAAUUGGGUGGAAUGAGAAAGGGCUGGGAAUGUGAAUGGACUGGAAUGAGAAUGAGAUUUCAAUGUUUAUUUGGCAAAAAUAAAUGGGAAUGAGAAUGUGCUGGAAUGUCAUUGAUGUGUUUACUUGGCAAAAUAAAUGGGAAUAAGAAUCAAUUUACCAAAAUACCCAUAGUAUUAAUAAUUAAUAAAAAUAAUUAAUUUAUUAUUAUUAAGAAUAUUAUCAUUAUUGUUGUUAUUAUUACUAUUAUUAUUAUUAUUAUUAUUAUUAAAUUUUAUUAACUUUAUUAUUUUAGUUAUUAUUAAUUAUUUUUAUUAAUACUAUCAUUAUUAACAUUCAUUAUUAAUAAUAAUAAUAUAUUAUUAGUAUUAUAUUUUAUUAACUUUAUUAUUUUAGUUAUUAUUAAUUACUGUUAAUAUUAUUUUUAUUAAUACUAUCAUUAUUAACAUUUAUUAUUAUUAUUAUUAUUAUUAAAUUUAUUAUUUUAGUUACUAUUAAUAUUGUUAUUAUUAUUUUUAUUAAUAUUAUCAUUAUUAACAUUUAUUAUUAUUAUUAUUAUUAAUUAAUUAAUAUCAUUUUUAUAUCUAGAUAAUAAAAUUACAUUGUUAUUAUUAUUAUUAAUAUUAUUAUUAAAAAUAAUAAUAACUAAAAUAAUAAAGUUAAUAAAAUUUAAUAAUAAUAAUAAUAAUAAUAAUAACAACAACAACAAUAAUGAUAAUAUCAUUAAUAAUGAUAAAUUCAUUAUUUUUAUUAAUUAUUUUUUUUAUCAUUAUUUUUAUUGUUAAUAAUGAUAAUAUUAAUAAAAUAAUUAAUAAUAACUAAAAUAAUAAGUUAAUAAAAUUUAAUAAUAAUAACAAUUAUUAUUAUUAUCAUUAUUCCCAAAUUGUGUGGGACCCACACAUUUUAUUCUUGAGUUCUGCUAUUUGAACUCCGCCACGACAAAGGGACGACAGAAAAAUUGGCACGUGAAUGUCUGUUGCUUCAACUGCACUCACCAGCUUUUGUCCAUUACUUUUUUCAUUUAAAAAAUAAAAUAAUCAAAAGAAAGAAAGAAAAGUAACGAAAAGAGAUUACUUUUUUACGGUCAUCUUUAGUCUCUCUCCAUCUCUCACCUCUCAUUUACUCAACGUGAGCUAUAUGCAUUUAGGAAGGAAAAACCAGUUCCGUCUCUGUAUCUCAUCAGUUUCGUCUCUGCAUCUCGCUUAUCACAAGGAAGAAGUUAGACCUAGAUCUACAAACAUAGGCCUUGAUAAAUUUGAUACUGAUUAAUUGGUAAGUUGGUGACUCUCACUACAUUCAAAUAAAAUUUUUAUUGUAUUCUAUAUAUUUAAAUGGUUAGAAUAUUUAAUUUAAAUUGUAAAAAUUUGUAGAUUUUUGCUUUUUAUAUAUUUAAAUUGUUAUGAUUUUUUUUUAAUUUAAAUGGCUGGAAAUAAUGGAAUAGAUUAUAAUAAUUUCUUAAUGUGUUUUAUAUAUGUUAGUAUUUUUUAAAUUUAAAUGGUUGGAAAUAAUGAAAUAAAUUAUAACAAUUUCUGAAUGUGUUUUAUAUAUGUUAGGAUUUUUCUUAAUUUAAAUGGCUGGAAAUAAUGGAAUAAAUUAUAACAAUUUCUAAAUGUGUUUUAUAUAUGUUAGGAUUUUUUUAAUUUAAAUUGCUGAAAAUAAUGGAAUAAAUUAUAACAAUUUCCGGAUGUGUUUUAUAUAUUUAAGUUGUUAGGAUUUUAUAAUUUAAAUUGUUGGAGAUAAUGGAAUAAAUUAUAAAAAUUUGUGGAUGUGUUUUAUAUAUUUAAAUUGUUAGGAAUUUUCGUUAUUGGACAAAAUGUUAUAUAAGUUUCUUAAUACAAAUGUUAAUUAUUUUGUAGAAAUGGAGUAUUUGGAAAAUGAGCAUGCAUUUGAAGAGUUGCAAGAAACAAGAGCUAACGAUGUAAAUGAAAUUAUGGAACCGAACAAAUGUGAGCCAGCUCUUGGAAUGUUAUUUGAUAAUCAUGAAGAAAUGUUUGCAUUUUACAAAGCUUAGGGUAAACAAGAGGGGUUUCCUGUGAAGGUUCGAAGUACUAAGAAGGAGACCGAUGGAAUUGUAAAAUAUGCGACAUUUGCAUGUGGGCGUAGCGGCAAGUCAGAAAGUAAAUCUGCUAAUGCAUUGAAGUCGAAACAGAAUGUGAAAAAUGGUUGUGAUGCAAAAAUUGGAGGUUGUCUAAAUGAAGAUGGAAAAUGGGUUCUUCGAAACUUUAAAUUUUCAACACAACCAUGGAUUGAGUCCAGACAAAGCUAGGUAUUUCCCAUGCAAUCGCAGAAUUAGUGCAAGCCCUAAAAAGCGAAUUGAAAUGAAUGAUUGUGCAAGAAUUAGAAUUGCCCAAAAUUUCAAUUCUAUUGUUGUUGGAGCUGGUGGGUAUGAAAAUGUGUCAUUCUUAGAAAACGAUUGUAGAAAUUUUGUUGACAAAACAAGGCGAUUACAGCUUGAGGAAGGAGAUGCUAUGGCGCUUUUAAAGUACUUCUAGAAAAAGCAAGCAGAAUGUAAUGGAUUUUUUUUUAGCAUUGAUUUGGAUGAAGAGGAUUGAUUAAAGAAUGUGUUUUGGGCAGAUUCGCGGAGUAGGGCAGCUUACAAAUAUUUUGGAGAUGUCAUCACAUUUGAUACUACUUAUCUGACCAACAAGUAUGACAUGCCAUUCGCGCCCUUUGUUGGAGUUAAUCACCAUGGACAAUCUAUUUUGUUGGGAUGCGGAUUGAUUUUACGCGAGGAUACGGAGACAUUUACGUGGUUAUUUGAGGCGUGGCUAUCAUGCAUGUCUGAUUCUCCUCCCUUUGGUAUCAUUACAGAUCAAGACAUGGCAAUGCAAAAGGCAAUUGAAAACGUUUUUCCUACUACUAGGCAUUGAUGGUGUUUAUGGCACAUAAUGAAGAAGGUGCCUGAGAAGUUAGGGGCUUUUAACGAACGUGAAGGUAUUAUAUCUUUCCUGCUUUCUGCUGUUUAUGAUUCACUGAGUUCUGAUGCGUUUGAGGAAGCUUGGCAUUGCAUGAUAACAGAAUAUGAUUUAUGAGAUAAUGAUUGGUUAAAUGGUUUGUACGAGGAGAGGCAUCGUUGGGUCCCAUGCUAUUUAAAAGGCUAUUUUUGGGCAGGAAUAUCAACAACUCAGGGAAGUGAAAGUAUGAAUGCAUUUUUUGAUGGAUUUGUUAACUCAAAAACAAACUUGAAACAGUUUGUAAAACAAUAUGAAAAUGCAUUGAGGAGGAAAGCUGAAUUAGAAUGGCAAGCAGAUACCAAGUGUUUCAGUAAAAGGACACCAUGCGUAUCAAGAUAUGAGAUGGAGAGGCAAGUUGAAGAAGUGUACACCAUUUCCAAGUUUAAAGAAUUUCAAGAAGAAUUGACUGCUCUGAUGUAUUGUGAUAUCUCGGAUUCUGUGGGAUCAAUAAAUCAAAUAAUUGAAUCAUUUGGGCAAGGUCGGAGAGGCUUCUUUGAGGUUGUUUUUGAAGAAGCUGAGUGUGAAGUUAAUUGUAUAUGUUCAAAAUUCCAGUUUAGGGGGAUUCUUUGCAGGCAUGCCCUUGCAGUGCUGAUACGUAACUCAGUUGAAUUACUUCCAGAAAAAUACAUUUUAUCAAGGUGGAGGAAAGAUGUGAGGAGAUGUUAUAGUAAGCUGAAAGUUUGUUAUGGUGUGCAGAAUUUGACCAUCCAGCAAGAAAGAUGAAAAAAUGUGUAACACUUUCAGUGAGGUUGCAGACAUAGCCUCUGAUGAUGAAAAUAACUAUAAAACGGUGUUGGAUUGGAUUGAGAAAGCAAUGAAGGAUCUGCCCAAGUAAAUUCAUUGUGAAAGUGUGGGAAAAACUAAUACUGGUGGAGCAAGUUGUAGCAGCAACAAACAAAUUAACAGUGAGUGUGGAAAGAACUGUUAUUGGCGAAGUAAGUUGUAACAGCAACAGUGUUCAACUUGCACUGAAUGAUCCAGUAGUGACAUGUCGUAAAGGCCGCCCACCUUGCCUAAGGAAAGAAUCUUCGAUUCGUAAGAAAUCCGUUCAAAAGAACAAGUCCGCACAAAGAAAUAAGGUAUGAUUAAAAAAAAAAGAUCUAUUUUCCAAUUAAUUUGGUCUUAGUUUAAUUGUCUUUAAUAAUCUUGUAGGAUUUACAAGAAAAUGCCCCAUCAUCUUAUCAUGUGCCUAAUGAAAUCUCCACACAAGGGAGCAACAUAGCCACGGUAAAUUUUGUGAAAUUUUCUUUUGUUUUGAGGAUAUGUAAUUAAGUAUAAGAUUGCGCAUAUGUAGACGCUACAAGAAGGAAGUGCUAUUUAUGGAAAUCUCAACUAAUGCGGCACUACGGGCUAUUAUAAUGUAAGAAUUAAAUUAUUUAAAUUUUAGUUUUAAGAUUUUUAUAUGAAUUUUACAUAUAUUUUAUUAUUUGAUUAGGUACCUAUGUACCAAUCCCAAUUCAGUGGAAGCAACAUUUAUCAGUCAUUUCCUUAUAAUUGGCACACAAUAAGUUGUUGUUUAUAAGUCGUUAAUGAAUACAUAUAUUUUAAAAUUUCUGUAAUGUAAUAUGAUGUUUAUUUUUAUGUAUUAUAGCAACCAGUCCCACCGUAUACUUCGCAGUUGCAUUAUUCUUCUCCUUCGAUGACUUAUCAAGGAUCUCAAAGUGAGAAUUUCCAACAGUUACUACAGCAGCAGCAGCGUAAUGAAGAUAACAAUGAUGAUACUUGACUUGUAUUUUGGCUUUAAAUUGUAGUGAUGAAAUAAUGUUGUGUUAAAUUGAACUUUAAAUUUUUAAAAUUAUGUUAGAUUUGACUUUAAAUCUUUGAAAUUGUAGUGAUGGAAUAAUGUUUUGUGUUAAAGUGAACUUUAAAUUUUUGAAAUUAUGUUAGAUUUGUUUAACGUUGUCCACUUGCAAUUUGUUUGCUCGCACUGUCAUGAAGUGAUAUUGUAUAGGCACCGAUGGUUUGCAGUCAGUGCAAAUAUUUCCAGCUAUGUGAAAGAUAAUGAUUCUUCCUCUUAAAUUUUGUUUUCAUACUCAUGUCCACGUUUUUAAUUGAACUGUUCUUUCUGCUUUUAUACUUAUGUCCAUGCCUUUCUUCAGGUUCUCAAUUCUGUUUAAGUUAUCAAAUCUAAUCAUCUUCAAUUUAUCACUGUUUCAGAUUCUUGUAUCCUCUUGAAAAUGCAAAGCUAAUGUGUGAUACAAUAUUAAUAUAAAUUGGAGGCUUUGUUUUCACUAGUAGAUAACAGAGGCCCUGUGCAAAGAAUUAAAAUUCACUUAAAGAGCCAUGUUGCACAAAUGUGUGCAAGGACAUAAUUUUACAAAAUUAUUUUUCUUAUGUUACAGAAUUCAUAUCUCAUAUGCAGAGUCUAGAGGAAAACAAUUCAUACACAACAAUCAUUUUAUUUAAAUUAUUUAAAUUUAUACAUAACACGGGGUACAAUUUCAUUUAUGCAAAAUACAUAUAGCAAUGAUUAUCCCUAAAAUACAACAUACAAUGGAUAAUAUAGGCAGAAUAAUACAAUCAUUUCUGCCUUUAUCAGUUUGCACAACUUUGUCGCAUGUAGGCACUUCAGUUUGCACCCUCUUUUCAAGUGUUUCCACAAUAAAUUUUGUAGUUUUUAACAUAUUGGAUGUCUCUGGCAAUUUUUCAUGCCUUUUUAUGUAAUCAUUGUAGGCUAUUUCGGCAUCCAACAAAGAUUUAUAAGAUUAUAAGAAUUCCCUUUGAAUCCAUUUACUUGCAUCUUGCAUUCAGGCCAAGAAUUGUAUAUGCCCGACUUUCGUCCUUUGAAAACAACAUAACAACUUUGAGUAGGCAUUUGAAUUCUACAUUGGAAAAAUUUAGAUAAAAUAUUAUCACAAAUAAAUAUUCUAGACAUUUAUGCUAAGAAACUCCUAAUGAUAAUAUAUAUUGAUAUGCAAUACAGGGAAGUAAGACUUUGAAAUUUUUAUGGACUUUGUUGAUUUCCCUGCCCUGCACUUACAUUGAUCUUAUGGACUUUCAGUCGGCCAUCUCUAUUAUAACCAAAUUUUUAUCUAACAAUGGCUUCAAAUAGUCAAUCAAAAUAAAUGUAAUAAGUCACGUAACUUAGGAUUAAAAUUGAACUGAUUAUUAUGUUCUUCCCAAUGUACUCCAAUAUGAUUUUUUUUUUCCAGAAAAAAGUGACUAGUCUUCAACUCUCAAAAUAUUGUAUAUUAAGAAUAGAAAUUUAUAAUUCGAAUAUAACAAUAGAAAUUUAAGUUGUGCUAUAAUAGAAUUGACCACAAGAAUUCCACAGACAAAAUAAUUUCAAUGAGAGUGAUUUGAAGCAUAUAUUAUGCAAAGCUUGUCAGAAGAAACAAGUCUAUUCGUAGCACGAAAAAGAAAAACCAAAAGUAACAACAAAUGCAAGAAAUACAACUCCCAGAAGUAGAAAAACAAUUUGGGAAAUUAUUUAAGGCAAAAUAAAUUAUAUAUGGAAAUUCUAGUUGCUAAAUUAUUCUUGCAUCAAAUAGUAAUAAAAAGUAACAACAAUUUAAGGGUUAAUUUUAUGGGGACAUGAGAAUAAAGAUUUUCGGGAAUAAUUACCUUUUCAUAGCAAAAAUGAAAAUUAAUUAGAGAUAAUUUUCUUUUAUAUCAAAAGUGCAACUUUUUUUUUUAAUAUAUCAUCAGUGUGACAAAUCGCAGUAAAAGAUUAAUAGAAUUCGGAAAAGAUUAAUUAGAAAAAGGAUUAUCUGUUCAGCACCCAUUACUAGUUGAUACACAAAGAUGAUCUCAAACUGUCAAUCGGUAGCACUGAGAAUUGAAAUGAGCUUGAAUUGAACAUGCUUAUGGAAGAAAUGCUCACACUGUCAAUCUCAAAAUUUCAUCAUCCACAAGAUAAAAAAAAAAAAGAAAUGCUUACAGAUGGGUCACUACAACUGCAACAGCAUGCAACAACUAGAAGUCUCCAAAGCAGCGAUGUCGUAGAUGAAGAAGAGUCGAUCGUGUCUGUUGUAGAUCUGGGCUAGGCGAGAACAAGAAGCGGUCGUUGUCCGGUAACAAGAAGCGGACAUCGUCCGAUAACGAAGCAAGUGGGGCUGGGCGAGAAAAAAAAAAAAGAAGGGGCUCGGCGAGAACAAGAAGCGGCUGUCGUCUAGGGGGAGUCCGGUAACGAAGCAAAUGGAGGGGGAGUAAAAUGAGUGGUGGACGUCGUCUGGUAACGAAGCAAAUGGGGCUGGGCGAGAAGGAAAAAAAAAAAAGAAGGGGCUCGGCGAGAACAAGAAGCGGCUGUCGUCCAGGGGGAGUCCGGUAAUGAAGCAAAUCGAAGCAAAUGGAGAGGGAGUCUGGUAACGAAGCAAAUGGAGGGGGAGUAAAAUGAGUGGAGGGGGAGUAAACUAAGGAAAGGAAAAUGAGUGGUUGGGGAGGUGCGUUUCUUGUGGGUCCACGCAAGACUCAAAGAAGCAGAACUCAACACGUGAAACGGCAAUUCAACGCUGCCUUUCUGUCGUCCUUUUGUCUUCUUUGAGUUCGUAUAUCAUUUUCCUUUAUUCUUAUUCCCAAAUUACAUUUUGCCAAGUAAACAUGGAUUUCACAUUCCUUCAUUCCCAUUCCCCAUUCUAUGAAGUAAACACACCAUUAAUUAAAACAGAAUAAAUGAUUCGCCAAUCAAAACAGAGAUAAUUAGAAUAAGAAACCAAUUUUUUUUUUUUGGUUGGGGUUUGUCCUUUGUGUUUUCUCUUUCUUUAAUUAUCAACUCAUCAGAAUUCAUAAAAUUCAAAUCUUUAAAUUUUCUUUUCUCUUCUUUAACAAUGAACUCAAAAAACGAAAAACGAAAAACGAAAAAGAAAAUAAUAGUAAUAAAUAAAAUAAAAAAUAAAGAAAAUAAGACUCAUCGUACGGCAUUAGCUGCAUUUUUUCCUCACGGGCCAUCCAUUCCUUUUGCUAUUUGAAAUACGACUCAACGGCUUGUUUCUAUCAGCAGGCAUUGGAUUUAACUACGAUUUAUUAACAAACCUUGGAGAAAUUCCAGUAAGGGGCUAAUCUGAUCGAGCGCGAAAGCAACUUUGGAGACAUUCUUUGCUUCUGAUUGAAGCAGAGCAUUUUUUGGUAAUUUAAAAUAAAACUUUGCAUGAGUAGAUAUAACAGACAAAAAGAACAAAACUGAAAUUGAAAUUGCAUACUUACUGAUAAAUUCAGAGACUUUAAACCUAAUAUUAAUGUUAAUUAACUAUACUUAAUAUGCACAAAAUUUCAUGCAUGAACCAGAUGAAGAUCUUGUUUUAAGCAGUGAGGGAUUGAACAACAAUUUGAAGAACAAGAAGCUUGAAGAAGUGCAAAGUACACCAGAUGCAAAGUUGCCUCGAAAGUCUCCAUCAAUACCCGGUUCAGGUUAUUCGGAAAACCAAAGUUAAUGCAAAAUCAGAGAACAAACCAGAGGAAAGCUCUGUACUACAAUCACUCUGCCAAAACUACCACAAUGAUAUGUGGUGAUGAGCAGUAAACCAAGCAAGACUCCUGAUGCAAGCAAUUUAUUGAAGGCUUUUCCUUAAGUUCCUUACUGCAAAAAUGCAUGAAUCAGGCAGUUAUUUUAGCAGCCCAGGAUUAGGAUUGCUUGGUCAUUUUGAGACUACUUUGCAGACUCAUAUUCAUCUGGAGAGUAAACAAUUAAUGUUUCCAGGUUGAAACAAAGACGCCUCUGAUCUGGUGCUAACCCAUAGUAUGAAUGUAUAAUUAUUAUUUUUAAAACAAACAAAAUUUUAAUAUGAUAUUCAUCAUUGAUUUAAUCGAUUUUAUCUAACAAAUUAUAUUAUAAUUAAUUUAUACACCCUACAUUACAUUAUAACCGAUUCCAUAAAAGGUGAGAUCGAUCAUCUGUCAUUUCCCUGCAAAUACACAGUCAUUCCUUUUCUAUUUUUCAUUUGCUCUGAACCCAAAACAACAAGCAGGAAGAUAUUUAUCCAUCAUAUUUUGAAGCUUAAUCGUAAUCUCAAGUUAUGUGUUAAGUUCAUCAAUUUUCCAAAUCUUAAUAUCUGUUAACGGGUAGUAAACAAACAACAGCCACAGCAUCAGAAGGCACUAGUGCAGUUCAAGUAAAAUCUAUGUUCAUUCAGUAAGAAUAUCAACAAGCAAAAACUGUGUCAACUAGAACUCCAGAAGCCAUAGGCAACACAAGAAUAUUCAAUCAGAUUGCAAUCACCUAAUUUGUUUAUUGUUCAUUCAUUGCAAUGCAAUUCAUCGACUAUGAUACAAACCACUUUCAAGUGUACCCAAGAACUUGCCCUUAUCACUUCCUGAUCUGGCAUCUUUUGCUCAAAAGGAAGGGAAUGGAUAUAGUUAAGUCCUCAUCUCAUUUGAGUUCAAAAGCCCCCGAGUCAUUUUCUUUCACUGUACUAAAAUAAAAAAUAAAGUUAUUAAUUAUACAUUGUGUGUGCACACGUGCAUGAAAUAACAAAUACAAAAAUGAGAAAGCUGCAAGAGAUAAUGAUGCAAUGAAACAGUGAUGGUAAGAUCCAAAACAGAGGAUUUAUUUCAGUCCUUUACUUUUGAUCCAAGCAGAGCAUCUUCUGGGAGUUUAACAUGAAAUUGUUUUGCAAGGCUAGAUACAUUAAAUAAAUAAAGAGAAUAUAAAUGAUUUGCCAUAUGCAGCGAACAUAAAUUGGAACUCAGAAUCUGAGAUGCGUACUUGCACAUAAAUUCAGAGAAUAAUCACUAGUUUAUUUCCCUUCAGUCGAGCUGUCUAAAUCUUUUAGCUUGAGAUUCCUCAUCAUCACAGCAGCCACUUCCACUGGCCUCAGCUGUCCCAACAUGUUCUGCAAGGCUUCGCUUUGAUGUUGUGGCUACUUCCAUAUUUGAUCCAACAAGAUUUCGAUGGAAUUCAUUUAGAUUAUAAGAAGUAAAGCGAGUCCAUUGGUUUGUUGUUUGGUUGAACUCCUCCACUUGGUGCACAAAAACUGGAUGGAAACCACACUUUUUCACCUCCAAUCCUGGGCCCCACAAGGGUUGAAAUUCAAAAUGCCAAUUGUGUUCAUAGCAUUCUUGUUCUUGACAAGGUAAAUAGAGUAGCCAAAGAUGGGCUGACCCAUCCUGACCGAACUUUUCCCUAAAAGUAGUACUAUCAACGACUCUAGAACCUUUCAAGCGCCAGGUCAAACACUUUGUGGGAUAUGAACGUAAAGUUCUGAUUCUAGUUGAAUGCUUAUUGACAUGAAACACACAGCAAAUAGCAUAUCCCGCCACCUUAUUCUUAUUAAAUGAAUCGGGAGGCCUGUUGAGUGUUAUUGAAGAACCCUUGUUCUGAUACAUGAACCACUCUGGAAUUUCGCUUCCUGGAACAACAGUGCUUAAACGCUGUCGCGAAUGUGACACAGCCUGCAACCAAAAAAUUAAGAGGAAAAAAUAAAAAAUAAAACCAUACCUCUGCAUAAAUUUACUGCAAUAUGUUUGGCAUGGUAGAGAGACAUGGAGUAAGAGACUGACCUCGAGGUACUCUUUCAGCAUUGAAAAUGCCAAGCCAUUGAAUUUCAAACAGUCCAUACAAUGAAUAUAUGUGCUGUUCGACUUGCAAGAUUUUAACACACAUGAUAUCAUUUCCAAUGAAGUACAACCAUCUACUCUAAUUGACAAAAUACUGGGUGGAGGUCGUGGUAGAGAUUGAAGCCUCUUGCAAUCCUCCAAUACCAUUUUCCGAAGCUUAGGAAGAUGGAUAAUGCUUGCUGGAAGUGAAACAAAAUUGUUUCUACUCAAAUAUAACUCUUUUAAUGAGCACAAGUUGCCAAUAUCGCUUGGGAUUGCUCCUUCCCCUAGAUUACAGUCACUGAUAUCUAAUUUUCUUAAACAACACAAACCUGAUAGAGAUGGGAAUCUCCAAGCCACAGGAUCUGAAUUCCUUCGGAUCAAAGUGAUGGGGAAGUGCAGAAACCAUGAUGUUGAUUGCAACAGUCCUUUGCACCCGCUUAUAUCAAGUACUUCCAAGCUUUCUACUUUCCCCAAGUUCUCUGGCACAUUUUUAAGUUUGGAGCAGCCAGAGAGAUGCAACGUUUUAAGAGAUCUCAAACCAUUUAUAGUUCUUGGAAGACUCUCGAGAUUUUUGCAAUCUUUCAAAUUCAACAAAAUAAGGCCAGAAAGUAAUUCAAUAGACGCUGGCAGUCCUCUUAUAGCAGUUCCUUCCAAAUGAAGCUCCAACAGCUGCUCCAUACUUUCCACGAUCUCCGGGAACUCUCUGAACUUCAAAAGGCCAGAAAGAUUCAAAGUUGAUAGAUAUUUUAGAGCACUUAUGGUACUCGGAAUACGCUCAAGAUUUUUGCAGCCAUACAAAGUCAACCGACCAAGUCCAGAUAGAAGCUCAAUUGAGGGUGGCAGCUCUUUAACAUCAGUUUCAUCCAAAUGAAGUUCCUGCAGACACUCCAUACUUCCCACAAUGUCUGGAAAUUUCUUCAAUUUCAGGCAACCAGAAAGUACAAGUGUUUCAAGAGAUUUCAUAAAGAUCUUGGCUGGAAGAGUUGUAAGACUUGUACAACCUUUCAAAUUCAAAAAAAUCAGCUUCUUGUGAACCAACAAAGAUGGGUGAAUCUCAUGCAACCUCGUACAUCCUUCAAGAAUCAGCUGCUCUAAAUUUGGUGCCCCUGUGAAAUCUGGUGUCCUUAUGAGGUUCUCGGAAUGCUUGAGACUCAUGAUUUUCAACCUGGUCAAAGGCUAUAAGAAACAAAAUGAUACAAAAGAACAUGAUUUUCUCAGAUUAUCACAUAACUUAAAAGAAUGAAAGUAUGAAAUUAUCAAUAAGUAUUCACUGAAAACUAUAAAUAUGUAGUUGAACAAUCUUACUUUGAUUCCGCUCCACAAAUGUUCAAUGCUGCUAUGAGGGAUGUUAAGUUCAAUGAGUUUAUCUAAUCUCGAAUUUGAUGGCAAGGAUCUCAAUGGAUAUCUUUUCCAAUCAAGAAACCGUAACUCGUUGGAGAGGUAUUCAAGGUCUCCCAAAAGUUGAACAUAAAGGAUUUGGAGCACUCUAAGAUUAGUCAUAUUAGAAAAGGCUUUAGCACUGAAAUGCAUCUCUUUGUUGCUAAAGCAAUCAAAUACGAUGACUUCAAUUGCAUCAGUUCCCUAAACAUUUUAACAAAACAUAAGUGGGAAAAAAUUGAAAGAAAGAAAGUCUUGAUAAAACUAUGCAAAGAUUGAAUUAUUUAAAGAUAUGAUCAUGAUCCUAAAAUCACAAGUUUUCAACUUAACUAAUCACUUACUGUAUUUUGUGAUAAUACAUGGCAUACAUCUGCGUCCUCCCACAAUCUACUGCGAUUUCCAGGCUCUUGAGGGGAUUGCCUCCUGACAAUUUGUCGACCCAUUUCUUGUAAUAAAUCAUGCAUCCACAGUCCAUUGAAAUCAUCUACAGUUAAUAGAGAUUUUUCAAUAAGACCUCCAAUUCCAAUAAUUGGGUCAAAAUCACAGUAGUUGAGAAUUUUGGUUACAUAAUCUAUAUACUUCCCUUUAUAGAAGCAUGCAAUAUCGAGAAAUAUCUUCUUCUCUGUUUCUUUUAACCCAUCAAAACUUAUUUGAAGUACAUCAAGAAUUUCAUAAAAAGUGAAAACUAUAUUACCUUUUUUGAUGUACUUCUCUUGAAUUUUUUAUUUCUAAGGAUAAAGUUUAAUUCAUUCCCAAAUAAAAUGAUAAUCUCUAAUUUGCUCUCAAUGCAAACCUCAAUUUAUUCUUCAUUUCCGUCCAAAAGAUGAGGGGCAAAUAAGGAAUGUGUUGAUGGUUUUUUUGUUUAAUCUUUUUAACAAUAAAUGGGGUAACUUGAUAUUUUUAUACUUUAGGUGAUAAAUUAAAGAUUUUCAUUUUAAAUUGGGGGCAAAUUAAAAUCUAUCCUAUUUCUAAAGGCACCACGUGAUUUGGCAAAAUAACUAUAAAGAUAUUUUGUUUUUAGAAAAUGUCACACAUGUCUCUUUUGAGAUACACAGACUCUUUUUUAGCUAAAAGAUUGGGAUUUGUGUGAUUAUUUCUGAACCAAAAGGUUUGUGUUUUAUAAAAAAAAUGAUUAUGUGACUGUUUUGCCUAACUGAGAGGGUCAUUAUUCAAACACCAAUCACAUUUUUGUUUUAAAACACCCUUUCAUUUAUUCUUUAAGCUUCUUUUUUUUUUCCCAAAAAAUGAUGAAUAGAUAUUGAAAAUUUUGUUUUCAUUUUUUUAUUGAAAAAAAUGAAAAACACCAAAUAUUACUGCUUCCUUGUCCAUUCUGUUUUUCGUCCUAUAUUACCUUAAUUUUAUAUCGUUUUCUCUAUUUCUAUUUUUAUAGUCCAAUUCUGAAAACACACUAUUAGACACAUUUUUAAAUUGAAAAACACCAAACAUGGCGCAUCAUUUUCAUUAUAAGCAUUAACACCUGACGUACACAUUCUCCAAAUGGGACUAAAAAUGGUGACUCCUUCAGAAAUGAAGUUGUACAAUUAGUUUGAAUUGAGUCGAUACAGAGACGUCUCCAUUGCGUCAUCUAUUUAACUGUCUUGUGCAACCUUAUUCUGUACAAGUAGGAUUCCACAUUGGCCAAGUAUAUGCAUAGUUGCUGGUUUAUUAACCCCAAAACACCCUCCACUUAAUUCAAGGUCUUAAAGAGAAGUCCAAUCUUACAGGUUCGUUAACAUUUUAAAGGUAAGUUUUAUCUUGUAACAUUCACACAAAAUUUAUAAUCAACUGGGGCGGAAAUUUUGAAAAUACUAUGAUUAGCACAAGCAUUUCAACAAUAAAGGAUGUAAUAAAAGCUCAUUAAGUUUAAACUUGAAAGGAAAAUUAGGGCAAGGUCAUUUCUUUAAAAAGAAUAAGGCAAGCUGAUGCACGGCAUGAAAUACCUGUGACCAAGCCUCAAAAGAUUCAUCCCCAGUAUUUUGCUUGCCGACGGCAUAAGUACACUUGGCUUCCCAAACAAAUAAUUGCUGGAGCUCGGACAAUGCAAGUAUUCAAUUUAACUUCAUAAAUAUCAGCCAGAGCAUAAUUACACUUGGCUCCCUAACGAAUAAUGCUGGAGCUCGGACAAUACGAGUAUUCAAUUUAACUGUACAUAGAUGUGCGGGGUUUUGGUGGUAAGUAAAAAUAUGUGAGGAAAAAUACUAAAGAAACUGAAGCUGACAGAGGGCAGGCAGAAUUAACUACAAAACCACCAGAUUUAUCGUGUUUUUGUCCUGUUAAUUAAUUGUUUUCAAUUAACACGGUAACCCGGCUCGGGUGUUAACUCUGUUUCUGUCAGUGCUCUGUUGAAUAUUUCUACUUAAAAAUCAGCACUCGCAUGUAAGUAGUAUGGCAGCAGCAAAAUAUCAUGUGUAAUAAUUAGGCUAUUAGUUCCGGGUCCAGGAAUCGAGAUAAUCAGAUUAGGUGCAAAAGCUAUAUGUACCAAUUUAUGUAGCCAUGCAUAAUAUAUUCAUUUUUUACUUGCAAAUUCUUCCUUUUCACAACUUUAGGUACAACUUUUCCUUUCCUUUUGAAGGCCCACUCCACUGGCAUAGAGAGUAAAAAGAGUUUCUUAUAAAUAAUUUUAGGAGGAUGCUUCUGCCACGACAAGUAAUACCAUAAACAAAUGAUUUCACCACAUUUCAAGAAAGCAUUUAACUUAUGCCUCAUUUUCAUUCUAGCAAUUUGCUUGCCAUUGGCUGAUUGGAAAAAGUGCAUUUAAGUGAUAGAUUACUGUCAACCUAUAGCACGAAUAGGGGUUAAACAAAGUAAAUCCCUACCUUUCCAUGUCAAAUAAAAGACUUUCAUAAUAUCAAAUAUCAAAACUCAUGUCUAGUAAAGGAUUCCCCAAUGCUGGCUCUCAAAAUUGCUUUUGUUUCAUGGAUGAGAUGAUGGUUUUUGUGGAUAUUCUGCUCAACUUGGAUUAUGACUUGGGUCAGAUCCCAACUUGCUGCAAAGCUCGCCUGACUAAAUCUUAGUUGAUUUGCUUUUCCAAACUAAAUCCAAGCAAGUAAGUACAAGAGAUAAAAGCAAAAGUUCAAGCAUCUCAUUUGAGCCUGUCACUAACAAAUAGUCAAUGAGCAAUGUCUAGCUAUGACUGAGCAACAGAAUCAAUAAACAGAGACAAAAAAUAAUAAUCAAGUCAUCUGUCAAAUGCUAGUCCAUGAAAAUCAUAUAUAUAUAUAUAUAUAUAUAUAUAUAUGUAUGUAUGUAUAUGUAUAUGUAUAUGUAUAUGUAUGUAUGUAUAUGUAUAUGUAUGUAUGUAUAUGUAUGAUCAUUCAUUUCUCAAUCAACCACCAAAUUGAUGUCAACAAAGCCAUGAGGAUUGUCUCACAAGUCUUUCAUUUUCCCUCUCUUUAGGCCAGAGACCAGUAAACCAUUUGAAAUAUGGAUGUGCAAACCAGUAAAUAAAUCAUGAAGUUACACACUAGUCUGCUUUCGCACUCAUUCAGAACUAUCAAUGAUACUUACUGCAGGUACGGUGUAUACAUUAUACUAAAGUGAAGGCUGGAUCAAUAAGAAAUUCAAAAUGUUUCAUCACAUUUGGAGCUUGAUGAUGCCAAAGAAAGACCAUACUAAUUAUGAUGAACAGUAAAAUGUGAACAAGAACAAGCAUACAUUUAAGAAAGCAGAGAAGCAUCAUUAAAAUAAAGUAUUCUUCUUACUAUUCUAUGUUGUUGGAAAAUGGACCAAAAUAAAAAAGAAACCAUAUAUGGUUAACGUCACAACAAGGGUAUUUGUGCAUUUGUACAUCAUAGGAUAUUGGGAAGACAUCAGCAAAGAAGUGCAAAUUUUUUUUUUUGAGGAAAGGAACAGAGAAGUGCAAGUCAAAAAGGAGAAAAAAUGAAAAGAGAGAGAUCAAAAGGAAUGCAAUCUAAUUAAUCGUCUAAGGAGACUACUAUGCUACAUUUAGCCAUUGGUUGAAUAGGCAGCUUGUUUUCUAGUACAACUUUAAAUUUUCCAAGAUUUAGAAUUUUCCUACUGAAGAAAACUAAUUUCUAAAUCUGCUAUUACCAUCUUCAUCCCAACGGUAAGCAGCUCCAUACUAAGGAAAGAGUGAAAUAAGUGUGCUUUACUUAUAGAAGCCCAUUCUUGUCCAGAGUGAAUAGCAAGUUGUUUCACCAUGACCCCCAUUAUGGUGACUGAAAAAAGAAAAAAAAAAUAUUUGCCGUGUAGAGAAUUCAGAUUGUGAAGAUGAGUCAACAGUUGACCCCAAGGCCAUGUUGGCAUGCCACCUGAGCAGCCAUAUCCAGCAGCCAGCUGAUGUAGAAGCUGAGGUGUAUUCAAUGAGCUGGCAGAACAGUUAUGCAGGGGAAUAUCUACACGUGAAUACUGCAACCUGGAGUUUCUAGAAUGUUUUCAAUGAUUGGCUAGUGCAGCUGUUAUCUUUUGUUUUAUUCAUUUCUGUUAUCCUUUGAGCAAGCUACCAUUUUUCUCGUUUAGUAUAAAUAUGUGAAGAAUGUGUAUAACUUAUUAAUUCAUGUUAUCAUAAUAUACAAAAGGGUUGUUUGUUCUCUGCUGCUUGCAUAUUUAAGCAAUUCGUAAGAAUUUCAAGUUGGUAUCAAAGCAACUUUUGAGCUAUGGAAAGCAGCAGAAAUUCACAAACAAACAUGAAUCAAACACUGGAAAAUCCAGAUGAUCAACCAAAUGACUUGAAUCAAAACCAACCUGAAAAUAUCGACAAUCAGAAUCCAAAUAAUAACACCAGAAAUGUGACCAUAAUGAACCCAUCUCCUACCCAACAUAUCACCAGCAACACAUAUGUGUUCACCACUCCCAUCAAGUUAACACAGAACAACUUCAUGCUCUGGAGAUCACAAGUGGUCUCCAGCAUACGAGCCAAUGAGCUUGAAGGCUUCAUAAAUGGAAGUUAUACAUGUCCCCCUAGAUGUUUCACCAGUCCUGGACCUAACCAAAUUGUUGUUACCCACCAAAAUCUGGAAUAUCAAAUCUGGAAGAAACAAGACCAUAUUUUGUUGAGCUGGUUGCUCUCAUCACUCAGUGAGGGUGUCCUAGGCACUGUGGUGGAUUGUUCUACUUCACAUGAAGUCUGGACAACUCUUACCAAUCAGUAUGGUGCAAGAACAAGAGCUAGAAUCCUGUAUUUAAGGACACAGAUUCAAACCACUAAAAAGGGCUCUCUUACAAUUCAUGAAUAUUACUCCAGAAUGAAAACUAUCUUAAAUACACUUAGAGCAGCUGGAAAUAAUAUGAAUGAUGAGGACUUCAUUAUAUGUGUCUUAGCUGGAGUAGGAUCUGAAUAUGACUCUGUUGUCACUAACAUUAAUUCUAUGCCAGAAACUCCCUCAUUAUCAGAGGUCUAUAGCAUGCUCCUCAGCCAAGAAACCAGGACUGAGCAAAAUCUCAGUCCAGGGACACUUAAGGCUAACUUCACACAGAUGAGAAAUGGCAGAAGGAACUGGGGCAAUGGUGAAAUAUUUGGUAAUCAGCAACAACCUGGGAUAGUUUUCAGAAAUCCUAGUGGUGGUUUUGGAAAUGGUGGUAAUGGUGGUCCUGGUCAGGGAAAUCAAAAUGGUCAAGAUAAAGGGAAAGCCAAAGCUGUUGCAAAAAAAUGAAAGCUCUGAAUCAAAGGGUCCAUGCCAAAUCUGCUUCAAAAUGGGACACACAGCUGCUGAAUGCUGGCAUAGGUUCAAGAAAAAUUAUAUGCCACAGCCAAAUAGGAGAAGAGGAGCCUACAUGGCCACAACAGAAGGACAAAGCAGCAAUCCCUGGUACCUUGACAGUGGUGCCACAAAUCAUGUGACCAAUGCCAUUGGAAACAUGAACCGGAACUCAGAGUACCAAGGUAAUGACAAGCUCACUGUCGGUAAUGGUAACAAACUUCACAUCUCUCACAUUGGUUACUCUAUAUUGCCCGCUUACUGUCCACACAAACACAUUAAAUUAAAUCAUGUUUUAUGUGUACCUGAUAUUACCAAAAAUCUCAUUAGUGUUUCCAAAUUGCUUCAUGAUAAUGAUAUUGAUGUUGAGUUCCAAAAAUCUGUUUGCUUCAUCAAGGACAAGAGCCAAGGGAGAAUUCUGGUGAAAGGAGUGGCUAGAGAUGGAUUAAAUGAGCUGCUAUGCAUGCCCACUCAUUUGAGUGGCAACAAGGUCACAUAUGCUGCUGAGUUAUCUUCAUCUUCAAUACCUGAGUCAAUAAGUUGCAUUAGCAAUCCAAUGUCAAUGGCAUGUUUUAAUUUCAGUGUUGAUAGUAAUGAGUCUUUAGGUACCAGUGUUGUUGAGUCCAGUAGAGUUGGCACAAGCAGUAGGAAUUUUAGAACAAAUGAAAUGGAUCUUUGGCACCUUAGGCUGGGGCAUCCAAAUGAGUCAGUUCUGAAAAAUACUCUUUUAUCCUGUAAUCAGCUCAACUUUAAUAAAAAUAUAUUUCCUUCAUUUUGUGAUGCAUGUCAGUAUGGAAAGCAAUCAAAGCUGAACUUUAAAAGCAUUGAAACCAAGACCAGCACAGCCCUAGAACUGAUACACAGUGACCUCUGGGGGCCAGCACCUAUUCCAUCUACCCAUGGGCACAGAUAUUACAUAUCAUUUAUGGAUGACAAAACAAGAUAUACAUGGUUAUUUCCCUUAACAACAAAAUCACAGGCCCUUGACACAUUCAUUGUGUUUAAAAGCCAAGUAGAAAACCAGUUAAAUUUAAGAAUCAAGGCUUUACAGACAGACAUGGGUGGAGAGUUUAAGACCUUCGAACCCUUUCUCAAGAAAGAAGGAAUAGCCUUAAGACACUCAUGCCCCUAUCUGCAUGAACAAAAUGGAAAAGUGGAGAGAAAGCACAGACACAUUGUGGAAACUGGCCUAACAUUACUAGCCCAAGCAAAAAUGCCUUUGAAAUAUUGGCAAGAAGCUUUUAGCUAUGUUAUCUACAUCAUAAACAGACUAACCUCACCCAUUCUUAAAAAUAAAACUCCUUUUGAGCUGCUACAUCUCACCAAACCAGAUUAUUCCCAAAUUAAAGUUUUCGGUUGUGAAUGCUUUCCAUACUUAAGACCCUACAACAAGCAUAAGUUUGAUUUCCACACUUCCAAAUGCAUACUGCUAGGCAUUAGCAACAAUCACAAAGGUUACAUUUGCAUGCAUCAUUCAGGGAGAAUUUACAUUUCAGCCAGUGUCAAAUUUAAUGAACAUUUAUUCCCUUUUCAAAAUGACUCAAACUUCUGCAAACACAGGCUCACUGACCAAAAUGAUUCCCUCACAGUUCUUGAAAAAUUUCAAGUUGUAUCCUUCAACACCAGUGUUCCCCCUGAGUCAGCACAACAAAACGCAGCUCAUAGUCAAUCUCAGGCCACUAUUGGAAACUCAGAACAACUCCCAAGCUUUGGUCAAGAAGAAGCCUGUCAGAAUUUGAACCUCAACACUGUAUCAGACAACCACACACCUACUCAACUCCCACCAAACUCCUCAGCAGAAAACUGCAUCUUGCCUCCUAUAACAGAACCAAACACUCAAGCCUCUUUACAUCCCAUGAUCACAAGGUCCAAAGCAGGGAUUUUCAAACCUAAAGUUUAUCAAAUAUCUACUCAAUCUCAAACUUCCUUACCCCCUGACUCAACUGUGGCACUAAAAAGAUCCUAAAUGGAGAAGAGCAAUGGAGGAUGAAUACAAUGCUCUUGUCAAAAACCAAACCUGGAUCUUAAUACCACAUGACCAGAACUACAAACUCAUUGGCAACAAAUGGGUGUACAAAGUAAAGGAGAAUCCAGAUGGCACCAUAAAUAGAUACAAAGCUAGACUUGUGGUAAAAGGGUUUCUGCAGACACCAGGACUUGACUUUAAUGAAACCUUCAGCCCUGUGGUCAAAGCUGCAACAAUCAGAAUCAUUUUAACUUUGGCUGUAAACAAUGAUUGGCUGUUGAGGCAGGUUGACAUAAAUAAUGUGUUUCUGAAUGGAGACUUGACAGAAACAGUGUACAUGCCACAACCUGAGGGAUUUGAAGAUAAGAGAAGACCAAACCACAUAUGCAAGCUCCAGAAAGCUCUUUAUGGACUGAGGCAAGCACCCAGAGCAUGGUUUGACAAAUUAAAGAAUGCUCUGUGCUCUUGGGGAUUCAACAAUUCCAAAUGUGAUACCUCUCUAUUCUUCAAGAGAAGCAGUGCUGAAAUAAUCAUUGUGCUUGUGUAUGUAGAUGACAAAAUUAUAACUGGCAGUGACAACAAAGGUAUUGAGGAAGUGAUAGGAAAGCUAAGUGGAGCUUUUGCACUGAAAGAUCUUGGAAAUUUGAGCUACUUCAUUGGGAUACAGGUCAUAAGAAAUCAGCACUCAAUUAUGCUCUCUCAAGCUAAAUAUGUUCAAGACCUAUUAGCUAAAACUGAGAUGGAAAAUUGCAAGGGAAUAGAGUCACCAUUCAGCACAACAGAGAAACUAAAGAAGGGUGAAGGCACCAAACUUGACAAUCCCUCAUUUUACAGAAGUGUUGUAGGGAGUCUACAGUAUGCUGUCCUAACAAGACCAGAGCUUGCAUAUUCUGUUAACAAGCUUAGCCAAUACAUGUCUGACCCAAGACAAUCUCACUGGACAGCUUGCAAACGAGUGUUGAGGUACCUAAAGAGCACUGGUAACAUGUGCUUAAAAUUCCAGAAGUUAGAACACUUAGAUUUAAUAGCCUAUACAGAUGCUGACUGGGCUAGUGAUCAGGAUGACAGAAGAUCGAUAAGUGGAUAUUGUGUGUUUUUGGGAGAUAAUUUAGUAGCUUGGAGCUCAAGAAAGCAGGGCAUGGUAGCAAGAUCUAUAGCUGAGUCCGAGUACAGGGCCAUAGCUCUGUGUACCACUGAAAUCACUUGGAUCAGUUCUCUGUUUGGUGAACUGGAAAUCGAGAUGCAAAGAGUUCCAAUGAUUUUAAGUGAUAGCACAAGUGCAGCAGCAAUAGCCACAAAUCCUGUGUAUCACUCAAAAACAAAGCAUUUUGAGAUAGAUCUUCAUUUCAUUAGAGACAAAGUCACUCAAGGAGAGCUGGAAAUCAGUUUUGUAGCCAGCAGAGAUCAAGUCGCAGACAUACUAACCAAACCAUUGCCUUACUACAAGUUCAGUCAAUUUAGAAGCAAACUUAAUGUUUUCGACAAGACCUUAAGUUUGAGAGAGGGUGUUGAGAAUUCAGAUUGUGAAGAUGAGUCAACAGUUGACCCCAAGGCCAUGUUGGCAUGCCACCUGAGCAGCCAUAUCCAGCAGCCAGCUGAUGUAGAAGCUGAGGUGUAUUCAAUGAGCUGGCAGAACAGUUAUGCAGGGGAAUAUCUACACGUGAAUACUGCAACCUGGAGUUUCUAGAAUGUUUUCAAUGAUUGGCUAGUGCAGCUGUAAUCUUUUGUUUUAUUCAUUUCUGUUAUCCUUUGAGCAAGCUACCAUUUUUCUCGUUUAGUAUAAAUAUGUGAAGAAUGUGUAUAACUUAUUAAUUCAUGUUAUCAUAAUAUACAAAAGGGUUGUUUGUUCUCUGUUGCUUGCAUAUUUAAGCAAUUCGUAAGAAUUUCAAGUUGCCGAACACAAUAGUAGCACCCAAGAAGUCCUACUUAAGAGGCUUCAUACCCUGCACAAAUCGGAGUUUUUUUUAAAAUUUUCAUGUUUCAAAUGAAGAUUGUCCAUUAAAAACAAGGAUAACCCAGAAACAAUCCAACCAUCAAUAACAUAAAACUUUUGUAAUUCUGGUAAAGUGAAUGAGAAGCAGAACAUACAUUUCACGUAAUAAUGAAGAUACAUCUUUUAAUAAGUCUUUGCUCUUAAUUUAUUAUCGUACUUCCUUCCAAUAACAAUUCAUAAUGCAGGUUGGUAUCUUGAAAAAUUAUAUCAUACAUUUCUCUUAUCAAUGGGGCAGGUUGCUAUUGAACAUUAUUCAUAAACAAAGAGCCAAAUAUGCUUUAAAGCUACUUAAAAAUAUGCCAUCGGGCACUGACGCAGACACUCAACAACAAAAAACAGACUUAUUAUAUUUGUUGCACAAAAGUAAAAAAGAAAAUACUCUUACUCAAGUAUUAUAUUUGUUGCGCAAAUAAGAAAGAAGAUAACAAUUUUAAAUUAAUCAACAGGUUGAAUCUUAUCGUAAUACACACUAUCAGCUAUGAAUUAGCAUACCUUAGAAGUCCUGAACUCAUUCACCGCCAUUCGAAGAGAAUCAUCCGAUAGAAUCAACCGUGACAAUGCUCCAGUGCUUAACCUGCCACAUUUAUAAGAGAUCACCAUAUGAGAAAAAUUUUAAAUUAAAAAAAUAUUGGAAACCUAAACGCCAAUCAAACACAUUACAUAUAGCAAUUUCUCCUUUUAAAGUUCAAUUAUCACUUGAUAGAGUAUUAAGCUUAAUGCAAUACCCCAAGAAUUUUGUUGCUUCUGAUACAGAUCCCUCGACUGCGAAAAUUAGAUCAAGCAGAGCUUGCAUUCCCUGUAGUUAACCAAAAAAAAAAAAAAAAUCAUUACUAUGACUUAAAUUUUAAUAGAAAACAAAAAACGAAGCAAGAGUGAAUAGAGUAAUACCAAAGCAAAUUUAGGAUUGUUAGGUCCAAAUUGUGGACCAACUUCUGAACUUCUAAUAGUAGACUUAGGAGGAAGGAUUUGAAGAAGCUGUGGCGGCGGCGAAUACGUAUCAAGAUUCACACUGCCCCCCACUUUGAGGGCCAAAAGAGUGCGGAGGCGCGACAAAGCUGACGCGCGAUUCUUGUGCUGCGAUCGGUCUUCGGCCACAUGCGCUAUGAUGCCGGUCGGUACGUGCUUGAGACGUACGGCGGAUUCGUGCUUGUUGCGGUGCUGACCGCCUGGUCCAGACGAUUUGUACGUGUCCAUUUCGCAUUCGCGAAGCAACUCAUCGUCCGUCAAUUCUAAGUAAUUCUUCUUCUUCGAAGAAGAAGAUGAAGAACAAUUGUCAUUGGUGCUGAAUUGCAAGACAAGAACAAUGGCUUAUAAUUCCCGCGAUGCUUGUACAACGGAAAGUUUAUAUUUUUCCUUCCGAGUUGGGGAAUCCGAAGCAGGAAUUGAGCGGCCAACGCCAUCAUAAAUUUCAAUUUCCCUCUAUGUGUAUGUGAUAAUCAAAGCAAAGCUUCAUACUGGUAACACAUUCUUAUAGCAGGCCCAGCCCAAUCCAGCCGAGUCUGGCAAGUGAGCUUUAAAUAGGUGUUCGAUUGUAAAGAUAUGUCUAAUUAAAUAGUGUCAAAUAUAAUAAAAAUAUAUCAUUUUAUUUAAAGAUGCAUCCAUCCAUGGUUUUAUACUUCAAUUUGAAAUGGUGAUGGUUUAUUUUGGACCAGUGAUGAUCUUAUUCAAAAUUUGAUUUAAUAACCAUAAAUGAAAGGGUAUCAUGAAAAGUGACAAUCCAAAUAAAAGAGUACAUAAUUAUCUAUAAAUAGAAGUCAAGACCUUUCUGUGAUCUAUCUAAUCUUCCUAUCGUACUCUUUUUUUCACUAGAAAAACUACAUUUGUAAUGUGUCUCGAAGCACCAUCAAUUCUUACCUAUAUUUCAAUUAAAAUAAGAGUGAAACUAUUGGCACCCCUUCAUUAUUCUUAUAAAACCCUAUUUCAAAUAAAAUUACAAUUAAGAGCAAAGAAGAAAUAAACACAUGUAGGAUUUUUUUCCCCAACAAAUUACUUUCAUUAAUAAUCAAUCUUUUUUUAUUUCCUACCUAUUAUUUCUUAUCUAAGAUAAAUUGUAUAAAUUUAGAAUAAUCUAUUUUUCUUUUCCUAUUUCUUAUCGAUUAAAUAUUUUUGUACUCAAGAUUACUUUCAAACUACAAUCUAAAAUAUGUGUUAUUUAAGCUAAUGAUUAGCAUUCAAACUUUAUCACCUAAAAAACUUUUUAAUUUGUAUGUAGGAUAACAAUACGAUUGCAAAAGAGAUGAAAAAAAACACAAUACUACUUUGAGUUUUAACAAUAAAAGAAGAUUAAAUGAAAAACUAAAAGAGUGUCUUUGAAAAUAAAAGGAAAUUUUUGGAAAUAAAAUAAAUAUAACUAAAAAAGGGUUUGAUGAGGAGACUAGAGGGGUGCCAAUAGUCCAACUUUUAAAAUAAAGUUUUAUCAAUUAUUUCUCCCUUUUUCUGCAAUUAUUAUUCCCCACAGAUAUUUCUUCAACAUUUUAUUUCAUAUAUUUACUCCCAUUACACUAUAACAAAGGACGCCUUUUGGACUACAUCAGUUUGUAGAUGCAUUUUAUUAAUAAAUUAAAUAAAGGCACCAUCUAUUGUUCAAUUUCUCUAAAUAACCACUUUCUGUCAGCUCUAUUAAAAUUUAUUAAGGAAUCUAUGUUGAAGACCAUUUCAUCCUUAGUAUUGUGUAAAUGUAUAAAAAUACAUUUUACACUUUGAAAUUUAAAAUGACCUUCUUUUAGCAUAAAAUUUUAAAACAAAUGCCGCUAACUAAGGGACAAAUUUUAGAAUACAUGAUCAGUACCAUGUUAGCCAUAUAAAAAGUAAAUCAUACUAUGAUAUAUGUGCACUUAUUUUGAAAAACUAUCAUGUAAAUGAUGGUUAUAUUGAAUCUAAGUAAGUGCAUAUCAUACAUGACACAACCUGACCCAACCUCUUUGCCAAAUUCGAGGUGAAUCAUGUGAUCUUAUAUCUAAAGCUUGUGACAUAAAUUUAAUUUAUGAAUACAUAACACUAGCCUCGGCCUUUGUUAUAAACAAAUAAUAACAUAUGUACCUCAUUCAAAAAUAUAUUCAAAACUUACACAGUUCACAUCUUACUGUACAUACAUACACUUUAGAUAUAUACAUAUAAACAUAAACGUGCUUAAAAUAUAAGUCAUGCAGUAAUGCAUGUUGUGGCCCAACCUCAACUGAUUAGAAACUGAAUUGCACAAAAUCCUACGAAAAUCUUAAAGAAAUGGGGUAAAUAGGAAAAUAAUAUACUUGUGGCUAAAUGAAUGGAUAUAAUUGUGUGUUUGUGUGUUUGUAUCUAUAUAUAUAUAUAUAUAUAUAUAUAUAUAUAUAUAAAUAAAUUAGUGCUCUGGUGCUUGUACAUAAUUGUAUGACAUAACUUCACACUGAACACAUUACACAAGCAAAUAUGAAAUCAUAUAUAUAUGAUAAAACUGCACCAAAUAAUAUGUAGGAGAAAUAACUCUCAAUAUUUACUGGAAUCAUCAUUGCACAAGUAAAGUGGGAGAAAAACCUCUCAAUACUCAGCGAAAUUAACUACAUCACAAGGGUCGAGUAAUCUAACUCUCACUACACAUGCAUAGAGCCUAUGGGGAAGGGUACACAUAUGGUAUCUGGCAAUCACAUCUCAUGAUUCAAUCAAUCAUAUAAUAUGCGUACAUAUAAUCAUAACAUGAUACUAAAUCAUACUAUCAAACAUAAAUACUUUGUAGAAUACAUAUAAAUAAUAAUAAUAGUAAUCCACUCACAAAACAUGUUUCACUUCGGGGUUCGUUGGAGCUCCGAUAGAUUCCUUAAUUCUUGGGUUUCUCCUAAAAUAUAGGAUUCAAAAAUUAAUUGUUAGAACUGAUAUAAAAACUUAUACAUAUGACAUAAACUAAAUCAUAAUUGUUCAAAUUUCUUAAAUACGUUACCUACUGACUUACUGGAUAUAGAUAUAACUAUCCAAUUCUCUUUCCGAUAAUAUUUCCUCUCAAUUCCUCUUUUCAAAAUCAUUUCUCACUCUCAGUUUUUCUUUUCUUUAUUUUUUCUUCUUCAUCUUUUGUUCUUCUGUUCUUUUCCUCUUCUUUCUUCAUCUUUUCUUCUUUUCCUCUUCUCUUUUCCUUUUGUUUUCUUCCCUUCUCAGCUUUUCCUUUCUUUUUCUUCUCUUUGAAUUACAUUGUUUUAGUUUGAUUCAUGAAAAUGGUGACAGCUGCUUCAAUUCUUUACUUUAUAUAUAUCUAUUGCCUCCAAUCACGCAUGACAAACACAUAGGUGAAGCAUGCAUGUGCUUUGCUUUAAGCUGACAGCUUGCUAAUUAGCCACAUGUACUCCCUUUUAGCUUGCAUGUGCGUCACAAUACGUGCAUUAAUUGAUUGUAUUAUUUUUAAUAUAUUAUAUAAUUUCUUUUAGUGAAGGAUGUAGCCAACAAUUUUAUCCAGCUAAACAUGUUCUUUGACAUAUAAUACAGUUUAUGGUCCAACAACUCAUAAGUAGUUGAAAUUAAAUUAUUUUUUAAUAUCAAUUUUCCUUUUCUCUCAAUUUGAAAAUACUUUAAAAGAUUUUCAAACAUAAGAUACAAUGGUAUACAAUUGAAGCCUAAUCCAACAUAGAAAGAUUAAAUAAAAUUAAUUUUCAUCACUAUGCAAGAGACUUGAAAAGAUAUUAAGGUAGCGUUUAUUUUUAAUUUAAAGUCUGAAUAGGUUAGAAUUUGAUUAAAAUUUGAAUGGUUUUGAAUAUAAAUGUUUCAAAAACAUGUUUAUUUUUUUAAUAUCUAAAAAUUAAGUGGCAUCUUGUUUGUUUUUAUAAAGAAAACACAUUAAAUGUAGUUAUUUAACAUUUAUGUCCUUAUAAGUCAAAACGAAUAAAAGGGAUUAGGUUUUGUAGUUUAUGAAAUAACUAUAUUGAAUUGAAAUAUUUUUAGGAUAUAGUAUUUAUUUUCCAUUCAAACAUUUUUUCAUUUCGGCAAAGGUCAUAAAAAUUUUCUUUUUUAAUUCAAAUGUAAAUAUCUAAAAAUCAAACAUAUGUUACCAAAAAAAACUAAUUUUCUUAAAAAAAGUUAAACUUCAUAUGUUUAAAAUAAACGCUAAGGAACAUGAAUAAGAGCUAUUAAAACAAAAAAAGAAUAAUUUUGAAACUAAAUACAAUUAAUUGAGAGAUGAGGACCGAUAAGAUAAAUUCAUAGAUAAAAAUUAAAAUAUCAACCCUACUUAUUGCUGGCAGUUAUGAGCAUUAAAGAAUAGAAGCCGUGUCUUGAUAAGUAUGGUGUUCGUGCGGAAUUCUCAAUUUUAAGAUAACUUUUUUUUUAAAAAAAGCUAGACUUCAUAUGUUUAAAAUCAACGCUAAGGAACAUGAAUAAGAGCUAUUAAAACAAAACAAAAAAGAAUAAUUUUGAAACUAAAUACAAUUAAUUGAGAGAUGAGGACGGAUAAGAUAAAUUCAGGGAUAAAAAGUAACAUAUCACCCUACUUAUUGCUGGUGGUUAUGCACAUUAAGGGUGCGUUUGGGAUUGAGGUGCUGUAGCUUUUAAGCUACAGCUGCUGUGAAAAAAAAGCUGUAAUUAUGAAACAAAAGUUAAUAAUAUAUAGUAAAUAUAAAUUUUAAAUAAUAAUUUUGAUAAAUUUAUUAAAGAUAUAAUAAAUUUUAUAUUAUACAAGUGAAAAAUCAUAUCAACAUAGCUUAAAAGCUACAGCAGCUAGUGUUUACCAAACACUUUAGUGCUGUAGCUUUUAAGCUACAGCUGCCCAACCUCAAUCCCAAACGCACCCUAAAACACAGAAGCCGUGCGUUGAAAAGUAUGGUGUUCUUGUGGACUUUUCAGCUAAAAGUCUACAAAGCAGUUGAAUUAAUCAAUCAUCGUGGAGUGCACGGUGCUUGGACAAUGAGAUGAAAUUGAAAAAUUAUCACGGAACUUGAAGGAAGCUUCAUGGCAUCGAUUUAUUCUACAGAGUCGCUCACAUUUGGUUCAAUAAUUGUUUUCAUCCGAAUCAAAAUCUUUUUCUAAUCAAUUCAACUGAUUUUGUUGAUUAUGGCUUCUUCUUCUCAAAACAACAAGAAGUAUGAUGUUUUUGUUAGUUUCAGAGGAGAGGACACCCGUGACAACUUUACUAGCCAUCUCUGUUCUGCUCUGUGUCGACAAAAUAUCCAAACUUUCAUUGAUGACCAACUUAACAGAGGAGACGAAAUUUCGGAGUCACUUGUGAAUGCAAUUGAAGCAUCAGCCAUUUCAGUUAUUGUCUUCUCAGAAGGGUAUGCAUCUUCCAGAUGGUGUCUCGAUGAACUUGUAAAGAUCCUCGAGUGCAAGAAAGAGUAUUCACAGAUUGUGAUUCCGGUUUUCUAUCGGGUUGAUCCAUUAGACGCGAGAAACCAAACAGGACCUUUUGGGAUUUCAUUUUCGAAGCUUGAAGAAAGAUUUAAGGAGAAUUUAGAGAAGCUGCAGACUUGGAGGAAAGCUUUGAAGGAAGCAGCCAGUUUGUCUGGCUUUCAUUCUCAUAACAUCAGGUGAAAUUGAAAAGUUACCUUUAAUUUCUCAUACUAAUAUUUAACAAUAAAUAAAAUUCACGCAGCACUCUUAGUUAAAUUUCCAGAUGCUAAACUUCAAUUUUAAAUAUUUUUAAGCAUCAAAUUCUAGACUUCUUGACUUCCUCACUUUUGUGCUCUAUAAUUACAAAAUAAUUUUGAUAGAAAAAGCAUGAGAAUUUUACAAUAUAUAUCUAACAAAAUUAGUGGUGAUCUGUUGUUUUUUAAGCAAUGUCAACCUGUCACUCAUACAGCACCAUUAAAAAAAAAAAACUCACGCAUAUUCGUGUAAUUUAAGAGUUAUCAAUUCAUUGGAAGAUUGAAGACUUGUAUGGUAUGUAUUAAUUUCAGUAGGAAAACUGACAAUCUCUCUUAUUUCUUAUUUAAUGCAAAUUCCUCCUAUUAAUUUGAAGUUACUGCUGCUAAUUUUAUGUAUUUGCUAGGCAUGAGUCGGAACUUACAAAUGAAGUUGUUAAUCACAUUUUGAAGAGAUUGGAUGAAGUGUUUCAGCCGCGUGAUAACAAAAACCAGCUGGUUGGAGUGGAAUCAACAGUUGAUGAAAUUGAAUCUCUAUUAGGUGUUGAGUCGAAAGGUGUUUACGCUUUAGGGAUUUGGGGCAUUGGUGGUAUAGGCAAAACAGCAAUCGCUAGAGCUAUUUUCGACAAAAUCUCAGGUGAUUUUGAAUGUUCUUGCUUCCUCGAAAAUGUUAGAGAAGAGUCACAAAGACCAGGAGGAUUAGCUUGCUUACGACAAAAACUUCUUUCAAAUAUAUUGAAGGAUAAAAAUGUGAUGCCUUAUAUUGACCUCAAUUUUAGAAGGCUCAGUCGCAUGAAGGUUGUGAUUGUUUUUGAUGAUGUGACUUGCUUCAGCCAAUUGGAAUCUUUAAUGGGAAGCCUUGAUUGGUUGACGCCAGUGAGUCGAAUCAUAUUAACCACCAGAAAUAAACAAGUGCUUAGAAAUUGGGGGGUGAGUAAAAUAUAUAAGAUGGAGGCAUUAGAAUAUCAUCAUGCUCUUGAGCUUUUUAGUCGAUAUGCCUUCAAACGAAACCAUCCUGAUGUUGGUUACGAGAAACUUUCAAGCAACGUAACGAAAUAUGCUCAAGGUAUUCCUUUAGCUCUUAAAGUUUUGAGUUGCUUUCUACAUAAAAGGGAAAAAGAAGUUUGGGAAAGCGCAAUAGAUAAAUUGCAAAGAAUCCUCCAUCCAAGUAUUCUAGAGGUAUUACAAAUAAGUUAUGAUGAUUUGGACGAUAAAGAGAAAAGUAUUUUCCUUGAUGUUGCUUGUUUCUUUCGAGGUGAGCAUGUAAAUCCUAUAAUGAAAUUCUUUAAUGCAAGCGGCUUCUACCCAUAAAUAGGAAUAAGUGUUCUUGUUGAUAAGUCUCUCAUCGCUAUUGAUUCACACAAAAAGAUAACAAUGCAUGAUUUACUACAAGAAUUGGGUAGGGAAAUUGUUCGACAAGAAUCAAUUAAUCCUGAAAACCGCAGUAGAUUGUGGUAUCAUGAGGAUAUUUAUGAAGUUUUUACAUAUAAUAUGGUAAGCAGUUUGUUGUGGAUUAUUAUUUUGGAAUAAUGUAGUGUUUAAAAACUUGAUGUGAAUAUAUUUACAUACGCUCGAACGGGAUGAGUCUUAGAAUUAAUAGAAGAGUGGCAAUGAUUAGAAAAAACAAUAGUGGUUAGAUGACGUAGCAAUAAAUUAUAAAUGCGAUGACAACUUGCAUAACCGUUUGUAAGCAUAAUUGAUAUGUAAAUUUGUGUAGUACACGUACAGAAUUUUUAUUUUUAUGUUAUUAUGUUUCUUUGUGCAUUUGCAAUUAAGUGUUUGAUAUGAGUAAUUAAAGAGAGCCCCUCUCCAAUCCCACAUAAACUCCAUACAAGAAUAAAUAAAAAUUGAAUUAAUAACUAAGCUACCUCUAAUUGUGAAUUAGGGACAAAAUUGCCCCAAAAAUUUGUCUUGGUGGGGUUGAAGUGCGAUUCAUUAGUGGAAUAUACAUAUCUUUCAUUUGAUUUUAACUUUAAUUUUUUUUAUUCAUUUUUAGGGGACAGAAAAAAUCGAGGGCAUCUGUUUAGAUAUGUCAAAAGUAAAAGAGAUCCGUCUAAAUCCCAAUACUUUCACUAAGAUGCCUAAAUUGAAAUUUCCUAAAGUUCUACGGUUCAUCAUUCAAUGGAGAGAACAAAUGUAAGGUGUCCUUAUUGCCAAACAAAUGUAAGGUGUCUUAUUUGCAAGACUCUGGAUUUGCUGAAGUGAAAUAUCUUCACUGGCAUGGAUAUCCGCUGAAGUCAUUGCCUUCAAACCUUAGUGCAGAGAAGCUUGUGUUACUUGAAGUGCCUGAUAAUGACAUUGAACAACUUUGGGAUUGUGUGAAGGUAUGCAUAUCUUAUUAUAUAUGUGCAAUCUUUCAAUAACAAUAUUAAAUUAUUAUACGUGGUAACGAUUUUGUCUUGGCCUCUUUUUUGACCGAGCAGCAUUAGAGUAAGUUAAACCAGAUAAUCCAUGCUGCCUACAAUAAGAUAAUUGCCAAAGCACCAAAUCCCACGUUGAUGCCACGUCUGAACAAGCUAGUUAUCUUGAAUCUAAGAGGUAGCAAAAGCCUGAAAAGUCUUCCAUCUGGAAUAUUUAACUUGGAAUUUCUUACCAAACUUGAUCUUUCGGGCUGCCCAAAACUGAAGAGGCUUCCAGAGAUCUCAUCAGGUAAUAUAAGCUGGUUAUUUUUAAGGGGGACUGCAAUUGAAGAACUGCCCUCAUCAAUUGAGCGUCUACUUAGGCUUGGGUUCUUGGUCCUUUCAAAUUGUAAAAGGCUUAAGAGUCUCCCAAGCAGCCUAUGGAAGUUGAAAUCUCUUGGAAUUCUUGAUCUCCGGGGUUGCUCCAAGCUUCAGAGAUUGCCCGAAUGUCUUGGCCAAUUAUCCUACCCAAUAAUAUUGAAUCUAGCGAAAACCAAUAUUGAGAGAAUACCAGAAAGCAUUAUCCAACAUUUCAUGUUGCGAUACCUCCUCUUAAGUUAUAGUGAGAGGCGUCAAUCCUUACCAAAGCCUCCAUUCCUUGCACGAGAUUGCCUAGCACCGCAACCAUUCUUAGGUUUGUUCUCUAAGUUAUGAAUCUUAUAGGCAGUGUUUUUUGACCGGAGCAAUAAUUUUAAAUUGGAAGGUAAUUAUACUGCAGGAAUUGUUGAAGAUACCCAGAGAAUUCCGCAUAUGGACCAUAUGCUAGCUUUCCGUUGGUAAGAAAUACAGGAAAAUGUGUGUCUUUAACUCUCUCUGUUUACAAUUUCUACAAUUUUUUUUUUGGGUUUAAAAUUAUGAUUUUUUGGUACAAAGAGGUUUUUCCAUGGGCUGAUACGCCGCGGAGGUCGUCAAGGAUUCCAAAGCCUAGCAACAAGUAUGCUGGGUACAUUUGAAUUAUGCAUGGAUGCUUGGAAGUCGAACGGUCACAUGGCUCAAGACUUAUGCAUACGUUACAUGCAACAUGCAGUACGUUGGAAGAAUGGUCGUUGGAGCAGUCUACAUGGAUCAUGGGGGGGAUUCGGUCAACAUGGGAUCACUUGCUGAUUUAAUGGAGAUUUAUCAUUUGGUUUAAUUCAUUUUCGGUUGUUUAGUUAAGCUAAAAGAAUAAGUCAAGUUGUUAGCUUAGGACCUGCCUACAAUCUCGAGUGAUAGUUAGAUUGUUUGGCUAAGUUGUUUUAAGUAUAAAUAAGCUCCAACGGACUUGAAUAAAGGGCAUUGACUAUUAUCUAAAAAUCAAAUAUCUUGUGGUCUUAUUUCUCACCCUAAGUAGAAAUAUAUUCAAUCACUUACGCUUUGACUGGGACCUCUAUCAGUGGUAUCAGAGCGAGGUUACUAUGUCAACCAACAAGGAACGCAUAGAGCGUGUGGAAGACGAGAUCGGAAGCUUGCAAGAUGGAAUGAAGCGUAUGGAACUAGGGCUUACUGACAGAUUACACCGUCUAGAAGAAACAAUGAGCAAACUGGUAGAUUCACUUUCAACUUCAAAAGGGACGCCAAGUCACAACAAUUCUGAUCACGUUGGAUCCUCACAGCCUAGCCGUGGAGAUAGUGAAGGGAGCCGCCAUCAGCUAGCAUCAAGACUUACCAAACUGGAGUGUCCACGAUAUUCCGGCGACGACCCAACGGAGUGGUAUAAUAGGAUCAUGCAAUUUUUCGAGUACUAGGAAGCAACCAACGAACAGAAAGUCUCCUUAGCUUCUUUUCACCUCGAAGGAGAGGCCAACCAAUGGUGGCAGUGGAUGCGACGAACUUAUCAAGAAGAGGAAAAAACAGUAACGUGGGAAAUUUUUGUGGAGGAGCUUUGGGCACGGUUUGGCCCUACUGAGUGCGAAGAUUAUGAUGAGGCGUUGUCCAGGGUUAAGCAGACAGGGUCACUACGUGAUUAUCAUAGGGAAUUCGAAAGGCUUGGGAACCGGGUACGAGGCUGGACGCAAAAGGCCUUGGUCGGGACCUUUAUGGGAGGAUUGAAGCCGGAAAUCUCAGGGGAAGCUAUAAGCCUCGCACGUAUGAAGGAUGAUCAAUUGACGCGACAAAGGAAGUUGCUACGACCACAGUACCUCAACCGUACACCACCAGCACCAACAAACAAUACCCGUGCCCAACCAACGAGACCCAUCAAACGGCUGACUUGGGACGAAAUGCAGCGGCGUCGAGCAAUGGGACUUUGCUUCAAUUGCAAUGAUCGGUUUACAGCAGGUCAUAAGUGCACCCAACCUCAGUUAUUGCUCCUUGAAAGUGAGACAAUGAAUGAUGAAACUACAUAUGAGGGAAUUCCUGAAGUCUUAUGCACAGAACCUGACACUAAAGAGCCAACCGAUCCAAAAAUCACUUUCUAUGCCCUCACUGGAUGGGCAGCCCCAAGAACCAUGCGGGUCACGACAAAGGUAGGACCAUAUGAGAUUAUGGUUUUGAUCGAUAGCGGUUCAACUCACAAUUUCAUCAGCUCCCGAAUGGCCAACAUGUUACGGCUGCCAAUCAUUCCCACAGCAGGAUUUUUGGUGCGAGUGGCAAACGGAGAAACGCUAUCGUGCAGGGGAAAAUUCAAACGGGUUCAGGUAUUAUUACAAGAAGUUCCAUUCACUUUGACUCUUUAUUCACUUCCAAUUACAUGGUUGGAUAUGGUGCUUGGAGUCCAGUGGCUUGAGAUGCUAGGCUCAGUGGUUUGCAACUGGAAACAACUUACCAUGGAUUUCACUUGGGACAACAAAAGUUGCCGGUUACAAGGCAUCGGGCCUCAAUCAAUCCAAACAGCAUCCUUGACCGAAAUUACCAAAGAGCUGAGACAAGGGCAGUCCGGUUUUGCUAUUUGUUUCCAUGUGAAUGUAGAAGACUCUCUCAACACAACAACUCCAGAUAUGCAAGAUUUGUUAAAGGAAUACAACACUUUAUUUCAAGAGCCAACAAAACUGCCACCUAGACGAGAAAUCGACUAUAACAUCACAUUGAAAGAGGGAACUGAGCCAGUCAACGUACGGCCAUACCGCUACGCCUAUUUCCAGAAAGCCGAAAUUGAAAAACAAGUCCAGGAGAUGCUGAAUUCGGGACUCAUUCGGCCUAGUACCAACCCUUUUUCAUCACCAGUACUACUUGUCAAAAAAAAAGAUGGAAGUUGGCGAUUUUGCACCGACUAUCGGUCUCUCAAUAACACCACUGUUAAAGACCGAUUUCCAAUCCCUACAGUCGAUGACAUGCUGGACGAGUUACAUGGAGCAGCGUACUUCAUUAAAUUGGACCUAAGGGCCGGAUACCAUCAGGUACGUGUAAACCCAGCCGAUAUCCACAAAACGGCUUUUCGUACACACAACGGACAUUACGAAUACUUAGUAAUGCCGUUUGGCUUAUGCAAUGCACCAUUGACAUUCCAGGCCAUCAUGAACUCUAUCUUCCGUCCCUAUCUCAGGAAAUUUAUCCUUGUUUUCUUUGACGAUAUACUGAUAUACAGUCCCUCUUGGCGUAGCCACCUUACUCAUGUUAAGAAGGCAAUGGAGGUUCUUAAACAACAUCAAUUUUUCCUUAAAGCAAGCAAGUGCACUUUUGGCCAACAAGAACUCGAGUACCUUGGCCACAUAAUUACCAGCCAUGGGGUAAAAGUAGAUGAGACAAAAAUUGCGGCCAUGGUCUCCUGGCCUCAACCGAAGAACAUCUCAGAGCUACGGGGAUUCCUUGGCCUUACAGGUUACUAUAGAAAGUUCGUCCAAGGAUAUGGAGUUUUAGCUCGGCCACUCACGAAUCUUCUAAAAAAAUGACAGUUUGAAUGGAAUACAGAAGCGGACAAAACGUUUAUCAAUUUAAAAAAGGCAAUGACAAGUACACCCACAUUAGCCAUGCCUAAUUUUAAUGAAACUUUUGUUAUUGUGACAGAUGCAUCCGGUGACGGCAUCGGCGCAAUACUCCAGCAACAAGGGCAUCCCAUCGCAUUUAUGAGUCGUGCCUUGGGAGUCACAAAAAAAUCUUGGUCCACAUACGCAAAAGAGAUGUUGGCGAUUAUAGAAGCUAUCCGUGUGUGGCGACCUUAUCUGCUAGGACGAAAGUUUAUCAUCCAAACCGAUCAACGCAGCCUUAAGUACCUUUUGGAACAAAAAAUUACGACACCCGAACAGCAACAGUGGCUGGCCAAAUUGAUGGGGUUUGAAUAUGAAAUCCAAUAUAGGCCCGCCCGUGAGAAUGUUGCCGCCGACGCCCUUUCACGACGACCUGACAGUUCUGCUCUUAACAGGUUAUUUGUGGCGCAGGUAUCUAUUUGGAACGAAAUAAAAACGGCUGCCCAAGAUGAUGAUUACAUGCAGCAAAUUACACAUCAGGCUCUGACUCAACCUACUGGCCCUUAUUUCAUGCGUAAUGGGCUGAUUUUCUUCAAGGGUCGAGUUGUAUUUCCUCUUCGACUCCGUCAAUCUUUAAUUUUUGAAGCCCAUGACACUAAGAUGGGAGGUCAUUCAGGAGUUCUACGUACUUACAAACAUUUGAAACAACAAUUCUUUUGGCCUUCAAUGUUUCAAACGGUUCAUGACUAUGUAGGUAAAUGCGAGAUUUGUCAAAAAACGAAAGCAUCAACCCUUAAGCCUGCGGGUCUCCUCCAGCCCUUGCCAAUUCCUUGCCAAGUGUGGGAUGAUAUCACGCUUGACUUCGUUGAAGGGCUGCCAAACUCACACGGUAAAAAUUCUAUUCUAGUGGUGGUGGAUCGGCUCAGCAAGAGUGCACACUUUAUGGCCUUGACUCACCCAUUCACAGCAAAAACAGUGGCUGAGAAGUUUAUUGAUGGAGUGGUAAAAUUACAUGGCAUGCCGAAAUCAAUAAUCAGUGGUCGAGACCCUAUUUUUAUUAGCAAGUUUUGGCAGGAGUUUUUUCAUAUGUCCGGUACACAACUCAAGAUGAGUUCUGCGUACCAUCUGCAAACCGACGGUCAAACGGAAGUUAUUAAUAGAUGUCUUGAACAAUACCUGCGAAGCUUUGUUCACCAAUGGCGGAAGCAAUGGAACUCUUACCUACCUUGGGCAGAAUACUGGUACAACACAACGUACCAUGAGUCCACAGGCAUGACUCCUUUUUCGGCUUUGUAUGGGCGACAUCCACCGGUAGUACCAAUGUAUCAUGUGGAAUCUUCUCCAGUGCACGAGGUAGAUCAAGCUUUGUUGUCUAGGGAUGAGCUGCUGCGACAAUUAAAACAGAAUUUGAAAAUGGCAACCAAUCGCAUGAAACAAUUUGCGGAUACAAAAAGGCGCGAUGUGGAGUUUAAGGAGGGUGACAUGGUAUUCCUAAGACUUCCACCGUAUAGGCAGACUACUGUAUUCCGUCGUGCUCAUCAGAAGUUGGCCAGUAAAUACUUUGGGCCAUAUCCAAUUCUGCGAAGAGUGGGACAAGUGGCUUAUGAGCUUAAACUACCGACGGGAUCUCGAGUGCAUCCGGUAUUUCAUGUGUCCUUACUCAAAAAAUACGUUGGUGAGAUGCCUCAAUUCAGUGCAGAUCUUCCAUAUGUCAAUGACAACGGAGUACUCGUUUUAGAACCGGACAAAAUUAUUGAUGUUCGUUGGCUUAAAAGAGGUGGCAAGUUGGUGGAACAAAGUCUUGUCCGUUGGAAACGCCUUCCACAUGAGGACGCAACAUGGGAAGAUUCAGAGUUCCUGGCAAAGCAAUUCCCUCACCUGACCCUUGAGGACAAGGGUCCUCUUCGUGGAGGCGGUAUUGAUACGCCGCGGAGGUCGUCAAGGAUUCCAAAGCCUAGCAACAAGUAUGCUGGGUACAUUUGAAUUAUGCAUGGAUGCUCGGAAGUCGAACGGUCACAUGGCUCAAGACUUAUGCAUACGUUACAUGCAACAUGCAGUACGUUGGAAGAAUGGUCGUUGGAGCAGUCUACAUGGAUCAUGGGGGGGAUUCGGUCAACAUGGGAUCACUUGCUGAUUUAAUGGAGAUUUAUCAUUUGGUUUAAUUCAUUUUCGGUUGUUUAGAUAAGCUAAAAGAAUAAGUCAAGUUGUUAGCUUAGGACCUGCCUACAAUCUCGAGUGAUAGUUAGAUUGUUUGGCUAAGUUGUUUUAAGUAUAAAUAAGCUCCAACGGACUUGAAUAAAGGGCAUUGACUAUUAUCUAAAAAUCAAAUAUCUUGUGGUCUUAUUUCUCACCCUAAGUAGAAAUAUAUUCAAUCACUUACGCUUUGACUGGGACCCCUAUCAUGGGCAAACUUCAUAUCGUACUGUCUGGGAAUGAAAUUCCAAAGUGGUUUAAGCUUCAAAGUGUGGGAUCUUUUAUAACCUUGGAGAUGCCACCAGAUUUCUUCCGUAAUAACAUAGUGCAGGGCAUUGCAUUUUGUGCUAUUUUAGCAUUUUCAGACAGUCAUGUAGAUUGUGGCAGAUGGUUUUCAUUUUCUUGUGAGCUCAAAGUGAAAACCACUAAAGAUUGUGGUCCCCAUGGCACAGUUAUUUCAGAGCAGAGUUAAUUAUGUAGAAUCAGAUCACUUAAAUUUGGGAUACUACCUGUUCUGUGAAGAGGAUUUUAAUGGUUUUUGGAAAUGCAAUUGCAUUCCUGAGGCAGUCGACUUUAAUGUUUUUCCACCUCUGGAGUGCCAGUGCUGCGGGGUGAAAAAUGUGGGAUCCAUUUACUUCACACCCAAGAUUCUACGAAUUCAAUAGAAAAUCCAAGCAUGUGUUUCAACUGUAACGAAGAAGACUGAGAUUUUCAUGAAUGUAUUUUCACUGUUUUCCUUUUUCUAAUGACAAUUAAUAACUUUCGAAGAAGACUGAGAAAAUGCCAAAAUCAGUUCUUAGAACAAGACAUCCAUGUAAUAACAUUCGAGGAAUCUGGUGCAUUUAACACAAAUUCACACUAGAGAACUUUACGUUAUUAGGCGAAGAGUAUAAUGUAUGAAAAGCACAUGAUGUAUAUUGUAAAAUUAAAAUUAUCGGCUUUCUUUUUCUUACUUUGUGCACACAACACAUCACGAUUUUGUUAUUGAGCCUUACAACUCAAAACAAUCCACGUAGUUAGGAGAGCACGUAACUUAUAAACCAGUAAUAAAACUCACAAGCUAGGCGAUAUCGGAUAUUACAGGACGCACAACAAUUCUUAUUGGCGAAGCUAUGUUGUGGGCCCAUCUCUCUAUCAAUGAAAACUUGCCACUCACCGCAUUGCGCACCAUAUCAACUCUCAUCUAUAUAAUGCAAUCACAUUUGAAAAUUUUCUACUUUCUUAAGUCUAAAUUUUUGUAUAUGGGAAAGUUUCAUCAUGUGGAAACAAAGCCAUAAACAUGUGUGCACUUUUUCAAGUAUAUGUACCAAUUCCAUAUUUGGAAUGGUGCAUUUGAUUCCACAGUUGACGUGGUAUCGUCUAUCGCUGGAAUUUAUAUUUAUAAAACUGACUUGUAAGGAAAGGAUUGAAGAUGCCUGUGAACUUAUAUUUCGAUUUAGAUUAUUGUAUGUUUUCCAUGUAUAAAAUUGGAUCCUAUCAUUCACAUAUCGUUAACAUGAGCAAUUUAGAUUACUAAAUAAUUCUUCUUUAUUAUUAUGCUGAAUUUGACUUUUUAUUGAAUAAUUUGAUAUAUGCCUUGAAUCAAUUUGGAGCUUCUACAACUUGUCAGGGAUCAGUUUCUCCUACAUUCUUUUCGGCGCCAAAAGAUAUUCAAGCGGUUGAAUAAGAUUUGAUAUAUACAAUAUAAAUACAAGAGCUGUUUGUCUUUUUACAAUAGGAAUAAUAUAUAAUGCUCAUCAAAACUUGCUGAUGAGAAAGUAAAUUCCUCAGAAAUUAAAUGUUUCAGCCAACCAAGGAAGCAGCUUUUCGUGGACCAACUCGGGUCUGUCGUCAUGGGGACAAUGUCCUACUCCUUCCAACACAAUUAACUUCACAUAUGAAAGUUGAGAAGGCAGAGAUUAGAAGUAUCUACCAACAGGUCCAUCGAGGGGGGUGAAUGGAUCCUCAUCACCCUAUAAAACUAGUACAGGUAUAGAGAUUGAUGGCAUCAAUUGCACGGGGUUCGGCCCUGGUGGGCCUGUCACAAUCGAAACAAAUGCAUCAAGUGCCCCUUCAUCAUUGGCGGGUUCUCGAAUGAUCUGCAAUUUUUAGGUCAAUUCAUGAAUUCUGAGUAGCCAUUUUUGUAAGAGGUUAAAAUGGCACAUAAGUGGAGAAUAUUAAUACCUCUACCAGUGUUUCAUCCACAGAUUUCUUAUUUGCAUAGAUGGACAGUAAAAUGUUCCUCAGUGUUUCCCUACAGCACCAAUAUAUACACAUCAUAGAAUUUUUUUAAUUUUUGACUGUACUGUUUUAGGAUAACGAAAAAUGGACUGAAUAGAGAGAAGAGAAAAUACCUUCGUUUCACAUCUUCAAAGAUUGCAUCUGCAAUUGGCCUUUGCUUAAACAAGAAAUCAAUGAACCAAAGCACUUCCNNNNNNNNNNNNNNNNNNNNNNNNNNNNNNNNNNNNNNNNNNNNNNNNNNNNNNNNNNNNNNNNNNNNNNNNNNNNNNNNNNNNNNNNNNNNNNNNNNNNNNNNNNNNNNNNNNNNNNNNNNNNNNNNNNNNNNNNNNNNNNNNNNNNNNNNNNNNNNNNNNNNNNNNNNNNNNNNNNNNNNNNNNNNNNNNNNNNNNNNNNNNNNNNNNNNNNNNNNNNNNNNNNNNNNNNNNNNNNNNNNNNNNNNNNNNNNNNNNNNNNNNNNNNNNNNNNNNNNNNNNNNNNNNNNNNNNNNNNNNNNNNNNNNNNNNNNNNNNNNNNNNNNNNNNNNNNNNNNNNNNNNNNNNNNNNNNNNNNNNNNNNNNNNNNNNNNNNNNNNNNNNNNNNNNNNNNNNNNNNNNNNNNNNNNNNNNNNNNNNNNNNNNNNNNNNNNNNNNNNNNNNNNNNNNNNNNNNNNNNNNNNNNNNNNNNNNNNNNNNNNNNNNNNNNNNNNNNNNNNNNNNNNNNNNNNNNNNNNNNNNNNNNNNNNNNNNNNNNNNNNNNNNNNNNNNNNNNNNNNNNNNNNNNNNGUUGAAUUAAUAUACCUGAGGCAGCAAAAACACAAGGUAGGCUUCGAACAGAAUUACGUACAAGCACUAUUGGCUUCUGAGCAGCUUCAUCCAAGAAAUCCAAUAGUAGCUGUAUCGGUGAGUCUCACUCAAGUUAGCAAGGAAAAUAACUACAAAUUAAAUAUGUGUUCAUUGUCCACAAUUUACAAAUUAAAUAUGUGUUCAUUGUCCACAAUUCAAUCUGUCAAAUGUAUGUUGAAACUUAUGGAAGUCGUUUUUUUUGUUGUCAAUAAUUUUGAAUUUUCAGGCACAUUUGGCACCACAAAGCCAUACCCAAUUUAACUUCCAAAAAUACAUCAAUAGGUCACUGGAAGAGGAUUUCAAGGUGGUUGUGGGAAUCAGGUCAGUACAUUUAGUUGUAAACCUUCUUAUUUAUUUAGUAGUGAUGCACAUCUUAAUUGCAAAUUCCACGUUAUAAACGAACUUAACCCUUUUUAUUGCUUUAAUUUCAAUUUCAGUCCAUUAAUCUGGUUCUUCGCAGUGGUGUUUCUGCUUUUCAACACUCAUGGUGAGUAAAUUAUAUUUUCAAAUAAUACUCAUUUAUGUUCCAUGUGUUUUAUUUUUAUAUCCAAUACUAACCGAACAAACUGACUAAUAUUUCAUCUUACAAUUCUUUCUGUACAGGCUGGUAUGCUUAUCUAUGGCUACCCUUUAUCCCAUUAAUUGUAAGCACAUAUAAUUAAGUUAAUUAUCUUUCCAAACUUUUAUACAUCCUUAAUCAGCCUACCCUUUUUAUUAGUUAACAGCGGGAUUAUUAAUCAACGGCUGAUGAUAAAUUUGCAGGUGAUCUUGCUGGUGGGAACCAAGCUGCAAGUGAUCAUAACCAAAAUGGGAAUUAGAAUUCAAGAAAGAGGAGAAGUUCUAAAGGGAGUUCCAGUAGUUCAGCUUGGUGAUGACCUGUUUUGGUUCAGUCAGCCUCGCCUCAUUCUUUAUCUCAUCAACUUUGUUCUCUUUCAGGUACCUAUUUAACUUGUAAAUUGAUGAUAUAAAUACAGGAGUUGUGAAAUAACUUUAAAGGAAAAUAAUUGCUUAUCCUUAACAUUUGUGGAUGCCUACAAUUAUAUGUUCACAGAAGUAAAUAGAAUAAAAAAAAAUAGUACAUUAUCAAUAAGAAAAGUUUACUACAAGAUGAAAAUUAUUUUUUGUCAUUUGUGCCUUGUGUACUAAAUUUUGUGUUAUUUUAUUACAUAUAAUAUUAUUCUACGGAAUGCGGGAAGAAAAAAUGUGGGGUCGAUUUAUUGUAAGCCCCAAAUUCAACCGAAGAUCCAAGCGCAAGUUUCAAACUAAACCAACCCAAAGUUUGGGCAACAGUCCAACGCAACCCAACUAAAAUCAUUUUAAUUUGAUUUUAGUUUGGGUUGACUUAGGCUUUGAUAAAUUCACAUGUUGUAUACCAUAAUUAAAAAAAGUAUCAUUUGUCAUACAUUUUAUACAUUAAACACAUAAACGUCCUCUCUGGAAUCUUUGUGGGCAACGCAUACGUGGUAUCUUCACUAAUAAGUGUUGAAUCUUUAGCUUCAAAGGAAAGAAACUAAAAAGGUUUGUAAAUUUACCCCACUUCUAGAAAAUAAUUAUAAUGAAUUCACAAUAGUUUUUAAAAAUUCAAAUUAAUAAAAAUUUUGUAUAGUUAAUCAAUUAAAUCCUUCUAUUAUUUUUUUUAUUAGAUUUCUUUGAGUGUAUUUGAUCAUAAACUUGAUAUAAAUUUUACUUUACUAUUUUAGUAUUAUGAUAUAAAAUGGCCAAAUUGUACAAUAAACACGGGUUAUUGUAUCCAAUAAUUUAGGUAUUUAAUUAUGUGAACUAAUAUUUUUAAAUGAAAUUUAACUAUUAUUUUCACUAUCUUACCUGUAAAUGAUGUAAAUUUGACAAGCUAAUAAUUUAUAUGAGUAUUGUGCCAUAAAGGCAUUAUGUUUGUUUAAUUAAUGUUUUACAAUCAUACUAAUAAAAUAGUAUUAAAAAUAAUGAAUUUGGUAUAAAAUUAGAAAAUAUUGAAGUUAAAGAAUUAGUUUUACCUUAUAAGGAUAAAAUAAUCAAUUUAGACUUAUGUCAAAUCAAUCUUUAUGAUCAAAUAUAAUAAAAAAAUUUAAGUCACAAAAAGUAAAUUAAAAUAGAUUUGUUAAUUUGUUCUCCAAAGUUCAAAAUGAGUAAAAGGGAUUAGGCUUCGUAGUUUAGGAAAUAAAUUUACUGAAUAGAAAUAUUUUUAGUAUAUAUUAUUUAUUUUUCAUUCAAACAUUUUCUCAUUUCAGCAAAGGUCACAAAAAUUUACUUAUUUAAUUUAAAUGUAAAUGUCUAAAAAUUAGAUAUAAAUUAUUAAAAAAAAUUAAUUUUUUAAAAAAAGUUAGACUUCCUAUGUUUAACAAUCAACCCUAAGGAUAAUGAAAAAGAGCUAUUAAAACAAAAAAAAAAAAUUUUGAAACUAAAUACAAUUAAUUGAGAGAUGAGGACGGAUAAGAUAAAUUCAGAGAUAAAAAUUAAAAUAUCACCCUACUUAUUGCUGGCAGUUAUGAGCAUUAAAGCACAGAAGCACGUGUGUUGAAAAGUAUGGUGUUCGUGUGGAAUUUUCAGCUAAAAGUCUACAAGGCAGUUGAAUUAAUCAAUCAUCGUGGAGUGCACGGUGGUUGGACAAUGAGAUGAAAUUGAAAAACUAUCACGGAACUUGAAGGAAGGUUCAUGGCAUCGAUUUAUUCUACAGAGUCACGCACAUUUGGUUCAAUAAUUGUUUUCAUCCGAAUCAAAAUCUCUCUCUCAUCAAUUCAACUGUUUCUGUUGAUUAUGGCUUCUUCUUCUCGAAACAACAAGAAGUAUGAUGUUUUUGUUAGUUUCAGAGGAGAGGACACCCGCGACAACUUUACUAGCCAUCUCUAUUCUGCUCUGAGCCGACAAAAUAUCCAAACUUUCAUUGAUGACCAACUUAACAGAGGAGAUGAAAUUUCGGAGUCACUUGUGAAUGCAAUUGAAGCAUCAGCCAUUUUAGUUAUUGUCUUCUCAGAAGGGUAUGCAUCUUCCAAAUGGUGUCUCGAUGAACUUGUCAAGAUCCUCAAGUGCAAGAAAGAGUAUGCACAGAUUGUGAUUCCGGUUUUCUAUCGGGUUGAUCCAUCAGACGCGAGAAACCAAACAGGGCCUUUUGGGAUUUCAUUUUCGAAGCUUGAAGAAAGAUUUAAGGAGAAUUCAGAGAAGCUGCAGACUUGGAGGAAAGCUUUGAAGGAAGCAGCCAGUUUGUCUGGCUUUCAUUCUCUUAACAUCAGGUGAAAUUGAAAAGUCACCUUUAAUUUCUCAUACUAAUAUUUAACAAUAAAUAAAAUUCACGCAACACUCUUAGUUAAAUUUCCAGAUGCUAAACUACAAUUUUAAAUAUUUUUAAGCAUCAAAUUCUAGACUUCUUGACUUCCCCACUUUUGUGCUCUAUAAUUAUAAAAUAAUUUUGACAGAAUUAAUAAUAGAAGCGCGAGAAUUUUACAAUUUUUACAUAGCAAAAUUAGUGGUAAAAAAAAAAUCACACAUAUUCCUGUAACUUAAGAGUUAUCAAUUUAUUGUGAGAUUGUAGACUUAUAGUGAUAUAUAUUAAUUUCAAUAGGAAAACUAACAAUCUACCUUAUUUCAUAUUUAAUACAAAUUCCUAGCUCCUAUUAAUUAAUUUGAAGUUACCUCGGCUAAUUUUAUGUAUUUGCUAGGCGUGAGUCAGAACUUAUAAAUGAAGUUGUUAAUCACAUUUUGAAGAGAUUGGAUGAUGUGUUUCGGCCGGGUGAUAACAACAACCAGCUGGUUGGACUAGAAUCAACAGUUGAGAAAAUUGAAUCUCUAUUAGGUGUUGAGUCGAAAGAUGUUUGGGCUUUAGGGAUUUGGGGCAUUGGUGGUAUAGGCAAAACAACAAUCGCUAGAGCUACUUUCGACAAAAUCUCUAGAUAUUUUGAAGGUUCUUGCUUCCUUGAAAAUGUCAGAGGAGAAGUACAAAGACCGGGAGGAUUAGCUUGCCUGCGACAAAAACUUCUUUCAAAUUUAUUGAAGGAUAAAAAUGUGAUUCUUGAUAUUGGCCUCAAUUUUCGAAGGCUCAGCCGCAUGAAGGUUCUGAUUGUUUUUGAUGAUGUGACUUGCUUCAGCCAAUUGGAAUCUUUAAUUGGAAGUCUUGAUUGGUUGACGCCUGUGAGUCGAAUCAUAAUAACCACCAGAAAUAAACAAGUGCUUAGAAAUUUGGGGGUGGGGAAAGUAUAUGAGAUGGGGCCAUUAGAGUAUCAUCACGCUCUUGAGCUUUUUAGUCGACAUGCCUUCAAACGAAACCAUCCUGAUGUUGGUUACGAGAAACUUUCAAGCAACGUAAUGAAAUAUGCUCAAGGUGUUCCUUUAGCUAUUAAAGUUUUGGGUUGCUUUCUAUAUAUAAGGGAAAAAGAAGUCUGGGAAAGUGCAAUAAAUAAAUUGCAAAGUAUCCUCCACCCAAGUAUCCUAGAGGUAUUAAAAAUAAGUUACGAUGGUUUGGACGAUAAGGAGAAAAAUAUUUUCCUUGAUGUUGCUUGUUUCUUUCAAGGCGAGGGUGUAAAUCUGGUAAUGAAAUUCUUUAAUGCAAGCGGUUUCUAUCCAGAAAUAGGAAUAAGUGUUCUCAUCGAUAAAUCUCUCAUUGUUAUUGAUUCAUACAGCAAGAUAACAAUGCAUGAUUUACUACAAAAAUUGGGUCGGGAAGUUGUUCGACAAGAAUCAAUUAAUCCUGAAAACCGCAGUAGGCUGUGGCAUCAUGAGGAUACCUAUGAAGUUCUUACACAUAAUACGGUAAUCAUUUUGUUGUGGAUCAUUAUUUUGGAAUAUUAUAGCAUUUACAAACUUGAUAUAUAUAUAUAUAUAUCGAACCGAUGAGCCUUGGAAUUAAUAGCAGUGUGACAAUGAUUAGGAAAAAAAAAACAAUAAUGGUUAAAUGAUGUAACGUGUGAUCGUUUGUAAGCCUAAUUUAAAUAUCAACUUGUAUACUAUACAUACAUAAUUUUUAUGUUAAAUAUUAUGUGUGAUAUUAUGUUUCUUUGUGCAUUUGCAAUUAAGAGUUUAGCUGCCGAGCAAUAACCUUAAACAUGGAUUAUUGAAAUUUGAUUCCUGUAAUGGCAGAGAGCCCCACUCCUAUCCCACCUCAACCCUACUCAAGAAUAAAUAAACGUUGAAUUAAAAACUAAGCUACCUCUAAUCGUGAAUUAAUGACAAACUUGCCCCAAAAAUUUGUCUUCGUUGGGUUGAGGUGCGAUUCAUUGGUGGAAUAUACAUAUCAUUUUUCAUUUAAUUUUAACUUUAUUCUUUUUUUUUUAAAUUAAAUUUUAGGGGACAGAAAAAAUUGAGGGCAUUUGUUUGGAUAUGUCAAAAGUAAAAGAUAUCCAUCUAAAUCCCAGUACUUUCACAAAGAUGCGUAAGUUGAGAUUUUUAAAAUUCUAUAGCUCAUCAUUCAAUGGAGAGAACAAAUGUAAGUUGUCUUAUUUGCAAGACCCCGGAUUUGCUGAAGUGAAGUAUUUUUACUGGCAUGGAUACCCGUUGAAGUCAUUGCCUUCAAACCUUAAUGCAGAGAAGCUUUUGUUUCUUGAACUGCCUGAUAGCGACAUUGAACAACUUUGCGAUGGUGUGAAGGUAUGUAUAUCUUGAUAUAUAUGUGCAAUCUUUCAAUAAUAACGUUAAAUUAUCAUACAUGGUAAUGAUUUUGUGUUGGCUUCUUUUUGAUCGAGCAGCGUCAUGGUAAGUUAAACCAGAUAAUCCAUGCUGCCUGCAAGAAGCUAAUUGCCAAAAUUCCAAGCCCCACGUUGAUUCCACAUCCGAACAAGCUAGUUGCCUUGAAUCUAAGAGGUAGCAAAAGCCUGAAAAGUCUUCCAGCUAGAAUAUUUAAUUUGGAAUUUCUUAUCGAACUUGAUCUUUCGGGUUGUUCAAAACUGAAGAGGCUUCCAGACAUCUCAUCUGGUAACAUAAGCCGGCUAUAUUUAAGUGGAACUGCAAUUGAAGAACUGCCCUCAUCAUUUCAGCUUCUACUUAGGCUUUCGUGGCUGGACCUUUCAGAUUGUAAAAUGCUUAAGAGUCUCCCCAGCAGCCUAUGUAAGUUGAAAUCUCUUGGAGUUCUUGAUCUCCAUGGUUGCUCAAAUCUUCAGAGAUUGCCUGAACGUCUUGGCCAGUUAUCGUCGCCAAUAGUAUUGAAUCUAGUGAAAACCAAUAUUGAGAAGAUACCAGAAAGCAUUAUCCAACUUUUUGUGUUGGGAUGCCUCCUUUUAAAUUAUUGUGAGGUGCAUCACGAAUCCUUACCAAAGCCUCCAUUCCUUGUACGAUGGUUAGGUGCCGAUCAUUGCCCGAUACUACAAUCAUUAAUAGGUUUAUUCUCUAAGUUCUGAAUCUUAUAAGCAGUGAUUUUUGACCAAAGCAAUAAUUUUUAAUUGGAAGGUAAUUCUACUGCAGGAAUUAUUGAAGAUUCUCAGAGAAGUGAGCAUAUGGGCCAUGUGGUAGCUGCCCGUUGGAAAGAAGUACGGGAAAAGGUGUGUCUUAACUCUCUCUCCUUACUUUAUACAACAUUUGUUUUGUUUAAAAUUAUGAUUUUUUGGUGCAGAGAGGUAUUCCCAUGGAAAAAAGUCAUUUUGUACUAGUUGGGAAUGAAAUUCCAAGGUGGUUUAAUUUUCAAAGUGUGGGAUCUUUUAUAACCUUGGAGAUGCCCCCAGAUUUCUUCAAUAACAACAGAGUACUGGGCUUUGCAUUUAGUGCAAUUUUAGCAUUUUCAGACCGUCAUGUAGAUUGUGGCAGAUGGUUUUCAUUUUCUUGUGAGCUCAAAGUGAAAACCAACAAAGAUUGUGAUCUGCAUGACAAACGGUUAUUUCAGAGCAGAGUUAAUUAUAUAGAAUCAGAUCACUUACAUUUUGGGUACUAUCUGUUCUGUGAAGAGGAUUUUAAUGGUUUUUGGAAAAGCAAUUCCAUUCCUGAGGCCGUCCACUUUAAUGUUUUUCCGCCUUUGAAGUGUGAGUGCUGCGGGGUGAAAAAAUAUGGGAUCCAUUUAGUUUGCCUCCCAGAUUCUACGAAUUCAAUGGACGAUCCAAGCACAUGUUUCAACGAUAACGAAGAAGACUAAGAUUUUCAUGAAUAUAUUUUUUUUUUGCUUUCCUUUUUCUAAUCACUAUUAAUAAUAGGAAAAAAUGUCAAAAUCAGUUCUUGGAACAAAACAUUCAUGUAAUAACUUUCGAGGGAUCUGGUGCAUGUGACACAGAUUCACACUAGAGCAUUGAACUUUACCUUAUUAGAUGAAGAGUAUGUUGUAUGAAAAGCACAUGAUGUAUUAUAAAAUUAAAAUUAUUGGCCUAUUUCCUGCUUUGCACACGCAACCCAUGACGAUUUUGUUAUUGAGCUUUGUAACCCAAAACACAUCUACUUAGUUAGGAGAGUACAUGACUUAUAAACAAGUAAAAAAAACUCACUUGCUAGUGAUGUGAGAUAUUUCAUGACGUGCAGCAAGUUCUUAUUGGCAGAGCUAUGUUGUGGGCCCAUAUCUCUAUCAAUGAAAACAUGUCACUCACCCCGUUGGCGCACUAUAUCAACUCUCAUGUAUAUAACACAAUCACAUUUGACAAUUUUCUAUUUCUUAAAUCUAAAUUGUUGUAUAUGGGAAGUUUCAUCAUUGGGAAGCAAAAGCCAUAAAGAGGGAACAGUCAAAACACCAUCAAAUCUAAUAUAUUUUAAAAAAUAUAUUUGUAUACUGAUUAAAAAAAGAAGAAAGAACAGGAUAGGUGUCAUUUUGACUCAACUCAUUUGUGUUGUGAAUCCAUUUGCUUAAACAUGUAUGCACUUUUUCAAGUAUCUAUACCAAUUCCAUAAUCGGAAUGGUGCAUUUGAUUCCAUAGUUGACAUGGUAUCGUCAUAUGGCUAGAAUUUAAUUACCGUUAAAAAACUGACCUGUAAGGAAAGGAUUAAAGAUGCCCGUGAACUUAUAUUUCUAUUUAGAUUAUUUUAUUUUUUCCAUGUGUAAAGUUGAAUCCUAUUAACAUGAGCGAUAUAAAUUACUAAAUCGUUGUUCUCUAUUCUUUAGAUUGCUGUAUCUUUUUCAUGUAAAAAAUCGAAGCCUUUCAUUAACAUAUCAUUAACAUGAGCAAUAUAGAUGACUAAAUCAUUGUUCUUUACUAUUGUGCUGAAUUUGACUUUUUGAAGCGAGUUAGACUUUUCAUUGAAUUAUUUGGUACAUUUCUUGAAUCAAUUUGGAGCUUCUGCAACACGUCAGGGAUUAGUAUCUCCUACAUUCCUUUCAGUGCCAAAAGAUAUUCAAGCAGUUGAAUAAGAAUUGAUAUAUACAAUGUAAAUACUAGAAUUGUUUGUCAUUUUACAAAUGAUCAACAAUUGCCUUGUUGUUCAUGCUGCCACCAGCACAAUUCAACAAAACAAGCCCUCGAACAAGUGUUUGACUGGAUUCUUAUGGUAGAAAAUAUAGCAGGUUUAUCGCAAACCAUAGUUACCGAAAAGGCUAAUUAAGUGCGGGUGUUUUUUUGCAAGCAAGAUGACUAAUAUCUGAUGCCCAAGAGGAAGUUAAAUUAAUAUACCUGAGGCAGCAAUAACACAAGUAGAGAUGGUCAAUGCAAGGCCCAUGCGUGCUUGUGCCCGUGCAGUGCCCAUUAUAUGUUUCGUGCCGUGCCAUAAUUUUUUUUGCUUAGGACAGGGCCGGCACACGUGUCAUGUCUAUUAGUGCCGUGCCGACACAUGCCUUGCCAUGGGCUGUACCGUGCCGUGCCAUGCCUAAGAAAAAAAGCCCAAUAAACUUUUUUCUUUUUUUUAAAUUUUUUUAAGAGCACAUGCUAAACUGUUGGUGUACUUUUUUCAAGUAUAUGUAUUCUUUCUUGGGUCUAUGUCUUUAUUCAAAUUUAAUAGAAUCGAAAAAAUUCAAAAUUCAAGUUCAUAUUUAAUAAUAAUAAACUAAUAAUAGUAAGAAAAUAUAAUAUUAAUUAUUAAGUUUGACCUUAUAGUAUUAGAAUUUUCUUAAUACUUAACAACAACAAUAAUAAUAAAUUUUUUUUAAAGGUUAACUUAAUUGUUAACUUGUGCUUACAUAGAGUUAUAAAUCAUAGUUCAUAAUAAUAUUAAUGCAUAUUUAUAAAAUCAUGAUAUUUAUAAUUUUAUUCAUUAAAAUCAUGAUAUCAAUUAUUUAUUUAAUAAAUUAUAAAUAUAAAUCAAUUAUAGUAUUUUUUAAACUAAGAAUUUAAUGAAUUUAAAAAUUCAAUUUCAAGUUAUUUGUAAAAUCAUAAAAUUUUAAGUUUACCUUCAUUAAAAAAUAAAACGUGCUUAUUGCAGCCUUUUUUAUCGUGUCGUGCUUAGCUCAUCUCUAAUCGUACCGUGUUUUUAAGGCAUGUGUGCGUAAAAUUCUAAGUUCGGCCUGGCAGAUGUGUGUGCCGUGCCCCGCGCCCUACCGAAAUGUGCUCGUGUAUUGCCGUGCCACGUGCCGUCCGACCCAUUGGCCAUCUCUAAACACAAGUUAGGCUUCGAACCGAAUUACGUAUAAGCACAGCUGGCUUCUAAGCAACUUCAUCCAAGAAAUCCAACAUUAGCUGUAUCGAUGAGUCUCACUCAAGUUAGCAAGGAAAAUAACCUAAGGUCGAGCGAUUGAUGAUAUAAGUAUAGGAGCUGUCAUAUUUGACCCCCUUAUUAUAUUUUAUUAGCCCCAUUAAUCACUUUUAUAUAAAUAGUUUUUACUCUUUAUCUUUAUAUGAAAUAACUUGAAAGGAAAAUAAGUAAUGAUCCUUAGCGUUUGUGGAUGCCAACUAUAUGUACACAACAGUAAAUAGUAUAAAAACUAGUACAUUAUAAAAAAAAUCACUACAAAAUAAAAAUUAUUUUUGUCAUUUGUGCCUGUGUUAUUUUUAUUACAUGUAAUAUUAUUGCACGGAUGCGGGAAGAAAAAAUUUGGGGUCAAUUUGUUGUAAGCCCCAAAUGCAACCGAAGAUCCAAGCGCAAGUUUCAAACCAAACCAACGCAAAGUUUGCGCGGCAAUCCAACUCAACCCAACUAAAAUCAUUUUAAUUUGAUUAUAGUUUGGGUUGACUUAAGCUUUGAUAAAUUCGCAUGUUAUAUAACACAAUUAAAAUAAAAUAUCAUUUGUCAUACAUUUUAUUCAUUAAAAACAUAGUAAAAAAAAUUUCAAAAAUUCAGUGGCGCCCAACGUCCUUUCUGGUAUCUUUGUGGGCAACACGUACGUGGUGUCUUCACUAAGUGUUGAAUCUUUAGCUUCAAAGGAAAGAAACAAAAAAAAAAGGUAGGGAUAUUUCCACCCCAUUAUUUUUGUAAAUUCACACCACUUUUAUAAAAUAAUUAUAAUGAAUUCACAAUAUUUUUAAAAAAUACAAAUUAAUCAAAAUUGUGUAUAGUUAAUCAAUUAAAUCAUUCUAUUAUCUUACUUCUUAGAUUUCUUUGACUCUAUUUGAUCAUGAACUCUGAUAUAAAUUUUAUUUUUCUAUUUUAUUAUUAUGAUAUAAAACAAAAAAAUUGCCUAACUAACAUGAGUUAUUGUAUCUAAUAAUUUAUGUAUUUAAUUAUGUGAACUAAUAUUUUAAAUGAAAUCUAAUUAUUAUUUUCACUACCUUACAAAUAAAUGAUAUAAAUUUGACAAGCUAAUAAUUUACAUGAGUAUUGUGCCAUAAAGACAUUAUGUUUGUUUAAUUAAUGUUUUAUAAUCAUACUAAUAAAGUAGUAUUAGAAAUAAUGAAUUUGGUAUAAAAUUAGAAAAUAUUGAAGUUAAAGAAUUAGUUUUACCUUAUAAGGAUAAAAUAAUCAAUUUAGACUUAUGUCAAAGCAAUCUUUAUGAUCAAAUAUAAUAAAAAAUAUUUAAGUCACAAAAAGUAAAUUAAGAUAGAUUUGUUAAUUUGUUCUCCAAAGUUCUUUUUUAUUUAAUUUUUUUAAAAAAUAAUGUGUACUUUUUGUAAUUAUUUUUUAAAAAUGGAGUGGAUUUGGAGAUAUCAUUAGCCAACAAAAAAUUUAGUAAGGAUUAAUUUGAUAAUUGCCCAUAAAAAGAAGGCAUAUGUGCAUGUGGUGGUAGGGAAGCGUUUUUCCAUUCUACAAUUACAUGUAAGAAUCUAUUAUAAAAAAUUUAUCAGUUCUUCACUCCACUAAAAUUUAUCAGAGAAUGAGGUGAAAAAUAUGGGCCAAAUAAAACUAUUAACAUAUAAAAAAAUUUAAAUUAUUAAAAAUAAUAACUAAAAAAUACAUAUUUGUUAAGAAUUUUGGAAUUAUUUUUCUUUGAGUAAUGAUACUAUAAUUCAAAAGACGCUUUUUGAAUUACAUCAGAUUUUUUAUUCAAAACGAACAAAGGGAUUAUAUUUUACCAUUUAGGAAAUAACUAUAUUUAGUAGAGAUAAUUUUGGGAUAUAUCAUUUACUUUCUAUUGAGACAUUUUCAUAUAUUAGAUAAAAGUUACAAAAGUUUACAUUAAAAAAAAAGAAAAAUUAGACUUCACACGUUUAACAAAUAACCCGAAGGAGUAUGAAUAAGAAUUAUUAAAAUAAAAAUGAUAAAUAAGGAUAAUUUUAAAAUUAAAUGCAAUUAAUGGAGAGAUGAUGACUGAUAAGAAAACUUGGGGGGCAAAAAUUAAAAUAUCAACCUACUACUCAUGGUUGAUAGUCAUGACCCACUCAAUUUGAGAAUUAAAAGCACAAAAGCCAUGUGUUGAAAACUUUGGUGUUCAUGGGGAAAUUUCAGCAAAAAGUCUAAAAAGCAGUGAAAUUAUCUUGCAGUGCACGGUGCCGGGACAAUGAGAUGAAGUUGAAAAAUUAUCACGAAAAAUUCCAAGGAAGAGUGCCAAUAGUCUUACUCAUAACGCCGUGUCUAACUCAAAACACAGAGUAGGAGUUCUAUGAAAGUAACGGAAGAGUGCCAAUAGUCUUAACUCAUAAUUUCAACUGAAAAAAUCUGCCAAGUCGAAAAAUUAGGUGGGCAUUCCAAUAACCCUUGAAUAUUCCACGAAUCAUUGUCCAGGAAGCUUGGAAAAUGAGCUAUCAGGUCAAUAUAUGCUGCAGAGUCACGCUCAUUUUGGCUUUGUAAUUGUUUUCAUCUUAUCACAAUCUCUCUCUAAUCAAUUCAACUGCUUCUGUUGAUUAUGGCUUCUUUUUCUGGAAACAACAAGAAGUAUGAUGUUUUUGUUAGUUGCAGCGGAGAAGACACCUGCGACAGCUUUACUAGCCAUCUCUAUUCAGCCCUGUCUCGACAAAAUAUCCAAACUUUCAUUGAUGACCAACUUAACAGAGGAAAUGAAAUUUCAGAGUCACUUGCGAUUAAAGCAUCAGCCAUUUCGGUUAUCAUUUUCUCUGAAGACUACGCUUCUUCCAGAUGGUGUCUUGAUGAACUUGUGGAGAUCCUCGAGUGCAAGAAAUGUUGUGCGCGGAAUGCAGAAUCAAGCGAACCAAAUAAUUAUAGAAAAAUAAAUGACACAAGAAUUACGUGGUUCGGUAAUUAAACCUACAUUCACGGAGGCAAGAAAGAAUAAUUGUUUAUUUAACAAUUAAUAGAGUACAAAUAUUUGAGUAACGAAUCUCACUUCCUAGAAACCCAAAUAUACCCAGUACUCUCACACUCUGCAGGAAAGAUAAAUUCCUCAGACACACUUCUCUCAAAAGCUUAGAAACUUAUAAGCUUAACAAUUUUGGGAUGAAAUGGAAUGAAGAAAUGCUCUCUAUUUAUAGGCUUAAAGCUAGUACUAUUCCACCUAACCCAUGCAAAUAUGUCAAUAGUGUCCAUUUGGCAAACUUGACAAAUUUGCCAACUUUUCAUUUUUUCUUCAAAUGUUUGGUAGCUCUUUGAAAAAUUGCAUGCUUUCUUGAAUUUCAUGCCACGUGCAUGAUUUUUCAACAAUUCUCCACUCGGCGAAAAUUUGUCCAAAUUUGAGCCGACUACCAACGAACCAUCAUCCCCAAAGUGGCUGCAUCUCUGUGACUGUCUACGUACCCAAAAUUUGGGAUCAAGCCAACCGUAGUUCAAAAUUCCCGAAGGACAUAUCUUAACACAAGCGAAGGAUUUGAAUUAGUUUCAAGCAAUGUUGAAACUUAACUCCAGAAACUACCCUCGUCAACAUAUCUGAUGGAUUAUCUUUGGUAUCGAUCUUUCUCAACAAUACAACACCGCUCUCGAUAAUCUCUCUCACAUAAUGAUAUUUCACAUCUAUGUGCUUCGUUCGAGCGUGAUAUGUUUGAUUCUUCGCAAGGAAUAUCGCACUUUGAUUAUCAUAGAAGACCGCAAUGUUCUCUUGGAUUACUCCCAAAUCACCUAACAAGCCUUUCAACCAGAUAACUUCUUUUACAGCUGCAGUUGCUGCCAUAUACUCUGCUUCCGUAGUGGACAGAGCAAUUGUCGAUGGCAAAAUCGACCUCCAACUAACUGGAUCUCCACCCAAUGUGAAUACGUAGCCUGUUGUUGAUCUUCACUUGUCAAGGUCUCCAGUGAAAUCAAAAUCACAAUACCCAACACAUUGUUGACCACAAUCCUUCUUGAACAAUAACCCAACAUCAACUGUCCCAUACAGAUAUCGGAGAAUCCACUUUACCUCAAGCCAUUGAUUUUUACCUGGAUUGUGCAUGUAUCUACUUACCAUGCUCACUGCUUGAGAUAUAUCGGGCCUUGUGCAUACCAUAGCAUACAUAAGACUACCCACGGCACUAGCAUAUGGAACACAAGCCAUGUAAUCGCGCUCUUCUUGAGAUCUAGGACAUGAAGAAGAGCUUAAUUUGAAAUGAGGAGCUAGAGGUGUACAUACCGGUUUAGUUUUGUCAUCCAUACUGAAUCUUUCUAGCACUUUCUUCAAAUAAUACUUUUGAGUCAACCAUACGCUCCCAUUCUUCUUGUCUCUACGAAUCUCCAUCCCAAGUAUUCUCUGUGCAUCACCCAAGUCUUUCAUCUCGAACUCAGAAGCCAGCUGCUUCUGUAAUCUUUCGAUCUCAUCUCUAUUCUUCGAAGCUAUAAGCAUAUCAUCGACAUAGAGUAACAAAUAGAUGAAACCUCCAUCUGGUAGUCUUCUAAAGUAAACACAAUGAUCGUGUUCACUUCUGGUGAAUUUCUACCCUUGUAUAAAUUGAUCAAAUCUUUUGUACCACUGCCUUGGCGAUUGCUUCAGUCCGUACAAAGAUUUAAUCAACCUACACACAUGAUUCUCCUUUCAGCAACUCUGAAACCACAAGGUUGAAUCAUAUAAAUUUCCUCCUCCAAAUCUCCAUGUAAGAACGUCGUCUUAACAUCCAACUGAGCCAACUCUAACUCAUUUUCUGCAACUAAAGCAAGUAGGAUACGAAUGGAAGUAUGUUUUACAACUGGAGAGAAAACUUAAUUGUAGUCAAUACCUUUCUUUUGAGCAAAACCUUUUGCCACGAGCCUUGCCUUGUAUCGAGGAGUUGAUUGAGUCAGAGAUGCUUGCUUUUUGGUGUAGACCCAUUUAUUGCCAAUAGCCCUUUUCUCCUUUGGUAAUUUUACAAGUUCCCAAGUCUGGUUUUGAUGGAGAGAUUUCAUCUCUUCCUCCAUGGCUAACUUCCACUGAUCACUUUCGCUACUAUGUAAUGCUUCACCGAAAGUGUUGGGGAUGUCAUCAUCAAUAACUGGAAGUGCAUAGGCUACCACCAGAGCUUUAGUAAGUCAUCCGGGUUUCUUUAUCUCUCUUCUUGGCCUCCUUGUUGCUAUAAAAUCAUCAUUAUCUACAUCAUCAAUUGUUUCUUCAUUUUGUGGGACAUCAGAAGAAACAACCUCUUCUUCAACUCUAGGUGUCACCUCCAUAGUUGAACCAUUCUUUGAUGUAGAACUAACUGGUACAUAUAGAGUUGCAUCAAACUCCACCCGCUGCAAUACCUCUUUGGUCUUGUUCUCCACCUGCUGAGAACUUGAAGCUUUCAUUAUUGAAGCUUCAUCAAAUGUGACAUCUCUACUACACACAAACUUUUUAUCUUCGAGAUCCCAAAGCUUAAAGCCCUUUACUCCACGUUUGAAUCCCACAAAGAUAGCUUUUUUAGCACGAGGAUCCAGUUUACCAUCUUUAAUAUGAUAAUAAGCUGGACAUCCGAAUAUACGAAGGGAAUCAUAGUCUUGUGCAUGCUUUCCAGACCACAUUUCUAUAGGAGUUUUACCUCCAAUUGCAGUAGAAGGCAACCGGUUUACCAAGUGACUUGCGUAGCCCACAGCUUCAGCCCAAAACUUUUUAUCUAAACUAGCAUUAGAUAACAUACACCGUACCUUCUCCAGUAAAGUAUGAUUCAUACGCUUAGCCACACUGUUCUGUUGUGGAGUAUGUCUCAUCGUGAAAUGUCUUUUAAUAUCCUCAUUCUGGCAUAAUUGCAAGAAUGGAUCAGAAGUAUAUUUACCCCCAUUAUCAGAUCGUAAUACUUUGAUCUUUCUGCCAGUUUGAGUCUCCACCAAUUUCUUCCAUUUCACGAAAAUCUCUAGAACCUCAUCCUUUGCUCGCAUGGUGUACACCCACACACGUCUAGAGAAAUCAUCAACAAAUGUAACAAAAUAAUGGCUUCCACCAAUUGAUGCAGUCUUGGUUGGUCCCCAUACAUCACUAUGAACAUAUUCAAGGAUCUCACGAGUAUCGUGAUUAGCUGUACCAAACUUGACCCUUGUUUUCUUGCCUACUACACAAUGCUCACAGAAAUUUAAUUUACAAGUUUUGGUACCUUUUAAGAAUCCAUGCCUCAUCAGAUUUUGCAAAAACUUCUCUCCAGCAUGUCCUAGUCGUACAUGCUAUAACUUGGUGGUGUCACUGUGCGCCUCAACAACAUUUGCUUCAUCAGUUGUGCCUUCCUUCAAAUAGUACAGAUUGUGACACCGAACCCCUUGUAGAAUCACCAUAGCCCCAUGUGUAAACUUCAUUAUACCAUUUUCAAUGGUAACCUUGUAGCCUCUUGUAGCCUUUAGCUUCCAAAGCACCCAUAGAAAUUAGAUUUUUCUUUAAAGCUGGAACAAAUCUAACCUCUUUGAGUUCUCUGACCAUUCCAUCAAACAUUUUGAGCCGAAUUAUUCAUAUCCCCCUUGUGCGACAAGGUUGAUCAUUCCCCAUCACAACUGCACCGGAUUCCAGAUUACGAAAAUCUGUAAACCAUUCCUUAAUAGGACACAAAUGAUAGGUUGCUCCAGUAUCAAGUAUCCACUCGCUCGAACUAGCCACGUAUACUACAGGAGUAAUACUUAGUGAAUAAUCAGAGUCUUCAUCUUUCCGUGCCAUGUUUGCUACUGCUAGUUUUUUCCCAUCUCUCUUUUGAGCCUUUGGACAAUCUUUCCUCCAAUGGCCCUUUUCAUGACAAAAGGCACACUCGUCUCGAGCUAUAUUUCUGCUUCUCGAUUUGGAUCGAGAAUUCUUUCCACCACGCUUUUUCUUUUUCUCCAUCUCCCAAUCUCUGCUCACCAAAGCUUCAGACGAUGCUCGUUCAGAAUUUUUAUUAUUAUUCUAAAUCUCCAAGUUAGUCAAUGUUGUACAAACAUCUUUGAAGAUGAUCACGCUUUUUCUAUAUAUUAAGGUAGUCACAAAAUGCCUAUAUUGCUCUGGUAGUGAGUGUAACAAAAUCAUAGCCUUGACUUCAUCCUUAAUACCUUCAUCAAGAUUCUUCAAAUCAGCAAGUAACUUUUCAAAUCUUAAGACAUGAUCGUGCAUUGACACCCCAGGCUUCAUUCGAAAACCAUAUACUUGGCUCAUUGCAUGAAGGCCAUUUUCAGGACUUUUCACCAGGUACUUCUCCUCCAAUGUACGCCACAAAGUCACCGCACACUCCUCAUCUUUCACCAAGUAUUUCACCUCCUUGGUCAAACAAAAUCUGAUCUGACCACAAGGUUUCUCGUUCAUACGAUCCCAAAUUUCUUCAUCAUACAAGUGUCUUUUAUUUUUCAAAACAACAUCAAGAUCGAUUUAAAUAAGGGCAUCCAUAGCUUCGCGCCUCCACAUGCCGAAGUUGAUUUUCCCAUCAAACUUUUCAACAUCGAUUUUCUGGCCUCCUAUAACAGGUGCUGAAUAGCGAUUUGACAAAUCUCGCCUCCACCUGAAGUGUCUCCUGAAAUAGUCUCAGUAGAUCUCUCCCCAAUUCUGGAAGUUUCACCUUCUACCAUUUUCUCAAUGAACUAUUUCCACUUGAAAAACAGUCUCUAUGAUGUUAAUUUCUCAUGAAUAAAUGCACCAGGAAAGUUUCCAGGAGACUGGACGGGAACUCGGUCCCAAUUAAAAGCCAGAAUCCUUAGACUCUUAUCGUCUUUGUUGACAGAACUUUCCUAGACAUGCAAAAAUAUACACUACUUACAAUAGAUUGUCUCCCAAGUACAAAUGGCCGUCUCCACCGUAUUCGUGAACAGUACCGUAUGUGAACAGUACCGUAUACGGGAAUAGUACCGUAUAUGUGAACAGUACCGUUUCCCCCCAAUUACGAACCGUCGGCUCUGAUACCACUUGUUAUGCGCGGAAUGCGGAAUCAAGCGCACCAAAUAAUUAUAGAAAAAUAAAGGACACAAGAAUUACGUGGUUCGGUAAUUAAACUUGCAUCCACGGAGGCAAGAAAGAAUAAUUGUUUAUUUAACAAUUAAUAGAGUACAAAUAUUUGAGUAACGAAUCUCACUUCCCAGAAACCCAAAUAUACCCAGUACUCUCAUACUCUGCAGGAAAGAUAAAUUCCCCAGACACACUUCUCUCAAAAGCUUAGAAACUUAUAAGCUUAACAAUUUUGGGAUUAUAUGGAAUGAAGAAAUGCUCUCUAUUGAUAGGCUUGAAGCUAGUACUAUUCCACCUAACCCAAGUACUAUUCCACCUAACCCAAGCACUAUUCCACCUAACCCAUGCAAAUAUGUCAAUGGUGUCCAUUUGGCAAAUUUGCCAACUUUUCAUUUUGUCUUCAAAUGUUUGGUAGCUCUUUGAAAAAUUGCAUGCUUUCUUGAAUUUCAUGCCACGUGCAUGAUUUUUCAACAAGAAAGAGCAUGCACAGAUUGUGUUACCGGUUUUCUAUCGCGUUGAUCCAUCAUACGUGAGAAACCAAACAGGGAGUUUUGGGGAUUCAUUUUCAAAGCUUCAAGAAAGAUUUAAGCAAAAUUUGGAGAAGCUGCAGACAUGGAGGAAGGGAUUGAGAGAAGCGGUCGGUUUGUCUGGAUUUCAUUAUCGUAGCAUCAGGUGAAAAGUUACUUUUAAUUUCUCAUGCUAAUUCAUGCAGCACUCUUAGUUAAAUUUCCGGAUGCUAAACUACAAUUUUAAAUUUUUUUUAGGUAUCAAAUUCUAGGCUUCUUGACUUCCCCACUUUUGAACCCCGAUAAUUAUGAAAGAACUUUGACAGAAUUAAUAAUAAAAGACCAAUAAUUUUACAAUAUAUUUAACAAAAUUAAUGGUGGUCUGUCGUUGUUUAAGCAAUUUCAACCUCACAUACCUCCAUCAGGAAAAAAAAAAGAAGUCACACAUACUCCUAUAAUUUAAGAGUUAUUAAUUUAUAGGGAGAUUGUAGUGGUAUAUAUUAAUUUCAAUUGGAAAACGAGCAAGCUCCCUUAUUUCAUAUUUCAUGCAAAUCCCUCCUAUUUGAAGUUACUGCUGCUAAUUUUAUGUAUUUGGUAGGCCUGAAUCAGAACUUAUAAACGAAGUUGUUAAUCACAUUUUGAAGAGACUGCUGGAAGAAGUGUUUCGGCCGCGUGAUAACAAAAGCCAGCUGGUUGAAGUGGAAUCAAGAGUUGAGGAAAUUGAAUCUCUACUAAGUGUUGAGUCGAAAGAUGUUUACGCUUUAGGGAUUUGGGGCAUUGGUGGUAUAGGCAAAACAACAAUCGCUAGAGCUACUUUCGACAAAAUCUCUAGAUAGUUUGAAGGUUCUUGCUUCCUUGAAAAUGUUAGAGGAGAGUCACAAAGAACGGGAGGAUUAGCUUGCUUGCGACAAAAACUUAUUUCAAAUUUAUUGAAGGAUGAAAAUGCGAUUCCUAGUAUUGACCUCAAUUUUAGAAGGCUCAGCCGGAUGAAGGUUCUGAUUGUUUUUUAUGAUGUGACUUGCUUCAGCCAAUUGGAAUCUUUAAUGGGAAGCCUUGAUUGGUUGACGCCAGUGAGUCGAAUCAUAUUAACCACUAGAAAUAAACAAGUGCUUAGAAAUUGGGGGGUGAGUAAAAUAUAUGAGAUGGAGGCAUUAGAAUAUCAUCAUGCUCUUGAGCUUUUUAGUCGACAUGCCUUCAAACGAAACCAUCCUGAUGUUGGUUAUGAGAAACUUUCAAGCAACGUAAUGAAAUAUGUUCAAGGAGUUCCUUUGGCUCUUAAAGUUUUAGGUUGCUUUCUAUAGAAAAGGGAAAAAGAAGUCUGGGAAAGUGCAAUAAAUAAAUUGCAAAGAAUCCUCUAUCCAAGUAUUCUAGAGGUAUUAAAAAUAAGUUAUGAUGGUUUGGACAAUAAAGAGAAAAAUAUUUUCCUUGGUGUUGCUUGUUUCUUUCAAGUGAGGAUGUAAAUCUAGUAAUGAAAUUCCUUAUUGCAAGCGGCUUCAACCUAGAAAUAGGAAUAAGUGUUCUAGUUGAUAAGUCUCUUAUUGUCAUAUCAAAUAACAACAAGAUAACUAUGCAUGAUUUGCUACAAGAAUUGGGUAGGGAUAUUGUCAGUCAAGAAUCAAAUGAUCCUGGAAACCACAAUUGGUUGUGGCAUCACGAGGAUAUCUAUGAAGUUCUUACAUAUAAUACGGCAAGCAAUUUGCUGUGGAUUAUUACUUUGGAAUAUUCUAGCAUUUACAAACUUGAUAUGGACAUAUCAAGUUUGCUCAAACUCUCGAAUUGAUGAAUCUAGAAUUAAUAGAAGAGUGAAAAUGAUUAGAAAAAAACAAUAGUGGUUAUAAAUGCCGUGACAACUUGUAUAAUUCUUUGUAAGGAUAAUUUAUAAUGUCAAUUUGUUUUGUAUCCCACAUGCGUAAAUUUCAUGUUCAGUAUUACUUGUAUUAUUAUGUUCCUUCGUUCGUUUGCAAUUAAGAGUUUCAGUGCCUAGCAAUAACUAUAUAAACAUGAAUUACUGAAAUUUGAUUAGAGCAAUGAUAAAAAUUUUGCUGCUUCUGAUACAGAUCCCUUGACUGCGAAAAUUAGAUCAAGCUGAGCUUGCAUUCCCCAUAGUUAACCCAAAAAAAAAAAAUAAUCAUUACUAUGACUUAAAUUUUAAUAGAAAACAAAAAACGAAGCAAGAGUGAAUAGAGUAAUACCAGAGCAAAUUUAGGAUUGUUAGGUCGAAUUUGUGGACCAACUUCAGAACAUCUAAUAGUAAACUUAGGAGGAAGGAUUUGAAGAAGCUGCGGCGGCGGCGAAUACGCAUCAAGAUUCACACUGCUCCUCACUUUGAGGCCAAAAGAGUGCGGAGGCGCGACAAAGCUGACGCGCGAUUCUUGUGCUGCGAUCGGUCUUCGGCGGCCUGCGCUAUGACGCCGUCGGUACGUGCUUGAGACGUACGGCGGAUUCGCGCUUGUUGCGGUGCUGACCGCCUGGUCCCGACGAUUUGUACGUGUCCAUUUCGCAUUCGCGAAAUAGCUCAUCGUCGGUCAAUUCGAAGUAAUUCUUCUUCGAAGAACAAUUGUCAUUGUAAUUGCAAGACAAGAACAAUGGCUGAUAAUUCCUGCGAUGCCUGUACGACGAAAAGUUUAUAUUUUUCCUUCCGAGUUGGGGAAUUCAAAGGCUGAAUUGAGCGGCCAACGUCAUCAUCAAUUUCAAUUUCGUAUGUGAUAAUCAAAGCAAAGCUUCGUACUAGUAAUAUUUGAACAAUCUUCAUUUGGCAGGCCCAGCCCAAUCCAGCCCAGUCCAGCAAGUGAGCAAUGUUAUCAUUUUUGAACUCGUGGCGGUUCUGUAUUAUUUGCAAAUUAUUUGCAAAAUACUCUUUUUAAGGGAGAGGGAUAUAUUUGAUGCUAGAAUAUUUUUAAAAUAAAUGGUGCUUUUAAAAGGUGUACGACUGUAAAGAUAUGUCUAAUUAAACAGUGUCAUAUUUAAUAAAAACAUAUUCUUUUAUUUAAAGAUGCAUCCAUUCACGGUUUCUUGUUUUAGUUUGAAAUGACAAUAGUUUAUUUUGGACCAAUGAUGAUCUAAUUCAAAAUUUGAUUUAAUAACCAUGAAUGAAACAACCACUUUCUGGUAGUUCUCUUAAACUUUAUUAAGGAAUCUAUGUUGAAGGCUGUUUCAUUCUUUAGUGUUGUUAAAAAUACAUUUUACACUCUGAAAUUUAAAAUGACCUUUUUUUAAAUAAAAUUUAAAAACAAAUGCCUUUAACUAAGGAAGAAAUUUUAGAAUGCAUCAGAAAUACCAUGUCAGUCAUACAACAAGUGAAUCAUGCUCGACAUAUGUGCACUUAUUUUAAAAAAUUAUCAUGCAAAUGAUGGUUACAUUAAAUCUAAAUAUGUAUAUAUCAUAGAUGACACAACCUGCCUCAACCCUUUUGCUGGAUCUGAGGUGAAUCAUGCAAUUUUAUAUCUAAAGUUCAUGACAUAAACUUAAUUCAUGAAUAUAUAACACCAGCCUUGGCCUUUCUUAUAAACAUAUAAUAAUCUAUGUGCCUCAUUAAAAAAAAUAUAUUCAAAACUUGCAUAGUUCACAUCUCACUGUACAUACAUACACUUCAGAUACAGACAUAUAAACAUAAACGUGGUCAAAAUGUAAGUCAUGCAGUAAUGCGUGCGUGGCCCAACCUCAAUUGAUUAAAAACUGAACUGCACAAAAUCCUAUAGAAACCUUAGAGAAAUGGGGUAAAUAGGAAAAUAACAAGCUUGCAGCUCAAUGAAUGAAUAUAAUUCUAUAUAAAAAUAAAUUAGUGCUUUAGUGCUUGUACAUAAUUGUAUGACAUAACUUCAUACUGAACGCUUUACAAAAGCAAACAUGAACUCAUAUAUACAUACAUGAAAAAAUUGUACCAAAUAAUAUAUGGAGAAAUAACUCUCAAUACUCACUAGGAUCAUCGUCGCACGAGUAAAGUGGGGGAAAAAACCUCUCACUACUCAGCGAAAUUAACUACAUCAUAAGGGUUGAGUAAUUUAACUCUCAAUACUCAUGCGUAUAGCCUAUGGGGAAGGGUACACAUAUGGUGCUUGGCAAUCACAUCUCAUGACUCAAUCAAUUAUAUAAUGUACGUACAUAUAAUCACAACAUUAUACUAAAUCAUACUAUCAAAUAUAAAUGCUUUGUAGAAUACAUAAUAUGAAUAAUAAUAAUCCACUCAUAUAUCCUAUUUCACUCCGGGGUUUGUGAAGCGUGCACGUUCUUUACUUUAAGCUAACAGCUUGCUAUUGCUUUGACAAAUAACCACAUGUGCCUCCUUUUAGCUUGCACGUGCAUCACAAUACAUGCAUUAGAAUUGUUUGUAUUAUCAUAGGUCAAGCAUGAAUGUGCUUUGCUUUAAGCUAACAGCUUGCUAUUACUUUGACAAUUAGCCACAUGUGACCCAUUUUAGCUUACACGUGUGUUACAGCAAAUGCAUUAAAAUUGGUUGUAUUAUCUUUAAUAUGUUAUAAUUUUUUUUAAUCAUAAAAGGGCUCUUAAAAGAGCUAAGGCAAUACUAAACGGGAGUGUGCAACCCCACAAACAUCAUUAUGUAAUAUGCUAAACAUAUAUGAAGGAAUAGACUAAAAGCAAUAUAAACCCAAAGGAAAAGAAAAACUGUAAGAAGCAAGGAAAUCUGCUGCUACAUUGGCUUCUUGGUAGAUAUGGUCCACUUUGAUCAACCAAUCACGACAAAGGAGAUCAUGGAUGGCCCGAAUGAGAGUAAAAGGUUCAUUGAUAGGAGGCUUUGGGCUAGAGACUAACUGCAUAGCACACUUACUGUCAAUUUUCACUUGAACCCUAGGAAAACCAUAUUGCCAAGCAAUAGAUAGCCCGUGAAAUAAACCCUAGAGCUCAGCUGAAGUCAUUGAGCAAGUACCUAAAUUAGCACUGUAACCUGCCUGCCAAACACUCUGUAAUCACGGAUUAGCCCACCAGCUCCUGCAAUGCCUGAAGAUUUCUUGGCACCGUCUGUAUUUAAUUUAACCCAAGGCCAAACAGGAGUAGUCCAGCGAAUCCAUCUUUCAAUACGGCGCAUGCCAACAGCAAGAGGGGACAUAAUUCUUUUAACGAAGGAUGUAGCCAACGAUUUUAUCCGGUCGAACAUGUUCUUCGACUUAUAAUACUAUUUAUGGUUAAACAAUUCAUAAGUAGUUGAAAUUAAUUUUUUUUUGGGGUAGAUAAUCUCAAUUUUAAAAUACUUUAAAAGAUUUUCAAAGAUAAGAUACAAUGGUAUACAACUAAAGCCUAAUCCAACAUUGUUGAAAAGUAUGGUGUUCGUGUGGAAUUUUCAGCUAAAAGUCUACAAAGUAGCGGAAUUAAUCAAACGCCGUGGAGUGCACGGUGGUUGGACAAUGAGAUGAAAUUAAAAUAUCACCCUACUUAUUGCUGGCAGUUAUGAGCAUUAAAGCACAGAAGCAUGUGUGUUGAAAAGUAUGGUGUUCAUGUGGAAUUUUCAACUAAAAGUCUACAAAGUAGUGGAAUUAAUCAAUCAUCGUGGAGUGCACGGUGGUUGGACAAUGAGAUGAAAUUAAAAAAUUAUCACAGAACUUGAAGGAAGGUUCAUGGCAUCGAUUUAUUCUACAGAAUCGCGCACAUUUGGUUCAAAAAUUGUUUUCAUCUGAAUCAAAAUCUCUCUCUAAUCAAUUCAACUGUUUCUGUUGAUUAUGGCUUCUUCUUCUCAAAACAACAAGAAGUAUGAUGCUUUUGUUAGUUUCAGAGGAGAGG
rnacentral:lncRNA from 1 species